rnacentral:lncRNA from 1 species
AUCAGCUUGGGGGGGUUUUUGUGAAUGGACGGCCACUCCCGGAUGUAGUCCGCCAAAGGAUAGUGGAACUUGCUCAUCAAGGUGUCAGGCCCUGCGACAUCUCAAGGCAGCUUCGAGUCAGCCAUGGUUGUGUCAGCAAAAUUCUUGGCAGGUAAAGGCAGAAGCUGCAGGCUUCCCUUGAUUUUUCAAAUAACGACCUAAAACAUGACCCAGUAGCUGUCCAACGUGCGGGUGUCAUUGAAAAUCAUGGUGGCACUUCACCCACAUGCAUAAUACUUAAAAGUUUGCAAAGCUCAAGCCAUUCAAUUCAAAGUAGUCCUGGGAAACCCCUGUUUCAAGUGACAUGUGGAAUGAGGUGACUCAAUCAGGAAUGACAUGUUUUUUGAAAGCCUGGUGAAUUAUUCCAAAGAACCCAAGAAUAAGAGGUUCUUGGGAAUUUCCCCUACUCAUGUUAGGUGAGUCUGGGGCCUGAGCAGGGCUGGGUGGAAAACCCACAAGUUAUAAAAUCACGUUAUUAGAGUUCAGUGUUUCAUUUUAAUGUCUUCAAAAAGCACAUUCCAUUUUUAAAAGUCAGCUGUCAUUUUCAGUUUUUGGUUAUCACCAGCCUUAUUAUGUUGGGCUGUAGUAUUUUCCUUCUACACAUUUUGUUUCCUUUGUAGUGACAGGCAUCCUAAGCGUAUAUUAGAGAGGGAAAAAAACUCAAACGCUAACUCUCAAAUCUGACAUUUGAAAGUUGCCACUUGACCCGUCGAUUUGCAGCAAGCAAAAUACGAAUAAUGCCAAUUCUCCCAGAGGGCUGUAGAGCCCAGCCUUCGAGCACUCCUGUGUGUUUUCUCAGGAGAGCUUCAGUAUGGUCCAGGGAAGCUUGUUUUGAGAAGGAAACAAAUCUACAGAGGCCAAGUGCCUGAGCCAGGUCUAUCCAGCUAGUCAGUGCUCGGACUGGGAAAAGGCCUCAAGGAUUCUUAGACCACUGGCACCUUACCAUACUGCAAAGCCAAAGCCACAGGCUUGUUUCGGGGCACGUGAAGUUGUUCGAAGUGUGCUCUGGCAGCCACGGGUGUUCUCAGGUUUAGUUGUUUAGAGCUCUCUCAGGAUUUUUCUCCCUGGGUCAGGAAAUAACCUUGGUCCUGUAGCUUGCAUUAUGAUUUGAGAACAGAUGCCUGAAGAGAAAAUAAAUAUUUUGCAGUAUGUCAGUGAUAUUGUGACUUUUUGCUUGCUCUCUCCCUUUCAUCUGCUGGAAUUUAAGAAAUUCUUUUAGAUGGAAGGAAUAACAGUUUCUAACCUUGGGGAGCCUUGCUGGAGGCCAAAGGAAGAGGUGUCAAGGCCAGGGGUCUGGCGUCCCCUUUGGGGACCUUGAUCCUUGUGUUAAUUCCUUAUCCCUUACCUACCUCGGGUCGCCUCAGCCAGGGAGGCUCUGGGCUCCACUCCUGUUUAACGCUCAGCAGCGAAUGAGCCCCAGCCAGAGUUCAAGGAGGAAGGCUGGACAUUAGCACGGUGCUCUUGUUAGACGGUGGUUUGAGGCAGGAGGACGAAAGUGAGGAUAAAAGAAGAAAAAUACAGGAGAGGGAGAUGAAGAGAAAAGAGAAUCGUUCAUUUAAAAGAGAGAGAGAGAAAUAGAGAAAUGAAGACAAGAAAGAAGGAAAGAGAAAAAGAGAGAGGAAGGAAAUAUUUGAGAUUAUCCCAGUGUCAGGCUUCAAGAGCCAAGCGGAUCUUCGCUAUCUUCUUGGGAAGCCUCUUCAUUGCAUUGAGGGAGAGAAAAAAGAAGGCCCUUCCUUUGUGUUUGCUGAGACAUCUUUGCUGAGCCGACAUUUUGCUAGCUAUCUGAAAUCUUCUUAGGACGAGAUGCCGAGCCCUUCUUAGAGGGGACGUCCAGAUGCCAGGUCCUCAUGUUCUGGUGCCCCGAAGCCCUCCAAAUCUCCCCUGGAGACCAAAGGGGACAAGGACCUUCCCAGGCACAGCCGGCAGCCUCCGGAGGCCCAGAAUAGAUUUGUCACUAGGUAGAGUGGCACUCGGAAGUUAUGCGCCGCUCUGGUGCCUGGCCGUUUAAGUUGUCAACAAUAAAUUGGAAUUUCAUAGCUCAUUAUUUUCAUAACUAAGAACCACAGUGGACAAAAUGUCACUCUAAUUAGAACUGCCUCUUAAGAAACAAGUUCAGCCCUAAAACAGUGUGACUGGGAAUUUCUGAACUGGGCUGUUCCAUCCACUUAUUUUAUUUUAUUUUUUCGGUUACCGAAGAAUUUGGUGGGUGCGCUCGGAGCGACAGAUUAUAGAGAGUGUGUUGUGUGUGAUGGCCGUGGUUUUCAGAGGGUGCAUGACAAGGCAGGCAGAGACCCUCGUCAUCUUGGGAAGGUGGCGAUUUGCCAGGAGUGUGGGCAUUCAGUCCACAGAGCUCGAGGCUCAGGAGGGGCUGGAGAGGCACAGCCUAGUGGCAUGUGAGGCCCAUUUAAAUCCACCCAGAAAGCCUGGCUCUUGUCUUCUUUCACUGGAGCCUGGCUGGGAGGUUCAGCCCGUUUGGAAUUGGGUGGUAUGUUACACAGUAAGAAACACUCAGAGGAUUUUAAUCCGCAACACGUGCUUUUUAUGUUUUGCAAAGCUUUUUCUUAACCAUUCUGCAUUUCUGCCCGUGUCCUGGGAGGCAGGCAGGGUAAACAUCCUCCCCUUAUUAUACAAAUGGGGUCACUUGGAGGCCCAGAGACGCUAAGUGAUUUGGCCAAGGUCACACAGAGCCACUGACUAACACGCCCACCUCCUCACUCCCAAACGAAUGUUCUUUGCACGGAACUACGCUGUGUUGGUGGCUGCCGUUUGUCUGUCGUGUGUAAGCCAAAAGGCGGCAUGGCUGUUUUGCUGAGAUGAAAGAGCAGUUUUUCUGUCUGAUUCCUCACUUUAUACAGUUGCCAAUUGGGGUUUCCCCUGGGGUGCCAGGACUGCCUUCUAAGGGCCAGGCUGAUGUGUCAGUCAAAAGGCAGACAGAGACCUCUUCGUGUGAACACCACAGCCUGCUAUGGUUGGCACUGCUCAGGUGGGCUGGGUGGAGGGCCCCAGAUCCUGCCACCCCCGCUGCUCUCUCAGUUGCGGCAGGAACAGUGCAGUCCCAUUCGAGUGAUUACAAUUGGAGUACUUAGCCCAGGGUUGUCCUUGUGUCUGUAACUGCUACCCCAAGCCGGUGCCUGUCCUAACAGGUGCCCAGAGAGGAGUGAGUGAGUGAGUGAGUGAAAAGAGGUCUGUGAAAUGCCUAGUAAACAGUAGAGCUUCCUACAAUUGUCAUCAUCCCCAUUAUCAUUUUAAUUUUCACAAUCAAAGCAGAAGUUUGCUCUAGUGGGAAGAGGCCAGAGUCAGACUUGAAAGCUGGGACCGCCUCUGGCUUCCAAAAGGGAGUUGGGCAAGGCACCUGCUCUAAUCAUCAGUUUCCCCUCCGUAAAACCCCGCUGGCCCCUUAGGAUUGACGUGGAGAUCCAGAUAAUUUGAGGCAGAACUCUGUAAAUUUUAGAGCCCUGUGCUGAAUAAUGAGUUAUUGUGUUGAUAGUAACAAAUGACUUUUUAUUGUAAAAUUGGAAGGAUAAUUGGAAGCUGCAGAGAUUGCUGUGCGCCUUGAUUUAGCUGCCUUUCUAAACUUCUGACAAAAUAGUGUUUUCUUGGAUGUUUCUUAAAGACUGUGACUAAUAAUUUUUCAGUAAUUACAGAAGGGGGAAUAGGUUGAAUUUUGCCUUAUAGUCCAAAUUUAAACAUGACUCACUUUUCUCAAUGAAAAACAGAAUUUCCAUGUCCAUAUCACUGCUCUCAAAUUAUUUCAUCUGUUUCUAGAAUGUCCAUUAAGUUGGCCCUAACUAGAUUUCCCCAGGCUGAGACUUUCAGCAUCUCUUUAUUUAUUUAUUUAUUUUAAGUGUUUAUUUAUUUUUGAGAGACAGAGAGAGAGAGAGAGAGAGAGCACAUGAGUAGGGGAGGGGCAGAGAGAGAGAGAGGAAGACACAGAAUCUGAAGCAGGCUCCAGGCUCUGAACUGUCAGCACAGAGCCAGACGUGGGGCUUGAACUCUUGAACCAAGAGAUCAAGACCCAAGUUGAAGUCAAAUGCUUAACUGACUAAGCCACCCAGGCACCCCUCAGCAUCUCUUUAAAUGUGACUAGUCAUUGGGUCUUGGGUAACACUUCCCACCCAUCCCAUGGGAGAAUCAUCUCUUUGCCUUACCUAUUAUAAACAAUUUAGGUUGAAAAUUUACCAGUCAUUGGGGUGCAUGGCUGGCUCAGUUGGCAGAGCACGUGACUCUAGAUCUUGGGGUCGUGAGUUCCAGCUCACAUUGGGCAUAGAGUUUACCUAAAAAAAAAAAAAAUUACCAGUCAGUUCUAAAAUGUCUCCUUAGCUAAAAAAAAAAUCUCAACUACAAGAUAAUCUCUUUUGCAAGCGGAAGUCAAGAAUUCCUCUGUAAAUAUUGAGAGACAUCCAGUGAAGGCUCAGAUUCAGAAAAGGAAUCAAGUAAUUUUUUUCCCUUGAAAUGAUCUUUCACGGCACUCUUCUCCCCGGUCUCGGUUUUACUGUAAAACCCUGACAUCCUAUUUGUGUUAACGAGGAAGAGCUGAUAGCAUGGAAAUGUCCUUAGAAACAGCGAUUUACCUCAGGGGAGGUCUCUGGAAGAGCUGCAGUGACUUGUGGUUGGUUUUUAUUUAUUUAUUUUUUUGAUUGCUUGGGUUUUGACUUGUAUAUAACACAUAUUUCCAGUUAACUCUGGAAUCCAACAUUUCCUUUCAUUUUAGGCUAGGGCUAUCGUUGUAAUCUUAUGGCAAAAAAAAGUUGCACUUAAGGGAUAGUGUCACAGAAUGCAGAUGGAAUCUGCUAGGGGAUGUGAGUACUGGUAAAUUAAAGGUACAAGCCAACUUUCUGGGGGAAAUUUUAGCUCGGGGGCCAGGCCACUGUCCUGAUUUGGCCAAUGGGCCUUGUGUGACCCUGGGCAAGCCUUUUAACCUUCAUGGAUCUCUGUUUUAUACCUGUAGAUGGGGACCUGUUCAUUCACUUAUUCAUUCAUUUAUUCAUUCAAAAUAUGUAUGUGCUUUAGAACUGUGGUGGGGAUCAAAUGGGAAAGCUGACUUCAAAGUUUUCUGUAAACUGUAAAAUGAUAGAUAAAUGUGAUAGUUAAUUAACUAAUUAAUGCAUAGCGUCUGGACCAGCACUGUCCAAUAGAAAUAUAACACGAGCCACAUUUGAAAUUUAAAAUUUUCUGGUAGCAUAUUAAAGAAGGAAAAAUAAACAGGUAUAAUUGAUUUUAUAUAUUUUAUUUAACCCAGUAUAUGAAAAAUGUGAUCACGUUAGCAUAUAACCAGUAUAAAAAUUAUUAAUGAGAUAUUUUACCUUCUUGUUUCUAUACUAAAUUUUGACAAUCUUGUGUGUGUUUUAUGCUUACGGUACACCUCAAUUCAAAUGAGCAUGUUUCAGAUGUUCCAAAGCCCCAUAUGGCUAGGCUAGGGCUGCUGAAUUGGACAGCACAGAUUUGGAUGUUUUCUGGACAGAGUAGCUAUUUUGUUGCAAACAUCCAUUUUGCUGGUUCCUCAUGGCUAAGCUCCUUUCUGCUUGGGUCCUAGGUAUUAUGAGACGGGGAGCAUCAAGCCUGGUGUAAUUGGAGGAUCCAAACCAAAGGUCGCCACGCCCAAAGUGGUGGAAAAAAUUGCUGAGUAUAAACGCCAAAAUCCCACCAUGUUUGCCUGGGAGAUCAGGGACCGGCUGCUGGCGGAACGGGUGUGUGACAAUGACACGGUGCCCAGCGUCAGUUCCAUCAACAGGUGAGGGGCUGGUGCCUGUGGGGGGCCAGGGAUCGGGGGGAGUGGGACAUCCUGGAGGCUCUGUGAGUGCCUUUCCUAAAAGUCUGGUCUCUCCAUUCAUCCAGGCCCCUUAGGGGUUAUUGGACAGGAGGGGUGCUAAUGGGGCUAGAUUGAUCUCUCUGUUGCCCUUCUUAUCUUUCCAAAGUAGGCAGGGGUCCUAGGCUCAGGGAGGGAAGGCCAUGUCAGUACCCAGGCUGCUUGAGAGUCUUCUGAGCCCAGAGUGAUUUCUGUCACUCUCCCUUUACCGCCGCCUCUGUGUGUGGGACACUUAGCAGCAAACUGUUCUGAUCAGGCCUUGACAAAUGUCACUUCUUUGUAAGCCCAUGCUCAGGGUCUCCGCACUGGCUGAUAUAAAUCAGAGCUUCCAAGGAAGAAAAUCCCUGCCUCCAGUUUGGGGAGAGGUUGAGCCGUUGAAUGUGGAAAACAGAGCCUGGACUUGAAGUUGAGAGAUUUGGUUCCUUGUCCCAGUUCUGCCACAAACUCCAAGUGUCACCCUGACAAAGCUCUUCCUCUCUUUAAGAGCUCAGAACCUUGGUGGUCCUGAUGUAGGUCAAUGAUCUCCAAGAGUGACGUCCAGGACACCAAGAUGCUGUGGAGUUAGGGAGCUACCCUCUCCCCAGUUUCCCUCAAUGUCACCCAUGGAGAGAAAGAACCAGAGAAAUACCAUGAGUACCAGGCAUGGGAUCUUCCUGGGAGCCACAGCGGCACCUUCUCUGAAGUGUGAUUCAGGAUAUAUCUAAUGGAGCUUUCAGAGCUUCAAAAAAUUUCUGAAAGAAAGUAUUCUAUUAUAGGGGCACCUGGGUGGCUCAGCUGGGCAGGCCCCCGACUUUGGCUCAGGUCAUGAUCUCAUGUUCUGUGAGUUGGAGCCCCGUGUCGGGCUCUGUGCUGACAGCUUGGAGCCUGGAGCCCGCUUUGGAUUCUGUGUCUCCCUCUCUCUGCCCUUCCCUGGCUCAUGCUCUGUCUGUCUCUCUCUCUCAAAAAUAAAUAAACAUUAAAAAAAAUUUUUUUUAAAAGAAAGUUUUCUAUUGUAAACGGCAAAGUCUCAAAUCUGUUAAACCUAUAGAAGUCAAGGAUGAAGUUGUGAGGUGAACAGAAAUGAUUGUUCUCUAAACUCCACAAAGAAAAGAGAACCAGCUGACUGAAAACUUGAAUGGUUCCCAUUUCUCUAAGGUCACACACUACCCUUGUCCGUGCAGAGCCUGUCCAGGCAUAGCAGACCCCUCACCCCCCGGCAGAAAGAGGUGGUCAGACUAGAAUGUCCCUGAGAUCCCUUCUGGGCUUGAUGGUUGUUCCUUCUGUGAUGACUCGAAUGCACAGAAUCACUGUGUGAGUGCAUCUCUUGAUGUUUUGAGACCUGCCUUUUCAUAAGCCAUGAGCCUGUUUCCUUUCUCUCAGCAAGUCUUUAUCUUGGUCCUGACAUCAUGUGAGGUACAGAGCACAGAGAGGGGCACCAGGUACACUGUCUUGUAGUCUCCGUUCUAGAGGGCCUCCUUGCGUAGGAUGGCAUUCAGGCAUGCAUGAGAAUUCUGGUCAACCUGAAUUAGCUGAGGAGAUAGCAACGGUUGUGGUGGGUUUGGGGUGGGGGGGGGGAUAACUUCUGUUCUUCUGGGUUAUGGGGGCUCCAGUGUGCUUUGGGAGUCCCCUACUUCUGGCACGUUGCAGGAUUACCAUCACACAGAGCAACAUGACUUUUUCCCACGUCUCCAAGAGCCCUCAUGUGGAGUAAGGCAUACAACGCCUAUAGCGAUGGGGGAACGGAAGCCUUCUCUUCAGAGGAACCUCCACCAAACCCAUGGUCAGGCUUUGGGGGCCCGCAGAUAUCCCAAUGUAGGGUGUACGUGUAAUUGGUGGUUUGAAAGAUAACCCUGGGUUGCCCGUGGGGGUCCCAAGCUCCUAAUGCCUGCUGUUGGCAGGCAGUAAUGUAACAAGUGAAGAAGGCUAGGUAUGAGGUGAUAGGGAAAGGUGGGGUCUGUGGGAAACUGGACAGCACAAGAGUUACUGAAGGGUAGGUGCUUCUCAGCUCCAGCCGAAUGCCUCCAGGAUUUUUUUUUAAGUUUAUUUAUUUAUUUGGAGGGAGAGUGUGUAUGCGUCCGCGAGCGUGCGAGCCCACCAGCAGGGGAGGGGCAGAGAGUGAGGGAGAGGGAGAGAAUCCCAAGCAGAGUCUGCGCUGUCAGCUCGGAGCCUGACACGGGGCUCAGUCUCAUAACCAGGAGAUCGUGACCUGACCUGAAAUCAAGAGUCGGACGCUCUACCGACUGAGCCACCCAGAUGCCCUCCAAAUCUCCAUAUUAUUAAAUGGUGGCAAUGAAUUUCAGUGAAAAAAAAAAAGUGCCUUACAGGACGAGCAUAACUCAUUUGCAGGGCUCCAGCUUAUAUCUUCUGUAAUACAAGGAUGAAAACGGUCAUCUAUUUAUGAUGAAUUUGCUUUAAUGUAUUUUAGAAAAAUAUAAGUGGAACACCAAGCCAGUGAGUGUGAACUUUAUGAACUAUCCCUCCCAUUUACGGUAAAGAACUCGUAUUGCCUCAUAAAGUAAGUCUAAGUCAAAACGUAAGUUACUUGAAAGGAAGAUACGAAGUGAAAAGAGCACAGUGGCCCGAUGGAGCGGUGGAGGCCGUGAGGCGGGACUUACACGAGUGUCUAGGGAAGCCAUGGACCAGCUGGUGCUUUGUGCUUGGAGUUGCGCUGGGCGGCUGCUUGCUGGUUGCUGGGGCCGUGGCUAGCCUCAGGGGCUCCUGUGUGUCCACAGCGGUGGCUGUGCCUCUGAGGUGUUUUCAGGUCUGUCGUCUCCUGUAGCCCUCGAGGCUUACCUCUGUUCUUUGGCAGGUAUAGAAACUGAGGCCCAGAAGAGAGGUGUAUAGGAAUGAUGAUUUUGAGGUAGAGAUGGGAGUAGAGUUCGGGACCCCUGAUGUUAGUAAGAGGAGGGCCUGUCUCUUUCCACCAUUGCCCUGUAGGACUCUACCCGUGACAGAACUGAGGAUCCGAGAGCAAAGAGGCAAGGAGGAGUAAAACGGUCAUUCCUACCAUGUCCACGCACCUUGCAGCCUUUGCGCUUUGCUGCCUGUCUGCAGCUCCCUCUGUGACCCACAGCCCUCUCCUGGGCACCCUGCUGGGGGCUCUUCUCUGGGGGCACACUGUGGCACUUCACUCAGAGCUCUUUGUGUCUUUAGCCAACCAAGCCAGCAAUGCAGAUGAACAAGGACACUGUUGGUGCCUCCCUCCCACCGCCACCCGCCUCCCCCUGCCCCAUCCACGAAAGCCUGAGCCAUCCCUGCGUGCAGUUUUAUUUUCCAUAUGAAGGCAAAGCUGCUCUCCAAAGCUGCGUUCAAACGGGUGCAGUUUCCAAGUAACUGUCUCGCAAACAUCACGAUCAUGAUGUAAGAGCGUCCACAGAUUCCUCUCCCAGGUCUUGCCUCCCCGGGGGCAACUUCUCACUCUUCCCCUACUUCACACAGCUAAGGAGGGAAUGGUGGCUGGAUUUGUAGCUAUUCCGGUGGCAGCAGUGUCGUCUCCACUAUCCACCCCUACCAGUGUAUGCCUUUCUGCUGUCAUCUGGGAGAGCAGCCUGGGAACCCGUGACUGACACAGAAUUCAGCGACUUCGAACCUGUUCUGCUCAGCAUGUGGGAGAUUUGCUGGGACACGAGCCAUCAUGUUUAUGUGGCUUCCUAAGGACAAAAAAGGGCUGGGGGUGCUGCACGACCUGCACCAAGCAUUCUUAGAAUCCAGCCCGAGUGUCAGUGGGAGGUGACUGUCCAAGAGCUGAUGGAAGCCGGUAAUGGAGCCUUCCUUCCGAUCCGGUCCCGGAUCUCUAAAUCAGGGGCCAAGUGGUGGGGACUGCGAGUGGCACUCCCAGUUAGAAGGACGGUUCCACUUAGCAACAAUUGGUUGUUGUCAUGUGAGAACAUGGGAUCAGGAUUGCUAGGUGUUUGGAUUUUUCAAGGAAGCUACAAAUCCGUGUAUUUAUGUAAAAGCUCCCACCCUACAAUUAUUGGCAACUAAUUCAAAUAAAACAAAUGACUGUGCAGGCCAAACAAAACUCACUCAGGAAUUGAUGUGGCCUGGGGAUGACAGUUUGUAAAGUCUACUCUUAAUCUGAACUUGGGCAGCAAGACUUCUGAGAGUGUUUACCCAUUCCCCUCUUUCUUCUCCACAUCAGUUGCUGGCCUGGGUGUCACCUGUGGGCCCCUUCCCAGCAUGGCCCAGUUGGACCCUUGGUUUGGGAUUCUUAGCACAGCUGAUGACCCAAGAUUCUUACUGCACCAACGGCAGUUUGACCAGUGCAGUAGAUGUGGGUAUAUCUUCAGCCCUGUCUUCCUAUUUCCUUUUUAAAGGCACCAUGAUUUUCUCCUUCAAUGUAAUUGUGUAAUGGGGGGCAGGAAUGGAGGAAUAUGUGUGUGAGAAGACCUAGCCUUUCAAAGAAGUGAGGGUGAUGUUGAAAUAGGAUCCUUACAAAUGCCUGUAAUACCUGAAGCCCUUGAAGUUUAGUCCCUCAGUUUCUAAAUGGAUUUGGAAUCCAAAUAGACUUUAUGUCUCCUAUAGGAAAUAUUUAGCAGAGGGGCCACUUCUUUUGAAUGUGGUGCAAAGGAAAUUGCUCGAGCAUGGGAGCUGGGAGUCUGGGCUGACCUGCUGUGUGACCCUGGGCAAGUCACUUCAGCACUCUGGGCUUUGGUGUCCUCAUUUGCAGGAAUUGGUGGAUUGUUGAAUUCCCUUCUCUGCUGGACCAUCUAGGAUGCUCACAUGGCACCCAGGAUCAUGCUCAUGCUCAGCGAAGUAAAGGCAAAACCCUUUAGUGUUAACUGCCAGGUAGCCAGACUGUCUCUGGUUUAGAAGAGGUCCGGAGUAUGACUCUUACUGUGACACGUCUUGACGAUUGCUUGUUAAUUUAAAUUUUUUUUUAGAAUUGCUAUGAUUCAAUUAGUCUUGUCCUUCCCACUACCAUUUCUUCUCAGUGGAAGAUAAUGCUCUUUGUUCCUUUUUUUUUUUUUUUUUUUGGCAGCUGCUGCAAGCAGAUGGGCAAAAUCUCUAUCCCUGGGGACAGCUUUGGAGGGUUCCCUACAAUUCUGGUCUCGCCUAUAAAGAACAGCUCCUCUAUAGCCUUAAAAUAGGGUGUGGGGAUGGCUACUUUUCCCUCCCUAGUUCCCAAGGGGAUCUCAUGUGUUUUUAAGGCAUUUGUGGAAAAUAUGAACCUUUUAAGGUUGAAGCUGGUCUUUAAUCUUUCCGAAGAUACUACUGAAGAUAACAGCUAACAUUUAUAGCAAACUUACUGUGCAACAGCUGCUAUUCUAAGUAAUUGAUUAGUUUCAUUCUCAUCAUAACCCUAUGAUGUAGGAAUGAUUCUUGGUCCCAUUUUGCAGAUGAAGAAACUGAUGCACAGAGGAGUUAAUUUACUCAAGGUCAUGCAGCUGGCAAAUUGGAAAACUGGGUUUCAGACUCUAGUGGUCUGAUUCUGGAGCUUGUGGUUUUAAUCAGUAUGCUGCAGUGGCCUCUUAAUGAUUUGUAACAAUUAAUAAUGUUGUACCAAAUGGCUUAUAAAUAUUUUAAAAGAAAAAUAAGGAAAACAUAAUUUUCUUUGCUCUGCCUAGGUACAAACUUAAUGGCCAGGCAAUACUCUGCAAAGCUAGGACUUUAUAGGAAAUGAAUAUGAGAAAUAGUUCUCAUAUAUUUUACCAUACAUUUAUAUGUACAUAACCCAUAAUAUAGGUAAACUGUAUUUGUAUAGCCAGAUAUUCACAUUAGCUAUAUCUCUGUAGACAAACACACAUGUUUCCUUGGAAAAGGUGACAUACACACAAAUACAAAAAUUAGAUCAGAUUCUAACUUAAUUCCAGGUGGUCCAAAAGACUAUCUCACUCCCAGGUCCUUGUCAAUAUACUCCAUGUUUGUUUAGUUAAAAUAAGAAUUUUGAAUAUUGGAGGAAACAAACCAACCCUGAAUGCAUUUGAAGCAACACUCAAGCUGACUCAUAAGAAAAAGGCAAAAGGCCCUGGGGGCUCCAGGGGCCUGGACUCCAGGGGACCUGUGGUUGGGCUGUGGUGUGAACAGAAAUGUCCGUUCAGGCUCUCAGCUGGGCAUGCUGAGGGGCCUCGGUGCCCGCCACUGAGCUGUGAGAUCUCUGAGGGCAUAACCCAAUGAGGGUAUCCUUACUCCUCUCCAUUUGUACAAGCUGGAGACUCAGUGCAGCUUGAAACUUGAACUUCCAGAAAUAACGGUCUGGAAUGUGAAAAAGCCUCUCACCUAACACUGAGUGAAGAGAGCCAGAUACAAAACCAUGGAUACGUUUUAAUCUUGAUUUUGUUAAAGGAAAUGGGUAUUUCGUAAUAUGUGUAGGAAUGUUAGCAUAAAGGAGGUACAUCGAAAUGUGAUUUUAGAUACCUUCUUUGUAUUUCUUGUCCUAACAGUCUACAAUGAGCACAAAGUACUUUUAUAAUUAAGAAAAACCCUAAUAACUGUUCUUUUAAAAGGUGAUCCUUGGAGGCUGGAGUAGAACGUCUCCAAAGAAGCUGAACAUUCUGUUACCACCCACCCUUCUCCCUAAUGAGAAGGGAGAAGCUUCCCUUCUCAGGGAAGGAGCUUUUGUGCAGAUCCCACAGGGACUUUGGGCCCAGCCCUGGUUGGUUGCGCUAUGACACACAGGGCUUGGGGUCUCACAGAGGAGACCCAUAUGAGUGUGCUGUUCUAGACAGAAAUUUAUAAGCUAAGCUUCUCAGAGCCCAAGGUCCUACAGAAGAACAUCAGAGCUGCCGGGGCAAAGGAAAAGCAGUACCACUAUUAUCCCUUUCAUACAGUGGGCUUUGUUUGAAGAUUUUUUUCCCCAAAAAAGGAUUUAAUUAGAGUGGUCUGUUCCAACUUCCUCAUUGUAUUGAGGCCGGCAACAGAAUGGACUUGCCCAGGGUCACAAUCAAGUUCAUCAUAUUAGAACUAGGGCAAGGUCUCUGGAAAGACAGGCCAGCACACCCCCGGCUCCCGGCCUUGUUGGAGCCUAACCAUGUGGCUUUGUACAAGGCAGCUUUGGAGGCUUCCUCUUAGCAAAGCCAAGCCUGUCCCGGCGGCACUUUAACCCUUUCUAAUUUCAGAGCAACAUGCAUCUGCUUCCUUGGUAAUUUUUUAAUGGGUGGGGAUGUGGCUCUCUCCUGCAGAGAAACCAGAGCAUGUGGGCCCCCAGGGAACAGAGAGGUCACCUGGUUCAGUCCCUUCAUUCCACCGAGGGGGAGGCAGAGGUCCAGGAAAGGGAAGAAAGUCCCUAUUAGCGUCCCUCAGGGAGUUCCUUAUGGAACUGGAGCUGCUCCAGAGAAAAAGAUGUCUGUUUGUAACAUUAAUGUGUCAUCCUUUUUCUACACAAGAGGUACUUGAAGCCCAGAGAGGGGUGGGAACAAGUUACCCAAAGACACCCAGGGAGUUAGGGGCUGAAUUGGGACUAGUCCAUAGCGCUGCUAACCCCCUACACUCCCAGUCUGGGGUCAUAACUUCCCUCCUCGUCUGCCCCAGCUUGCCAGGCCUUUUCCGUGCAUAGCUGGUUGAGAUCUCUUCUCCGUGGUGGUAAAUAGCCAUUAAUUUUUCCCCCAACUGUCCACAGGAUCAUCCGGACUAAAGUACAACAACCCCCGAACCAGCCGGUCCCAGCUUCCAGUCACAGCAUAGGUAAGAAGAACUUUUUAAAAAAAUUUAAAAAUCUAAUGGGCUCCAAAUAUUCUAAAGAACUUUUUAAUCAUUCUUAUGGACAGAUAAUUCUGCAUAAAACACUUCGGCACACGUACUAAUGCGCCUUCUUUGUCAUUCUCCAAGGGCUGAACCUGGUAAAUGAAUUUUAUAAAUACUGCUAAAAGGUUUUGAAUUUUACUGAUUAUUAUGAUAAAUAGCUUUCACCAUGAGACAGAAAAUUGAAAUCUAAGCCAAAAAAAAAAAAAAUCCACUAAUGGGGGUCUAUAGAAUGUCAGAUAAUUAAAGUAAUAAAUCAAGAAAGGGAUACUUAUUCAUAACAUUUUCUGCAUCAUUAGUCAGUAAGUAGUUUUGAAUGUGUUUUUUUCUUCUAUCAACCAGCCCUUCUACAAUUCUUUGUGCACUUGCAGUCUUGAGUGAAGAUGUGGCAAAACUUCCCAAACUUUCUCUCCCUCUCUCUCUCUCUCUCUCUCUCUCUCUCUCGCUCACUUCAAUCUCAUGUACUCCAUGAACUGUCGAGGACUGCCAGUGGGGCUUUUGAUACUCAUGGGAGAUAGUCUGAGUGAGCAUGACUUAUAAGGGUGGGGGUCCUAUUUCCAACUACUAAAGAGUUCAGAAGUUUCGCUUGCCUGUCCUUUCCCCGAAAAGACUGUGAGAUGAAAAUGACAUGUGUCUAUUUAAGACAUAUUAUUUCUCCACUUGGGAUAAAGGGAACACCUCUGGGGGGAAAGUUAUUCUACUAUAAGAAAGUGCUGACCAUUCAGUUCAGUAAGCCUCUGACAGUCCCAGUCAAUGUCACUUAAUAAUGCCUCAGACUGUGUAAUGUUUCCCCACCUUUGUCACUCCCUCUUUAACUGAAGAACCCCCCCGCAGUGAUGGGGGAUGGGCAGAGGCAGGCUUAUAGUUCCAGCUCUGCCAUUAACUCAUCCAGUGAGUACGUCCCUUUACUUCUCCGAGUCUCAGUUUCCCCAUUUGUGGACUGAUGUGCACAAACUAGGGGCUCCCUGAGGUUUCUGAUCCACCAUGGUUGCCUCUGUGAAUAAAGGUAAGAGAGAGUUCCUCCCUUCCAUAAAAUAAUUAUUUAGGAAUCCAUUCAAAAAGUGUUUGCUAUGCCCUUGCUUUGCAUGGAGACUAGUGUUAUAAAGGAGGCAGGACAGAAUCUCCAUUCUCAUGGACUUCUCGGUCUAAUAGGGGAAUGUAACGAAGAGAAGUUUGCAAAACACUGAGAUAAGGCUCAAGAAGGAAAUACAGGAUGCUGUGUGAGCCAAAGGAAGGGAACUGUUACCAGCUCUGUUGAGCUGGUGUGAAGAAGGUUGAGGAGGGCUCCUGGGGAAAUGUUUGUGGCUGAGAUUUCCCUUGUAGCUUUAACUAUUUCGGAUGACGGAGCAAUGAAUAUGAGACUAAGAAUACCCGAUAAUAUUCUUGCAAUUGGGUUAGAGGAAUAAUUCUACUUGUAGGUCAGCAGAAUGCUUUGUCUCAGAAAGUUUUAUAAAAAAAUGUACCUUGUAUGCGUACAGGCCUUUAUCGUUUACAGACUUAUUGAGGAGUGAGGAAAUGGAAGUUAGAGAGAUUGAAUAACUAGCCCAAGGUCACAUUGCUCAUAAGUGAUGGAGCCAGAAUUGGAACCUGGGUCUUUGGAGUCUGGCGCAAUCACAAGAUAAUCAGAACUAUCACUGGCUCUUGUCAGCAACAUGGCGAGCCUUGGUUAUAUGUGGUUGUUGGUUUUUAAAGUACCAAAUGACGUGUGAUCUUCUUUCUUCCUCUGUUCUUUGCACCUUAAUACAGAAAAGGUUGUGAGAUUUGCAUAAAUCUAUUUUGAGGAGCUUCUUCUGGUGAAGGAAAAGAGAAGUUAACGAUUUCUACUUCUGUGUCUCCUAAGGAAGAUCUAAAAUCUAACUCAGAUAUGAGAAGAAAGGCACUGUUCCCUCUAGGUCUGUAGGAGCAAGAGCUGGAUAUGCUCCAAGGAAAGCAACAAACAGCUUCUCACGCAACACCACCAUUUCUAGUAAUUUCCUACACUUUAGAGUCAAAGGCGGCUCCACCUGCCUCCAGCUAGUUAUAGCCCAAGGAAAUGUGUCAGAGAUUGGUUUGUAGGUUUUAAUGAACCAAGAGAGAAUUCCCACAGCCCAGGAAUGGAAAUUCAGCUGUACAGCUUGAGAGGACCCUGACGACUUGGCUGCUCUUUUCCCCUGGACUCUGGGGUUAGGAGUUAAAGUGAAACUUGCGCAAAACCUCCCCUCCCCUCCCCUCCCCUCCCCUCCCCUGUUCUUAUCCUUAGGAAUGUAGAGACCUGGCCUUAGUCACAAUAAGUCACUGAGCUCAGCCCACGUUUCUGGGCAGGGGAAAUCAAGACUUUAAGUCAGUAGACCUGAGGCCAAGUGCUGGUGCUACUGCUUAUUGGCUAGAUGACAUUUAGCGAAUCACUUCACCUUAUGGCGCCUUCAGUUUCCUCCUUUGACCCAGGAGUAUAAAUAACAACACUUGACAUUGUUGCAACCGUCAAAUGAAAAGCAAGGCAUUAAUGUGAAGCGUAUUAUUGUUCUUCAUUAUUACUUAACGAGGGGCAGAUUGCUGUAAGGGUUCAGACUUCAGUUUCUGGAUUCUGUGGCCUUGGGCAAGUCGCUUACCUUUCCUGAAGCCUGGGUUCCCUUACCUUUCCAAUGAGAUAACAACAUCACCUCCCUUACAAGAUUGUUCUUAGAAUUAAAUAAAAUAAUGCCUCAAUGAUGCCUGGCACAGAGUAAGUUCUCAGAAAACAUCAGUUAUCAUUAUGAUAUUAUACGUAUCGAUACAUAUUAUAUGUGCACAAUAUAUAUUCUAUUAUAUAGCCUAUCAUUAUUACAUAAUUAAUAUUGAACGUGAAAAUCCAGGUAAACUAGAAGGAGAAAAGACAGUGAGGAACUAUAAAGAGAAGGAACAGUUUGCCAUUUGGAGUUUUGUUGGCUAAGUGUAUGAGUGUGCAGGUAUUUAUGUCUGUGUGGAUGGGUGGAUAUGUAAGCAGGGAAUGCAGCUGCCUAACGAGCAGUCUAGGCUGGCUGGUGGUAGGCCCCAGCUCCCCCCUCUCUCUUCGCCGUCCCCCUGCUUCCUGCAUUCUUGGACAGGAUUUGAGCUACUGCUCUUCUCACGCUGUCCUGUGUGCCUUUCUGCACCGUCAGCCCUCCUAGCUGCCCGUGCUCCCCCUUGCAUCCCCCCAGCAGCAGAAAACCGGGGCAAAUGCCCUGAGGGCUGCCCCCAUUGCCCAGGUGUAGACGCUGCCAUAGGGCGGGUGUCCUCAGCGAACACUCACUGCAUCCCGCGCUCCCGCUGCUCCGCAAACAGUGGCAUCCAGCCCAGUGUAGGGUGAGUGCUUUUGUUUUGGCCGGCUGCCCGGCAAAGCGCCCGCCCCCACAGCCCUCCCGCCGGGCCCUGACCAGCCCCUCUCCCUCUGCACAGUGUCCACGGGCUCCGUGACGCAGGUGUCGUCGGUGAGCACGGACUCGGCCGGCUCCUCGUACUCCAUCAGCGGUAUCCUGGGCAUCACGUCUCCCAGCGCAGACACCAACAAGCGCAAGAGAGAUGAAGGUAAGAGAUGCCUCUGCAGUCCUGUCCCGGGCGGACCCGACCGGACGGGAUCUGCUGCGGGGCCGUCAGGGAGGAGUAGAAACAAAGAUGCCUGAUGAGCACCGGAGUCCCCAGGUCGGGUGGACACGGGAAGGGGCUGGGUGCCCUGGGAGAGGCAGGCAGGAUACUGGCUGGGAUUGCGGAUUUCUCACCAGUGUGCCCUCAUCUUCACCCCUUGGGUGAAGGAAAGAGGGCCUGGCAGAGUCCUUGUGUUCUGAGCUUUGUGGUCUGUAAGAAACCUGUGUGCAGAUCUGAUGCCCAAGGGCAGGGUGUGCAGGGUACAGUGCAAGGCCUUUUGUCUCCUUUGUUGGGGAGCCUGGGAGCCGAGGGCGUGCUGGGUGCCCUGCAGUGAGAGCCGCACACCUGGGCGGAGGGGGUCAGCAGGUGGGUUCUCCCAGCUGGCUCUCCCAGACGACGAAGGCAGCGAUGGUGGGGGGCUGAGGAAGUUAAUCAUCUCAUCUCUGCCCUUGGGCCUGGAAGGAAGGAGUGCAGUGGCCUCCUGGGGAUUACAAAGAUGACAAUCUUCCCAGUUGCUUUUUCUGAACCCCUGUGUAUGCCUGCUGCCUGGGUCCCGGGAGCCGGCCAUCUCUGUCCUGCACACAGGCCCACCUUAACCUGGCUUUCUGUUCCCUGAUGGGCUGCCAGUGCAGCUGACGUUAAUGGGUUUGAGAGGAGAAACGAACCCCUGGGAGUCUGUAAGACCUUCUCCAGGAGAGGGGGAAGAAAAAAAAAAAAAAAACGCCUAUGGUCUAGGGCCUGAGAGCUGCGUGACAGAAAUCUUGAUUCAAUUAUUCUGUUCCUCAGCACAAUUCCCUUUCUCGGCUCCCUGUAAGGGAUGUGUGUUCUCGUGAGCACAUGCCUAAGUACUUAAGAUCUGUAACUAGAAAAUUGAGUCGGCCCAGCGGUGGAUUGGCCUGUGGUCUUCGUGUUCUGGGCAGUGCGGAAGCUGGAUCUCUGGUCUCCUCUUGGAGCUGUGGGGGCGCCGGGGGGGGGGGGGAUGAUUCAUGGCUUUGGAACUUCCCUCACCCCUUUCCCCUGUUCUAGACACUCGGAGCAGAUGUCAGAAGUCUUUAACUCAGUGGGCGAUUGUGCUGUGUUACCGCAGGAGGCAGUGGGCCUACCAUCUCUGUUGGUUUAUGGGGUUGGUGCUGUCAUCUUUUCUGCCAUUGUCACCUGCACUCACAGCAGAUGUGCCCAAGCUGGGGCCCGGCUGUGUUUGAUCACAGUGGAGGGGCAGGUUGUGUGAGACUCCCUCACAGGCCGAGGGAUCCCGGCACAGACUUUUGGAGAAAUUAAAAAAAAAAAAAUCUAGUUUGAUGUUUAUCACCAAACAGGUCCUGAUUUGGCAGGGGGUGGGGGCUGUUUUACUGUGUUUGUGGAGCACUGGGGCGGGGGGGGGGGCAGCUGUUUUACUGUGUUUGUGGAGCAUUAUACUGGCUUUUAGCUUCUGCUCAGCAGCCACUGUUCAGCUUCUCGUGCUGCUUUAAAAGGUAUCGAGUGGGGGGCAUUGAGGUGGCUUAGUCGGUUAAGCGUCCGACUCUUGAUUUUGGCUCAGGUCAUGAUCUCGAGGUUUGUGAGAUGGAGUCCCACAUAGGGCUCUGUGCUGAUAGCACUGAGCCUGCUUGGGAUUCUCCCUCUCCCCCUCUCUCUGUCCCUCCCUGCCUUGUGCUCGCACGCACUGUGUCUCUCAAAAUAAAUAAACAUUUAGAAAUUAAAAAAGCUAUCGAGUGGUCAGCAUGCAGGUGUUGUUGGUCUAGACUGCUCUGUGCCAUCAGAUCAUUUCUCAAGGACUGUGGCCCAGUUGGGGUAUUGACCUUUAAGAAGGACAGUGACAGAUUGAGAUGUGUCCAGGUGGGUGUCACCUGGAAUGGCAGGGAUCUGGAUAUUACAGCACCUGGAGAACACCUUGAGCCUCUAGGGUUGUUUCAAUACAACAAAGAGAAGAAUGAGCAGGACUGGACUGUUGCCUUCAAAUAUUUGGAGAGCUGGCCUGGAAGGUAAGAGGAAUGAGACUUUGUUGUCUGGCCUUCAAGGCCAGUCUGCAGCAGAUUCAGAAUUUCAGCUCAGUGUAAGAAAAAACUUGUAGAUAUGAGAGUGGUCUGAGGCAAAGGGAGCUACCUUGGUAGGUAGUGAGUGCCCUGUCACUAGAGGUAUGUAAGUAGAGCCCAGGUGACCAUGGGCUGGGGCUGCUGUAUGAGAGCAUCAAGGAUCAGAUGUAGGAUUGGAUACUCUUCGAGAUCAAGUACUGAUCUCCAGAAAGACCUGGGAAGUGAUCUAGUCCGUUUUCCGGGGGCAAAGGGACAAUGAUUUGAUGGUCCUGGAAGCCAACAGGAUUGGGAAGAAUGGGAGUCCCAAAUGGCAACCAGAGCCCCUUCUCCCCUUGCAGCACCAGGAGUGUGUUAAAGCAGAGAGGUGGGCAGAAGUGCCCUUGUUCACAUCAGCAAACUGCCUUGAAGGACUACUCCCCAGUGCUCCCGGAUACCCUUUCCCACCCUCCUUCCCUCCCUCCCUCCCUAUCUCCCUGGAUCCUGGCAUUGGUUUCAGGGGGAGUUAAAGAGGCAGAAAUUGUCACCCCUAUCUUAUAGGGGAGGAAACUGAGGCCCCAAAGAGUUCUGUGACAUUGUCAAAGCCACACGGCUGGUGUGGCCUGGGGAGCUGGGAGCAGCUGGAGAGGCCCUGAAGGCCCCAGUUCCUUGGAAUCCCCUCCCCCCCCCCCCCCCCCCCCACCAGCUCUCAUUACCCUCAGUCCCUCCAAAGAGAUGCUUGGGAGGUAGAGCAGCCUGGGGCUGGGCAGAGCCUGGGGACAGUGUGAGGAAGAGUUUCAAGCAGAAGGGACUGGUCAGCAGGUUGGAUGCUGCCGAGAGCGUGAUGAAAAAGUCAGAAACCAGCAUUGCUGGGCACACUGGAGGGCUGGCCUCUUGCGGAAGACCAUGGCACUGUUUUUCACAGGAGCCCUUGACAGCCUGAGGGAAGGGCUAUGAGGAAGAGAGGCACAAAGGGCCAAGAGGAAGAGGCCAAGAGGAAUCCUCACCCCCAUUUCUCAGAUGAGGUGACUGAGGCUCUGCAAGGUGGAUUCUACUUUGCAGUCAUCUCCAGCUAAGACUUGGGUUUUGCCCUGUGGGCAGUUCCUGCUGCCACUCUCAUGCCCAGGCCUCAGGACAGGGGUGGGUGGUUACAGAGUCUGGUCACAAAGGGCCUGCCCUCUAGAGCUCACAGGCUGGGGUCAAGACUGACAAGCCCAAAGUCCCUCCAAUGGUCAGUGUGUAAGAUGGUGCUGUGAUGGGUGGUGACACCAGAGGGGGAGAAGAGCAAGGCAGGGAGGGGCAGAUUUUGACCAAAGGGAUCCAGGAAGACUCCUCCUAGGAAGUGGCCCUUUAUCAAGGGGAAAAUAGUUUAUAUUGCUUCUGUUUUUUUUUUUUAAUGUUUAUUUAUUUUUGACAGAGACAGAGACAGAGCAUGAGCGGGGGAGGGGCAGAGAGAGAGGGAGACACAGAAUCCGAAGUAGGCUCCAGGCUGAGCUGUCAGCACAGAGCCCGAUGCGGGGCUGCAACUCACACACCGCGAGAUCAUGACCUGAGCCGAAGUCAGACGCUCAACUUACUGAGCCACCCAGGCGCCCCCUGCUUCUGUUUUUAAAAUCAAAUGAAAUUUAAAUUUUAGUUCUUCAGUUACACCCGCCACAUUUCAAAGCGCUCAGUAGCCUCAUGGUGUGCCGAGUGGCCACUGUAUUGGAUGAUAUGGCUUUGAUGCAAGUGCUUGGCGCAUAGUAGCUGCUCAAGAAGAGUGCUUCUUGGUGGAAUGGGUCAGUCACAUGCUUGUGGAGGGUUCACAGUUAGUAAGGAGGGGGAGUGGGCAAUCUCCUCAACCAGGAGGGUUUCUGUUUGGUAUUUUGGGCUUCCACAGAAAGCUCUAUUUGAAUAAAGACUUCUGUAGCAAAAACAAAAAAGUUAGGGCACUGUUAGACUAGUGGAUUGCCAGGGGCCCCUUUGGUCUAGAAAUUCUAGGACUCUCCCCCGGGACAUUUGCCUCCAAGAUCAGCUUUGGGGAUGUGGCCGCUGUGUCCUGAUCUCAGAUGAGCUGUAUGCGGCUCAGGUGGCAGAGAAGGCCCUGGGGCCUCUGAGGGCAGAGCUGGGGCUGGCUGAGGGAAGCUACAGGAAGCAGAUUGUAGCUCAGUGCAAGGAACUGCUUUCAGAUAACAGCCAGGCUAGGCCAAGGAUGGAAGCAUUAGGUUGGGAAGGGAAUGAGCUCCCUGUCAUCAGAUGUGUGAUCAGGGACUAGACAAAGGAGAGGCAGAAGAGCCAAAGAAGGCAUUCUGAUUUGGAUCCCAUGACUUUGAGACCUGUUACAGUCUGGGUAGCAGGUGCUUCUGUGACCUCCUAUGUCUGCAAGUAGUUUUCCCUACUUGUUUUUCCCUUCUGCCACCUGACUCUGAGGUGGCCGUCCACAUGGACUUGACUGGGCAGAGGCCACAUCGCAUGCGUUUCUCUCCCUGGUCAGCUCCUUGGCACAAGGCACAGUGCCCAGAGGUGCUCAGGAGUUCUGUGGCUGGUACUGAGAGCUUUCGUGAAGUCUCUGGUGUAGGCCUCAGGAAUCCCACUGGGCCAGGGGGACAGAGCCUGAUGCGGUGCUUCCCCCACUAGGAGGCUGGACUGGGCCAGGCAGGAGCGGCUGUGAACAGUGGCCAUGGGUGAAAGGAAAGCCCCAGACCCUGUGUUUCUUCCUGGGCCUUGGAUCUCCGGUGGGGUCUCUGUCCACCAUCUAUCUCCAGGGCCCCCAUUAAGGUCCCCUUGACUCCCCCCUCCUCUCCAACCCCCAGAAUUUGAAAAGCUCUGAUGAGCACACCAAGGUCAGCUGAGCGAGAAUCCCUUUCACUAGCUCAGAAGGCUGCCCAGUCCAGGACGAGUGUGGACUGUGGGAGCCACAGCUCCUUUGUGAGCAGUAGAGGUACACUGCAGGUGGAAUUUCUGGCCUUCUGUCCCCUGGCUUCUCUCUGCCUGAAGAGGGCACAGGAAAGGCAUCCGAAAUCCCUAGGUGGCCUGUCCUUUUCAAGAAAUGCCAAGUCCAGCAUGACUCUCAAGGAGAGGAUUGGGGGGCAUUUAGGAGGGGCUCCUGUCAUGACUAUGUCUACCCCUUUCUGGGGGUGCCUGUCUCUUCCUCAUGCCUUUCAUUCGGGGGUGCAUCUUAUCCAGUGUUAUCUGCCUUUGUUUGUGUCCUGUUAAUAGACUUUUUCUGUCUGCUUCUGUCUCCUGGUCUAGCGUGCAUGCUCUCUCUCUCUCUCACGCACACACACUCACACUCUGUCACUCACGGUCUCACACAUACACACGCUGUUGCACACCCGCUCUCUCUCACACACUCUUUCACACACAUACACACUCCCUGUCUUUGUCACACACUCUCACACACAGACACACAGUCACAUACAUACUGUCACACACACACACACACACACACAGACACACACACACACACACCUCUCUGUCUCUCUCGUUCCUCUCUCUUUCUCUCACACAUGCUCAGUCACUUUUUCUUUUCUUGUAUUCACUCUUGCUCUCCCUCUUGCCAACUCUCUGCUCCUCUCUCUCCCAGGUUGGGAGCCCCAGCUCAUCCCUGCUCUGCAGACCUCCAUGGGACCCCACACAGGGAGGGAAGGGCUUUCAGAAGCUCACAGACCGACCCCCUCCCCCACCACGGGCAGACCCUGAUCUUCCUCUAUCAGGACCUUUUCCUUGCUGGACACUCCCAUCCUAUCUGCUGCUCCCUGGCUUGGGAUGGAAGGCUGGGGACGAAGGUGCAGAGACCCCUCUCGGAUUUGCCAGAAGGGAAUGGAUGUGUGAAAAGAGUUAUCGGCAGCCCUUGAUUCCACAGAUCGCUCAUCUCUGGAGAGCCCACGAUGAGACGGUGAGAUGUUGAGGCAAGGACACAGGCUCACAGGCCAGGGACAGAGCAACAUGAGGACUUCCUGGCGUGAAAUCUUCAGCGAGUGACUUAAUCUCUCUGACCCUCCACUUUGUCAUCUGGAAAAUAUCCGUAGCACAAGCCUUGUGGGUUAUUGUGAGGAUAAAAUGAAAUCAUACCCUCAAAGGGUUUAGCCCCAGGGGCCAGUCAUAGUAAGUGCUUAAUAAAUGGCCACGGAGGAGAGUGGGGCUGGAGGGUGCGAGGCCAGUCACAGGCUGAAGUCAAGCAGUCGCUAGCCUUCUGUUUGGUGGCUGAAACUAGGGAUCUGCCCACCGCAGUCUUCCUGUUUGUAAGGCCUCUGCUGUGGCAUCGAGACUGAACAACAGUGCCCCCAGGUGUCGGCAGCAAGACGAAGGGCCACUUGCUUUCCUUUGCUUCCUUUCCUCAGGACCUUGGUCUUCCAGCCCCCUGAUGGAAAAGAGUAAAAGGAUCAAGUCUCAGUCCACAAAGAGUGGCCCUAGGUACACAAGAGAGGCUCCAAGAUGGAGGGCAGAAGGCAGAGCACCUGGGCCUGGGAGGGCUGGGGGUGGGGUCACCAGCUUGGACCUCAGGGCUCCCCUGUUGGAGUAAAGGGCCUUGGAGAACAUCUAGGACAUGUCAUUCCAGUCAUUAUCCAGAGGGGAAAACAGACUUGGAGAAGAGAAAGGGUCUGACCAGGUCACGUAGUAAAAAUCUGGAAAACCCAGAGGGAGGGAAUGGACUCUUCAGAACAUCCUUGGUAUCCAGCUGCCUUUUGAUGUGGCAACUCUCAGUUUCUUCUGUCCCUUCUCUCCCAUUCUACUUUCCGGCUGCUGCCCCCACUGUUGAAAGCCACCAGGAACCUCAUCCGCCUGUGCUGGGACAGAGGGGCUCUAACCCCUGACUCAUCCCCAGGGCGAACCUCAACUCUUGACAAUGAGCCUUGCCCUUCCUGCCUUGCCUCCCGUUCCUCUUCCUUGUCCCUUCUGUGCUUCUGCUCCCUGUGCGUUCUCUGAGCUUUCCUGUCUCCAGGCCAUUAUCCACACAGGGGGCCCUCCCACAGGAGUGCUGUCCUUGAGGCUGGUCUGUUGGCCUGGCCUGGUUCCCAGAGCCAGCCCACUCCCUGCAGGGAUUUUCAGUGUUGGACCAGGAGUCCUUCACAGCCAGGCCCAGGAUGGAGCAUUGGAAGCCAGAGAACCUCUGCAGAGAGGGAAAGGAGUGACUAGCAUUUUGUCUCCGUCUUUCCUGGGGCUUUACCAGGGCAGGCCUCCCUUCCCCAGUCCUCCAUGAGGUGCCCCCUGGAGGUCUCCUCAGGCUGCCCAUGCAGGGGGCCCUUCUCUGAGUUCUUUCUUUGUCUAUCUGUGCAGGGCUCAGAACCAAGGUUCCCGCUGGGAGGGGGAUCGCUUAGAAGCCAGGUGGCAAUUCCCAGCCUGGCAGUCAUGCUUUACUUGGCUUGCCUUGGAGUUAAAGUAAUUUUUGAUUAGUUACUGACAUUUAAAAAUCAGAUUUCAUAUGUGGAUGUUUGGCUUUUCUUGGGGGAAAAAAACCCCAAAACUCCAAUCUGGCAACACUGGGCAGACUUUCCCAUGUAGCCAUGACCGUCUGUGGCUGCUGGGCCUGCGGGUCUCAGGCUGCUCCCUAUUCAACUUGCUCUCAGUUAUUCGUGCUCCGUUUUUCUCUACCUGAAGGCAUUUGAGUUUCUGGAGUCCUAGAGUGGACUUGGAGGAACAAGCAUGAGUCCAGUCGAUGCAAUAAAGCCUGUGCGGGGCAGCACCAUGACAUGGCCCAAUGGAGUUCUGUGUGUGUGUGUGUGUGUGUGCACGUGUGCGUGUGGUCAGGGAAGUAGGCAGUCAGGUUCUUAGGCCAGUGGUGAGUGGGGUAAGGCACGGCAGUAGGGCGAGGUCAAGGAGCCACACCUCCUGUAGCCCAGAAGAGCAGUGAAAUCGAGGUCAUUCAGUCCACACCUACCAGAUGGGUCAGGCACAGAGGUCCCAGGCUUUGCCUCCGGGCGUGCAGGGCGUGCUGAGUGGCAGUGGUGAUAGGGACCCAGGUUUCCAUCUCCCAGCCUGGCUGGCCACUCUCCGUGUCCUUCUGGCUGUGUCAUCAUUGGCACUCUGAGAAGUGUCAGAGACUUUCUUGGUAAAGCAGAGGACCUGAGGCCAGGUGGCCAGUUGGAAGGGCUCCUUGGGCCUUUCCCUAGUGCCUAGGGCCUGUCCCUUGGGUGUGUGUGGGGGGUCGAGUUUCAGUUCCUCCUGGCCCCCGGGUCCCUGAGUUUCACUUUGAUUCAGUGAGUGAAAGCCUGUGUGAGAGCCAGCACCACUGAAUAUCCCCUCCACCCCUCCCUGCCCCUGUUUUCACGCUUGCUUUGCCCACACCUUCCCCUCCCACCCCCCAGCUCCCCUUCCCAUGGUCUGUGGUCUGGUGUUCUGGAGAACCCUAGGGAAUGUAAAGGAUAGGGUGACAGAGUGUGAGGGAUCUCAGUUCAGGGAGCUGGUUCUGAGGUCAGCCAGAACAAGAGUUUGGGGUCAGCUGAGGGAACAGCUUAAGGGAUGGAGUCUCCACAGUGGACGGGCUCCCACUGGCUUUCUUCCCCGAUCUGUGCCUGCUGCCCUGUGGGGCAGAAAAUCCCACAGUCCCUUCUCUCUGGCUUUGGAAUAUGGUUAAACCUUGGCCACAGUCUGAGGCUCGGGGCUUCACAGGGCUCCAAACUACUAGAGGCUUAUAAGGCAGGUGCAGGAGCCCGGAAAGAGGGGGAUAGGACCUCUGGGCCCCUGUCCUGAUUCUGUGGCUAACUUACUGGUGACCUUGGAGGGAAUCCCUUCCUCUCUCUAGGCCUAUUUCCUCAUCUAUGAUAUGGGAUCAAGGGAUUCCUAAGGUUUUUUUUGGUGGCACCAAGAUUCUGAGCUUCUCCUAGUCCCAUCUCAAAUACUGUUGUAGUAUUUUAGAACAAUGGUUCUCCAAUUUUUGGUCUUGGGACCCCUUUAAACUCUUAAAAAUUAUCAAGGACCCCAAGAAGCUUUUUAGUUUAAAACAUAAAAGUUUAAAUACUUACUUACUAAUUCAUAAAAAAUAAUAAGGGUGCCUGGGUGGCUCAGUCGGUUAAGUGUCCAACUUCAGCUCAGGUUAUAAUCUCACGGCUUGUGAGUUUGAGCCCCGCUUCUGGAGCCUGCUUCGGAUUCUGUGUCUCCCUCUCUCUCUGCCCCUCCCCUGCUCGUGCUCUGUCUCUCUCUCUCUCUCUCUCUCUCAAAAAUAAACAUUAAAAAAUUAAAGAAAAUAGUAAUAAACAAGUAACAUAAGUAAUGUGUUUGAAAUAAGAAAGAAUCAUAUUUUCCAUACCAAAAAAUUUAGUCAGAGUGGCAUUGCUUUAUGAUUUUGCAAAUCUCUUUACUGUCUGGCUUAAUAGAAGACAGCUGGAUUCUCAGAUCUGCUUCCGUAUCCAAGCUGCUGUGAUACCACACGUCCUAGUGCGUUUGGAAAACUCCACUGUGUACUUGUGAGAGGGUGAGAGUCAAUGAGGCCAAUAAAAUGUUGGAUUUAUUAUGAAAAUAGUUUUGGCCUUACAGGACCCCCUGAAAAGGUCUUGGGGUCCCUCAAGGGGUCCCUGGACUAUACUUUGAGAAUCUCUGCUUCAGGCUACUGGGGACUCUGAGCUUGCUUACUUAUCGCUUAUACAGAGAGGGAAAGCAGUUAAAUAGUUUUUACUAAAAGGAAAGGUACCAUCAGUUCCCCCUAUUUUUAGCUCCUGAAGGCAGGGGGAGCCAUGGAAGGUCUUUGAGCUGGGGUGGGGGGGAGUAACAAGACAUGCUGGGCUUUGGAAAUCCUCCUGUAGCACAUUGGGUAUGCAGGGCUUGCUCCUCUCCCAGGUGUGAGCUCCCACAGAAAGGCGCAGCUACUGAGGUUUCUUUCAUUGCCAGCAGAAUGUCUGUAGGGCUUGAGGUCCGACCUCCCUCCAGCAGGCUUUCUUCAGGGUAAAAAGCAGCCACCCAGUGCUCCCUAUGAGACUGGAGAGCGGGCAUUCUGAGACCCAACCACGUCUCCCCAACCCAGCUCAGCUCUGCACUAGCUGGCAGAUCCCUGAGAUCUCACGCUGGGCAUAGUUUUGGUGGGAAAAAAAAAAAAAAACAACCAGGUAAUAAUAUUGAAUAGGAAUGAAAAAAAAUGAAAUAAAGUAGUAGGUUUGGUAUUUAUCUGAACUCCUGCGAUUUGAGGAAAAGUAGGUCUGAAAGGCAAUUGAGACGGGAGAUUUCUGUUCUGAUUCCGUAGGCGCUUCUAGAUGUUUCUGGAAUGCCAGUGGUUGGGCACUGGUGUGUGUGCAUCUAUGUGCAUGUGCGUGUGUGUGUGCGUGUACAGUUUCACUUUGGAAUGUCCAGUUUUCCUCUUCAUUGGUACAAGCUUAUUACUUGUGCUAGUCUUUCCUUGGACUAAUGGACUAAAAUGGAGGAGAGGGAGGUGUCCUAAGGUAAUCUGAGAAGAACUGAGAGACCAGGGCUUAAAGGUGUUAGAGAAGAUGCAUAUGAGAAAGAGAUUGCUUGUAGUGUAAUGAACUGAGCUAUGUAUGAGGGGAAACAAAACCAUGGCCCCUGGAGAAACUCAAGGAGGAGGAUGAAAAGCGACAAGAAGGUCAGGCACUUCCCUGUACUAGCCACCAGGUGGCACCAUUGACCCAAGACAGCUUAGUUGCAGUCCAGGGUUGGGGACAAGAGGGGUAACAGGGCAGUGUGUAAUGGCCAUGUGGGAGUUUGUAAUUCAGUGGGGGGUGGCGGUGGCCAGGUAGGCUGACUAUUUCCUAGAGACUUCUUUCAAAGCGUUUAGUCAGGGCAGGCAGAGGCUGGACCAUCCUUGUUGGAGAUCAGUCUGGUCUUUUCCUCACCUCCAUGGUGCAGAUGUCUAGAUAUAAACCUUUCUGAGAGUCAAGUCUUUGGUUCUAUUCUAAGCCUUUACUGGUUGUGUGGCCUUGGGCAAGUCAUUUCUCUCUUUUUUUUCUUCCUUCCUUCCUUCCUUGCUCACUAACCCCUCCCCCACCUGCCCCCCCCCCCCUUCUCUCUCUCUCCUCUUCUUUCUUUGUUCCACACCCAGCAUGGUGCCCAGUGCAGGGCUUGAACUCAUGACCCUGAGAUCAAGACCUGAGCUGAGAUCAAGAUUCAGACACUUUAACUGACUGAGCCACCCAGGCCAAGUCAUUUCUUUCUGAGUCUUGUUUUCUGCAUGUCAAAAUGUGGAGAUUUGAACAGGCAGUUUUAGUGGUCUUUUGGGCUCUGACAUUCUGUGGUAUGCCUGAGGGAACACGGGAGGGAGUUGGAGUUAAAUUCAGGAUCAUUCAGCUGUAUUACCUUGGGCAGGUCACUUGCCAUCUGUGGGGAUUAUAGUAACAUCUCCCUCAGACUUUUUGGAUAAAGUAGCAGCCUCGAAAAGACUUUGCAAUCUUUUUUGUUCCUGUAGGACAAAGAGGAUCGCUAUUUAUUAUUUCCCUUGGAAUUGAAGUUGGCCAGAGGCAAAUCCUUACAGUGUAGAAAGUUUGUGCCUCUGCCUGUGACCACCAAUAAAGGCCUUAUGGCAGGUGCUGCUCAAGGUCACUGUAUUUCUUGAAGCUCCUCAUUUCUCUCCAUCUCCACUGCUACUGCCUCAGUCCAAGCACUCUCUCAUUUGAACUAUUGCUUAUAGCUUCCUAGUGGGUCCCUACCUCCAAUGUCUCUGACUUCUCCAAACAGUCCACUUUCCACAGAGCAGCCCCAGAUGCACUUCUGAAAUAGUUCUGAUCAGUGACUCACCUAAAGGGCUUUUGCUGUUCAGCUCUGCCUGUUGUUCUCAGAAGCCCAGCAGACUUAACAAGGCUGCAAGGCCCUCCGUGAUCAGGCUCCUGCCCAUCUCAGGAGCCUCAUCUCUCUCCACCCUCCUGUUUUCAUGCUUAUUCCAGCCACACCAAACCUCUUUCCAUGUCUUGUUCUUUCCUGCUUGCAGCCCAAGCUUUGUGUGCAUGGGUUGUAGGAUCAGGCAGUGGGGGCUCUGAUGCUGACUCCACCAGUGCCUACCCAUGUGACUUUGGGCAAGUUAUUUGACCUGAGCCUCAGCCUGAGUUUCCCCAUAUAUAGAAUGAGGGCACAAAUUAUGCCUAUGAUUGGGCUGUUAUGUGGAUUGUAUGAGGUAAUGCGUGUAAAGUGCCUCUGUGUGUGAUACAUGCUCAAUAAAGGAUGCCUCUUAUGGUGCUGUUCUCACUGCCUGGGAAAUUGUCCCUUCUUGCCAACCAUUUACCCAGGUGGCAUCCCAAAUCUUUAGGAUCCAGCAUGAAUAUCACUUCCUAAGUGAGGGCUUCCUUGGUGCUCACUCUUGCUGGUUCCCCUGGCCCCACCCUCAGCACACAGAACCUGCCUGUUGAUAAAAAUACCACAUUGGUCAUUGUCUGCCCUGUGAGACUGUGUCUGCAGUGCUCAUCACUGUUGCCCUAGUACCCAGCACAGGGACCGGUUCAUGGUAGCAAAUAUGUACUGAAUAGGGACUCUGGAUGACAUAGAAGCCUGGAGCCCAUCUGGUCGGUGGAUGCUGGCGGCUGUGUAGAACCCAGAGCCUUGCACAUCAAACAUCCACCCAUUCUUGCCUGACCCCAAAGCCUCUGUCCUCCAGCCGCUGCUGUCUGGCCCCAUAGAAAGGAUCUCAUGGCAACCAUUCCAGAAAGGAAGGGAGCUCUCUCUCCCUUGGUCAAAAUACACGUAUACGCGUGUACAUAUGCGCAUGCACACACAUACGUGCAUGCUGGUGCCUUCAGCCCCUAUCCUGCCUGCCGCACCUGAGCAUACGUUCCAGUGUGUGGCCCCAAAUCGCAACUACAACACCGCACAACCCCAAUGGGUAGCACUUACUGUUUACUGUAUGUAUUUUAAUUUAUUAAUGCAUUUAAUACUCACCACCACAGCACCAGGUAGGUACUCCUAUCAUCCCUGUUUUAUAGAGAUUCAAAGAGAUUGGGGAAGUUGCCCAAGGUCACAUAGCCCCAACAUUCAACAGUGGCAGUGUUGGGACUGGCACCUGGGUGGUCGCCAUCCUGAUCUUCCUCUCAUGUGGUGUCGCAAAGGAUGGCAUCAGUGGGAACUCCCCCAGCUGUCAAUUCCACCUCCCCCCGCCGCCCCGUCCAUUUCUGCCAUCCUAUCCUCCUGCCAGUCUGAGCACAGGGGGCGACCUUGGCUCAGAGCCUGCUUUAUUAAUUAGGUGCCCCACUUCUGAGGUUUCCCCCAGCACCGCUGUGCACACUUUCUUGUCACACCUUCAAGUUGGUCAGUUUCAAGCGCAAUAAUCGGCUGAUCACACAUAGGCUUUAAACCACAGCUGGGUAGUGCAGCGGGUGGACUAGAGUUUGGACCCAGCCCUUCUGGGUACCAGCUGUGCGAGCUUUGGCAAGGGUCUUCUCUGAGUUUCAGUUUCCUCGCCUGUCAAAGGGGAUAAUAAUUUUGGCUUUUCCUGGCAAUUAAAAAAUGUUACUUGUGAUAUUUCACCAGGCACUGGCAUGUGGCAAGUUUCAAAAUAGCUAUUAUUAUUUCUAUCAUUGAAGCAAAGAGUUGUUACCCUGAAUUCAGAUUCCUUGAUGACCUUGUUGACAAUUUUCUAAAUUCCCAGCUUUUUUGUGUUCCCAUUCUUUCUUUUUUUUUUUUUUAAUAAUUAUUUUAUUUAUAUUGCUAGGACUAAUGAUAGGACCAUUCAGGCAAGGGGUCCAAAGAAAAAGGAAGACAUACCCACCAGAAUUUACACUGGCAGAACUUUAGCUCUGUAUUCCAAAAGGCUAAUAAUUCGAGUUGUGGAUGAGGACAGCUUGCAGAGGCAGGAUGAGACUGACAUGGGGUGGAGAGGCCUGGGUUCCUGACCCCAGUUCAGCCACUGUCUUGCUGUGUGAUCUCGAUCAGGUCCCUCCCCUCUGGGUCCUCAGUUGAGCCCAGACAAACCUUCCAACUCCGGAUCCUUCCUUUUCCCUCCUCCCCCCCUCUCCACUGCCCCCCUCCCUGCUCCUCAUCUUCUCUCUCUUCCGUUUCCUUUCUGUCUGAGACACAACGCCAUCCAGCACUCUUGAAUGGUACUUUUGUUCUGCUAACAUCUCUUUUCUGAAAAGGAUGAUUGGUCAGGUUUGUAUCUUUUAAAUGCUGGCACGUUUUAUCAGUUAAGAACCUGCAAACCUCUCUCCCAAGACAUAGCCUUAAGGAGUAGACAAGCUGCAAAGGUGGGGAGGGCAUUUAUGGGAGACAAUGGAGGAACAAUAACAAAAUCUCUUUGGGGGCCUCAUGUAUGGUCCCUACAGAAAAUGCCUUCUUUCCUGAGAGCCCCCUUUCCUGCUCUUGCCAUGACCUUAAGCGUUUUCCAGCUUGACUCCAGUUAUGACUUUUGUCCCCCCUUAGCUCCCUGCAGAAUGGGAGAGGGGGCAAGAACAGAGCCCACACUUGGGUGGCCCUCACCUCAAGGCCUCUUUGAGGUAGGGCUUGGAGCACUGGACUUGGAGGGACAGGGUUUAAGUGCUGCUUUGAGUGCUGGUGAUCUUGGGCAAGCCAUUCUGGGCCUCAGUUUUCUUCUUGGCAAAAGAGAACAGGAUGCCUUCCUCAAGGUCUUGGGCAGACUCGGUGAGAAGCAAUGCGUGAGAAAGUACUUUGUAAACUGUAAAGCUCUAUGUAGGUAUGAGACGGUUCCUAUAAUUCAGUUCAUGAGCCUGUUCCCAGACUGAACAAUUCCUUAACUCCUCCAGAGGUCAGUUUUCCCAUCUGUAAAGUGGGGUCUGUAGUACCUAGGUCAUACAAUCACUGUGAGAAUUCCGUAAAGAGUGCAAAAAACCUGGCACAGUUCUUGGCAGUGGCAGGUGCCCAGGUCUAGGUCAGCGCCCUGUUCCUUUCCCUUUCUCAUUUUUCCACAGCCCUUCCCCGUGAGCACAGCGCACAAUAAUUAUGCUACAUGCUUCCAAAAUCUGGCUGCCAGAUCUUCGAGCGGCGGCUCCUUGGCCGGGAGAGCUUAGACAACUUCCCUAACCUGCGCCUCCAUUCUCGUCCCUGUAAAAAAAGGAUCAUAGUAAUAUCUGCUUCAAAGGGUUGUUGACAAGAUUAGACGGUGCCCAUACACGACUCGACCCAGGGUCGGCGCCAGGUGAAUGAAUGUUAGUGAUUCCGCCGCCGGACCUUGCGCCCUCCGCACAGCCAGACGCGGGACCCCGGCUGCGGUCUCCUUCGAGCCCCCGAGGCAGGUGGAAGAGAGCCAGGCCAGAGCGGAGCGGGAAGGGGUUUAUUCAAGGUCGCACCAGGAUUCCUGCGCCAGGAGCUUUGAGGAAUUUCCAGAGAUUCCGUCGUGCCGCCUUGCGACAGAGAGGCCAGACCGCCCUCCUGGUCCGGUCCCCCUCGGCCCGGAACGGACGGUACACUUCUCCCGGGAGGGCAUCGGGAUUUUCCUCCGCGGUGUGGAAGGAGAAAUAAAUUCAACCGCAGAUUCAGGCCGUGGCGCAAAAAGAAGGGAGCGCGCGGCGCCCUCGGGAAGGAGGCGGCCCGCCGCCCGGCUCCGCCAAGCAUUUGCAAUUUAAUUGACAUUUGGCGGCAGGAAGCCAAUCAGUAUAAGUCAAUUGACGUUCGGCGAUAAAACUACCCGGCGGCCGGGCGCUCCCCCCGCCGGCGGCCUCGGCUGGGCCGCGGGGCACAGCGUGGCGGCCCCGGCAGGUAACGGCGCUGGCGCGUGUCUCGGCCCGCGAGGGGGCGGCGAGCGGCCCGCUGAUUGCCGCGCAGCCCACGGCGGCCGGGAGAGGCCCGUAAUGAAUGACUUUAUUUGCCGGGGCCCUGCUGAGAACAAUUGAGUUUGUUAUGGUAACAACGGAUGCCAGCUUUCCGGGCCCCGGGGAGCGCGGGCGCGGCGGCAGCCGCGAGCUGGGCAGCGGAGCAGAUGAUGCGCGCGGAGGCGAGGGGCGCCGGCGGCGGGGACCCGGCCCAGCGAGUGUCAGGAACCCGGGGACGCUGCGUACCCCCGAGCCUGGGGAGGAGAGGCCGCGCUGCCGGGCCGCCUGGGACCGAGGUGGAUGAUGCACACCGCUCUCCCCUUGGACCACAGUGCAGAACUGGGAUGGCAAGAUGCUUGCUUGUCCUACCGGCCAGCCUUCCUGGGUGUCCCCGCGGCCCCUUCUUCCCUCGGCCCCUGGGGCCUAGGGGCUUCUGGUCUGACGGAGUGAGGCUUUGACAUCAACUUUUUGUCUCUUGCACGAGUGGAAAGUAGAAAAAAAGCAGAAAGGCAUCCCUGCUUCGUUCCAGUGCGGUGGCUUGACAAAUUCAGGGCCGGAUUUCCGCCCAACAUACGUGUGGGCAUUGCCUCUAUAACCUCCGCCCUGGAGAGAUGGCUUUCUCUCCAACUCUAUCCCCAGUCUGCAUCCCCGGGCUUUGCGGCAUGGCACCUCCCACAGGAAGCCCUCCUUGCUCUUACAGAGAAGACUCAGUCGGGUGGCUGCCCCUGAGCCUCUGCAGCCUUCUACUAUCUCCCCCUUCAGACCAUGAAUUCUAAGGACAGGGGCCACCUUCCAUUCCUCCUCAGCACCCAGCGUGGAGCCUGGCACAGAGCACAGAUGUGGAAGGAGUGGAUAAGAGACAGGACCUCUCUCUUUCUUGUAAUCUCUUUCUUUCCCCCUGGUUAGAGAGACCAGAGUUCAUUCUCUCCCUUUUUUUUUUUUUCCUUUUCCAGUUCUUUUUUCAGGCAUGCUAUCGUUAAUUCACUCAACAAAUGUGUAGGGAGAGCCAACCAUGUGUUAGGUACCCUGGUACUAACGGGUCACUGCCCUUGGGGAGCUUACUGGUCAGCGAGAGAGGAUAAUGCAGUACAUGUGAUCAGUACACCAGGAACCUACUGUGUGCUGCAUAAUGGCCAGAAUUCUGAGUCAGCUGAGCUUGAUGAAGGCUUCCUGAGGGCUUUUCCCUCUGUCAUUGCAUUCAGUGAUCCCUAGUGCCACCCUGUGACAAUCACUCUUAUUCACAGAUGUGCAGACUGGUGCUUAGAGUGUUUAAGAAGGAGCCCGAUGCUGUGGAAGGAGUCUGGCUUGGGAAUCCAGCACUAGUUUGCCGUAUGAGCGAUGUCCACGUUCCUCCCCUCUGUGCCCUAGUAUCCCCAUCUGUAAAAUGGGGGACUUGCCACUGAUCAUCUGUGAGGGCCAGCUGAGGAUGAGUGUGGUCCACAGGGGAGACGGAGCCAGGACACAGGUCUCUGUCCCCAGCCCGCAGCCCCCUGGUCUUGCAGUGUGACCAGUGGAGGAGCAAAUGUUCUUUUUCUCUCAGCCUUAUGAGGCUGGCAGUGAGACUGAAGCGCUCACUAUGUGGCAGGCACUGUGCUCUCAGCAGCCUUGAGAAGUGCAGGUGCUAUUACUGUUUUCCUUUUGCAGAUGGAAAAAAUGAGAGAUGAAAUAACCAGCCCAGGGUCACAAGGCUAGCACGUUGCAGGGCUGGGAUUCAGACCCCGGCAGACUUGUUUCAGAGCCUGUGCACUUACCUGCUCUGCCUGUGGCAGGGGGAGCACAUGGGCCUCCUCCCCCACUCCCCUACUCUUUCACCUCACCCUCACCCCGGCUUUGUCCCACCUCCCCAGCGCUCUCAACUCCAGGCCCAUUUUGCAUGUUUGCAGGACGGCAGGAGCACUGAUUUCUCAAGGCGUCUUUUCUUCCCCUGGCCUUUUGCUCUUUCCUUUGUUAGAGACCCAGGCAGGAAGGAGAAGCUUCUGUGGAACCCUAGUCUCCUCUUGGCUCUGUUCUAGCUGGAUUAUUGUGUUUGGGAAAUGGGUUUCUAAAAAGGAUGGGGGGAUUCCAGGUGUUGGCUUUUAGGAGCAAGCUCUCACUGUUCAUGUUGAGGAAGUACAUUUAUUUGAGAGUUAAUUGUGGCACUCGUCUUCCUGUCUCUCGAAAGGUGUCUGGAGAACUCUUUCUUUCCCUAGAUACGUCCCUUUUUCAGGAAGACAGAUUAGGAAGAUAGUCCCUGCCAUGGGCUAGUCUUAACAGGCAGAACUGGAGGGGCCUUGGAAAGCAUACACAGUGAAUACCUGUCAACUUGUCAUCCCCUCUGUAAGACAAGUAUUUGGGGGGCUCCUGGGUGACUCCGUUGAUUGGGUGUCCAACUUCAGCUCAGGUCAUGAUCUUGUGGUUUGUGGGUUGAAGCCCCACAUCGGGCUCUGUGCUGAAAGCUUGGAGCCUGUCUGUCUCCAUCUCUCUCUACCCCACCCCGGCACACACACUCUCUCUCUCUUUCUCGCAAAAAUAAAUGAACAUUAAAAAAAACCUUAAACAAACAAAACAAAUGUUUUGUAGUGCUUCCUUUGCUAUCUGAAAAUGAAAUUUAGAAACAAUAUAAGCUACCUACCCACAUAAUUUUAAAAAAUCAAUUCAAUGCCCCAAUUGUGACAAAAGGGGGAAAGAAAAAUAAAAUCAUAAUAAAAUGGUGUAUUUCAUUAUGUAAAUGCUCAGGCAUGACUACGCCAGAAGACAUAAUAAAGUAGUCAGUUGCUUUGCACUUAUGCAGAGAAUCACCACGAAUGCAGCGGCUACAAAUGUGGGCAGCUGCGUUUUUUGGCAAUGCAAAUACUUCUGGUGGUGUUGCCGUCAGUAAACUGAUUUUCUGAAACUAUGAACAUGUCUGGAUACAAUUCCAACCAAAACAAAGCAUAACCUUUUCUCAAUUUAUGUGAUGGUUGCAUUCCCGGAAAAGUCAGUGUAAAUUAAAACGCAAGUUUGUGUCUAUAAGUAAAACAGUUAGGUUCAUGGCCCAGAUAUUUAUAAAGAGAGUUUUGGGGGCAUGUGGCUGGCUCAGUAAGUGAAGCAGGCAGCUCUUGAUCCUAGGGCUGUGAGUUUGAGCCCCGCACUGGGUGUAAAGACUACUUAAAAAUAAAACCUUAAAAAAAAAAAAGUUUUCACCAACCUGAAUGUAUGAUGGGUCAUUCCAAAAACAUGUGGGCUCAGGGCAACUCUUCACUGUGUGAACGGGGCUGGGUACCCCCCUGACUGUGCCCACUAAAUGCCGUAAUUCCUCCCUGGUAACAAAAACGCACAGAUUACCCAAAUUUCCUCUGAUCUGAUCAUCUCUGUUGAGAUCCACUGGAACAAACAGUUUGUCUCUGGGCUCCCUUCCUUUGGGAAGUUCUGUGACUCUGGUAAAAAACACUAUCUGCAUAUAUUGUGCACCUAUUGUGUGCAAGACCUGGCAUUAGGGAGACAGAAACAUGAGCUGAUUUCUAUCCGGGCUGUGAAACAUAAGCCCCUACUCCAUGGGUGCCAAGCUCCCAGGAGCCCUCAGUCAGUGAGCACAGCCUCCUCACAUCUUAUCUCUACCGGGAUAUCCUCUGCCCCCUUCCUCAUCCUCCCAAGCACAAAUCUUGGCUCAGAUGCCACCUCCUCCCUCCAGGAAGCCUUCCCUGACCCCCCAUUUAGUACCAGAUGACUUCUGUCUCUUGGCCCCCACCGCCUGCCGUUUGGGGUUCUCUUAGGGCACUUUCCCAGGCUGGUGUCAUAGCUGCAUCUCUAGGCUUUGUCUCCCUGCCAGAGGAUGGCUCCCUUGAGGGCUGAGAUUGGGUUCCCUUAUGGGGCUAAGCUUGGACUCAGAGCACCAGAAAAGAUGGCUGGAUGCUUGAGCCAAGAGAUGCAGCCUAGCCCGGUAUCCCUCUCUGUACGCAUCUUGUCCUUUUAAUUAAGCACAUGGCUUCCUUCUCCUGUCCUCACUCCCUGUCCUCAUCAGCUGACAUGAGAUGCUUGCUGUGCAAACAUUGCGAUCUCAUUUGGGAUCUAGCCGCUUGCUCGCUCCGACCUAGUGCUUGGACUCAGCACGAUUUAUUGAGCCCAUUGCACAGAUGAACUGAGGAGGUCACACAGCUGGCAAGUGGCGUAGCCCGAGCUGGUGCCUGCACAUUACCAUCUGUGUCAUUUAAACACUUCCAAGCCUGGGCCUCUCUCCUAGGGAGUCAUUCAUCUUUUUAAUGGCUCCUGACUCAGUGUUGGGCACUGUGGCCUCCAUGGUGGACACGGCAUGGUGGCCCCCUUUGACUUCCCUCAGGGUGUUCUGUCUCCCAGGCCCCAGGCCAGGCACGGAAGGCAGCAUCGGAUGCCCUGAGUGGGCCAGUGACCACCCUUUACCAACAGGUCAUCAAGGAGCGGCUGUCUUCUUUGUACUUGUUUAUUUUGUCCCUUUCAGUGAAAUGUCCACUUUUAUCCAUUCAUUUCACAAGUGUUCAUAUUGUGCCUGCUAAGUGCUCUAGGUACUGGGGACACAGUGAUGAACAGGAUAGACAAAAACCUCUGCCCUCAUGAGUGACAUCUUCUAAUAAGAGAAAGAGAAUAAGUAAAUAAGGAAAAUAAGCAGCAUGUUGCUAAGUGCUCUGGUGGAUAAUGAAGCUGGGUAAGGGGAUAGAGAGUGAGGCGGGGAGGGGGUGGGGAGUACAUGCUGGUUUCUGGAGGGUGGUCAUAAUGAUGAAAUGACAUUUGAGGAGGGAGGAGUGAGCCAACAUCUGGGGAGGAACUUUCUAGAGAGAGGGAACGGCGGAUGUGAAGAUCCGAAGCAGGGGUGUGCUUGGCAUAACUGAGGGACAGCAAGGAAGCCAGUGUGGCUAGAGCUGACCGAGUGGAGGAGAGUGGGAGGAGGGGAGACGGGAAGGCCGGGCUGCAGGGCAGGGCACCCAGAUGCUGAAGGGCCUUGUAGGCCAUGAUCCACUGUGGAUUUUGCUGGGAGUGAGAUGGGGCAGCCCAGUACGUCUAACGGGGAACUUCAGAGGUGUGUUUUGCCCCCGGCCACCAGUGAGUCGCUAAAUUCGGCAGAUUUUCGCUCCUGAUCGUCUCCUGAGCCUGGCUCUGAACUGGGUAGUCAUUCCCGUCGUCAGCUCUCUCCUGGGCUGGGACCAUCGUCUGGCCCCGGAGCCUCUGUCACAUCUCCCUCUGAUGAGGUCUGUACACUGUGGCCAGAUCAGACCAUAUGAACCCCUCCACCCCAUAACCCUUCUGUGCCAGGCAUGAAUUUUAAGUAUAUUAAUAUGAUCACACAAGGGCCCAACUAUUUGGAAAACAGACUGGGGGGAUCUGGGAUGUGGGGCUUGGGGUUACUGGAAAGUGGACUGUCAUCUGGUGGGUAAGAGAGGCAGUGUGCUGCAGGGAGAGGCCCAAAAGCCCUUUCCCCCACCCUCAGCGAGCCCCUAGUCUCAGCCCUCUCUCAGGCCUCAGCAAUGGCUCCCCCCAGAGGCGCCUACUUUAUUUAUAGCUUCUCCCCAGCUCCCCGCGGGUAGAGGAAAAGUCCAUUAGUGUGUUUGCCGACUCUGCCAGCUCUGAGCAGAUGCAAGGCUUAUUUGCAAACUGUCAUUGCCCUGGCCUCCUCCAGAGACCCGCAUGCUGGGCUCAGCCUUGUGGCUCCAAGAACCACCUCCCCCAGGCAGACAGCCGGGCAGAGCCCCUGUCCCCUGAUUUCCCAAAGCACAGAAUCUUGGCUUGCAGUUGGGAAAUUUAAAUUAAAUGCCAUGAAGGAACCAUAACAGUACACUGGGCCAUGUUGACAGUGGAGAAUGAGGUUCUCUCUGUUGGUAGGAGCCCAUUGGCUUGGCACAAAUCAGAGAGGUAUCCGGAGAAAGUGCGGAGUCCUGAGCUGAGCCCCUGGGAUCCAAGUUUGAGUUCCGGUUGGGCUGCUGAGUGUCUUAGUGACUUUGGACAACUGUUUACUGCCCUCUGGGCCUCAGUUUCGAAGCUGUACGUGAAGCUGCAGACAAUCUUAGGAUCCACCCUAAGCUCUAAAAUUCUCGGACGUGUGAUUUGAAGAUGUUUCUUUCAUCCAAGUAGUCGAAGACAGUGGUGUGCCCAGAAUGUCUUGGCAAUCCUGAAAUUGCCCGGAGGUUGGCAGAGGCACUCAGGAGCUGAGUCCCUAGGCCUCUUAGUCUCACCUGUCCUGAUAACGCUGCUGUGUGACCUCGGGCAAACCACCUUCCCCCUCCGUGAGCCCAUUUUCUCAUCUGUAAAAUGGGAAUGAUAAUCACUUGCUCAACUCUUCCGGCUCUUGUGAGAGGCAGAUAAACUGAGGAAUGUGAAAGGUCGGCGAGAACAUAUGCUUGAGUGGCGGCUGUUACUAUUGCUGUUGUGGUUACCGUUUUUGGAUGUGCCUUACCCGGUGUGGGCACACGCACUUUCCAGUAUGACAUAAGCACAUGCCCCUUCUGAGUGCAGUUGACGGUGGUUCCAUGCAGAAUGCAGAGCCCUCUUAGAGUUUGUGCUUAGAGUUUGCUCAGUUCCAUGCCAUCCUGAGUCCCCCAUCGACGUGCAUGUGUUUGGUGGAAAAACACACCACAGAUCCGCACAAAAGCCUCUUGAGUUCUUUUCAACUGGGGCAGGAGAUGACACACAUUGGCAGACAGAGGCUGAUCUCUGUGUAUCCAAGAGGAGUCGAGCCAGUCCGAGUAUGUCUAACAGGUCAAGCUCUGAAAUGAAGAAGCAAUAAGCCAGUGAAAUGGUACUAUCACCGAAACAUGAUUGAUCAAUUGAAUUCUAUCAGAGACAGUGGACAGUGAGAUUAACUCAGGCCUGAUAGGUUCAAUGAGUUAAAGCAUGAUGUUCAUUUCAGCUUCAUUUCACCAGUCUUUGCUUGUGAAAUUGGUCAAUCAAUAGAGGUUGAAGAUCAUAUAUAUAUAUAUAUAUCGGGGACCAUCUUAUGGGGAAUAUAAUCUCAGUAGUUGGCUCCUGGCUGGGGCUGCCUGCCUCGGGUAAUGGAGACAGAACAGGGACUCCAUCAGCCCCAUCGAAAUGGCCUGAUAUCUUCUCCAAAUGAAAAGUAUUUUUGGAUCUCUGAUGAUUUAUCUUUUUUUCCUCCCUCUCACUUUGAUCUAUGACAAAACCCAUACCCAUCUUGGAGAAAUAUAGUGAUUUCUCUUGAAAACAUUUGUGCGAUGAUCAGAUAGAUACACUUCAAAAUAUGAACCUUCUUUUUAGUUAUAUUGUCCUUGGAAAAAAAUAAAGACAGUAAUUUAAAAACUCAAGUGGGGGUAAUGCAAAGAUAUCAGUGUAAAUAUGAUUUUUAAACCCUUUUAUUUAUUUAUUUCUGUGCCGCGGGGAUGGGGGACAGACUGCUGUGUGUGUGAAAGCCAAAAAAGGGGACGCAUGCACAAGGAGUCCUUCCAGGUAUAAUUAAAAUGAAGCCUUUAGCAUUCUUUAAUCUCAUCUAAAAGCACAACUCAUAGAAACAAAUCACCCUUUUGCUGCUAGUAAUAUUUCAUUUGCUUUGGAAUAUUUUCACCGUGGUGGUUAACAUCUUCCCUCAUUAGUGUGCCUGUUUCUGUAAGGUGGAGGAAUCAGGUACUACUGUGCAAGGUAAUGGACUUGGACAGUAUGGAUUAGAGAAAACAGACUUGUCCUGUGGCAGUGCACUGGGUAUUCCUUCCUGCCUAUUCGUUGAGGUCAUCUUGAUUUAAUUAAGCACAAAGAAAUCCCAUCUCUUCGUACCAACACCAUGAGAGCUUCAAUUAUGUAUUUGUGCUGUUUGUACAUCACAGGAUAUAUUAGGGUCUGGAUAAUGGAUAGCAGCGCUGAGCAGCUAGACAGAGAGGAGAGAGCCUUGCACACUUUGCCCUCUUCCCCCUCCCCCAAUUCCUGCAUUCCAGUCCUACUGAAUUAUAGCCAUUUCCCAAACACCGUGUUUUCUCGUGCUUCUGGGCCUUUGCAUAUGCUGUUCCCUCUAGUUGGAAUGCACUUCCUUCCUCUCUCCACCCCUUUCUUUGGCUAACUCCUUCCUAUUCUUUCUUAAGUCUUGGGCUCCAUUUUUCCCACGUGGCUUUUUGGAUCACCCUUGCCCCAGUCUGGAUUAAGUGGAGUGGUUUAGUAUAGGCUUAGGAGCAGACUCUGGAGUUAGACUGCUUGGGUUUGGAUCCCAACUCUUCCAUCUCUUAGCUGUGUGGCCAUGGGCAAGUUACUUAACCUGCCCGCACCUCAGUUUCCUCAUCUGUAAAAUGGGAGGGGGAAAUAGCAGACUUAACAUUAUUGGGUUGUUAUGGGGACUAAGUGGGUAAGGUGCUUAGAAUAGUGCCUGGCACGGAGCAAGCUCUGUAUAAGGACUGCCAACCACCAUUUGGCUCCCGGGGCUGUCUCCGCUUCUUCGGCUCCCAGCACUUACUACAUUGGAAUUAUUCACUCCUCUACCUCGUCCACUCAAGGGCAGGGGGGUGACUUAAACCCCUCUCUAAUUCAGGUGCCACACUCACGGCCAGACCGCCAGCAGGAGUUUGGUGCAUGUUGCUCAGGAACGAAUGGGUCCAUGAGGCUUGGAACAGGAAUCAGGAGUCCUGUGUUCCCAGGCUCAGCUCACUUUGGACUUGCCUUCUGGCCCUGGACAAAUCCCUUUGCCAUCCUGGAGUGUGGAAUUGUCGGUCCCUUGGGGCCUUUCGCUCACUGACAGCCUAUGACACAUUGGGUAACACACGGCACAAUCAGAUUCACUCUGGUCGAACCCGAACGUAUUUGGCAAUUUUACAAUUUUGCGUUUUCCUUCUCUGAGAAGAAAGAUUGAGUGAAACUAAUGGCUGAAUAAUGGUAGUUCCAAUGGAAUUUUCCUCCACGCCACUUUGAUUUUUCUCAGUCUGCGGCCCCACUUUAAGAUGGUAUUUAUACAAUCACCCAGAACAUCGAUUUUGGUUUGGCGCUGCCACGGGAUAUUUCCAGCCCUGCCAUCCUGGUCCCCAGCACAGGGCCUGGCUCGUAGUAGAUGCUCUAGAAAUGUCCUCAGCUGAAUCUUACUGUCUGUGCCAGGAAUCCCAUCCCCCUCAUCUUCUCAUUUUGUCUCCUCUCUUUAUCUGGGGUCUGGCUCGGAUGGCCCCUCCUGCAGGACCCCCUCCCUGUUGUUAGUCAUCUCUGGGUCACCCUCAGCAUCCAGACACCCCCAUGCAGAGUAGAAGAAUUAAUGGCGUUGUGUUGUUGUUGCUGGGAGCUUAGAGCUCAGCUGAGUUUAAAAUUUAAAAGUUUAUGAACUGCCUCAGGUCUUUCUUAGAAGUAGUUUAGAACAUAAGGCCUUAGUUGUUUCACUCUUUCCUUCUCCGGAUCACUGAUGUCAUGGAGGUCACUCCCGAAGGUUUUCUCCCGAGUUCUCUGAUGACGCCAGAGACUGUCCUGCUGCCGAGUUCCCCAAGUCAUUCAGGCCUGCAUCCCCUCAAGUCUUCCUAGGUUAUGCAUUCAAUCAACAAACCUUGAUUAGCAUCUCCUGUGCUUGAGGUGAGUCAGACGUGGCCUCUGUCCUCAGAGAGCUCAUACUCUUAGCAGGGAAGGAAAGAAAGAAUAAUCCUAGAAAUGGCUUAUGCUUUUUCAGCACUUACUGUGUACCAGGUACUAUGCUAAGCAUUUUACACGUACCCUCAUCCCAUUCUUUUGUCAACCCCAGGUCUCUUUAUUGUCCUAUUUUACAGAUGGCAAAAUCGAGGAUUCAAGAGAUUGAAGUUUCUCAAAUAUCAUAGGCUUGUAAGAUACAGAGUGAGGAUUUGCGUCUGGGCCCGAGUUUGGGGUGCCCAGGCUUCCCUGGUGUGUGAGCCACGUCUACCACAGUCCUGGCUUCACUCUAAGACAUGUUAAUAGGUAUACACGCAUUUGCUGUGGCCUUGAACAAGAUACUUCAUAUCUUUGCCAGCUGUGAAAUGGGGACCGGCCUCACAGGAUGUGUUGUAAGGAGUAAAGUGUAGGCCAGAGUGGUGGCUUGUGCAGCUUGCUGAGGAGACCCAGAAGAAAGGGCAGGUAGUUCAGCCUUUGGAUCUGGAGGCAGGCUUCAGAGAGGAGGUGGUUUUUAGGCUGAGCCUUGAUGGGCAGGAGUGAAGGCCAGCCGGCGGAGGGAACGGAGCGAAUGGUGGCAUCGGGGAGUGCCGUGAAGGGACACUUGAGGAAUGAGGCGUACCCUGCUGGGAUGACAUUGUGGAGUGACUGAGGGGUGCCUGUGACUGCAGGGGCAGAUCAUGAAGGCCCUGAAGUCUUGGACUUUGUCUUGAGGAAGCCUCGGAAGGGUUUCCCUGGUGAAAGUGAUGGUGACAGUGACUAACACUCUUUGGACAUUAACUUUGCACCAGGCACCGUGCUAAGCACGUUCCUGGAGAUUAUCUCAUUAAUCCUUACCAAAGCCCCAGGGAUUGUCCUGCAGACCUUUGUGCCAGUUUGCAGAUGAGGAAAUGGAGGGCAUUAGUUUUAGUGGCUGACCUGAAGGGUAAAGGGAGGUGGAAAGAACACAGCAGAGAAGAGGCCUAGGUACACAUCCCAGCUGAGCGACCUCAGUUACUCAACCUCUCUGAGCCUGGUCCGCCAAGACCCAGCUCUGCCCCAUCUUCACUGGGGGAGGCAGGCCUGGAAGCGUGGUGGGUGUCAGAAUAUCAGCGUGGGUCAGAGGCAGCAGACUGGCUGGGUGUCACUACCACGGAACCCUGCAGGCCAGAUGGGGAGAGGACUUUGGGCCCUGGGGUAAGGGUAGGGGGCAUUGUAGUGCAUACAGCAGUCAUGGGAUCUGGGACUUAUUCUCACAAAUUCAAAAAGAUUAAGGGUAAGUGUAUCCUAGUGAAGAAGAGAUUUCUUCCUCUCUCUGACUUGCUCCCAGAAGCUCCCAGCAGCCCCUUGCUCUUCACAUGUCUGUUCCUAAACCAAGUAUUGGCAAAGAGAAUGGGAUCCCCUGGCUAGGCGUGGGCAGUUGCUUAGGGGUGGAAUGGAUACUGCACGGGGAUACCCUGAAAAGACUGUACAAAACAACCAAAAUGGGAAAAUAAGUUAAUGGUUAUUUAAUAGUAUUUAGUAGACAAAAUCUGGGUGGAUUUUGGAGGAGAAAAUGGUUAGAAAUGACUGACUCAGCCUCUUUAGUUUGUUGAUGGGGCCCCUGAGACCCAAGGAGGGCGAGAAACUUGCCUGGGCUCACACAGCAAGUAAGGGCAGAGCUGGGGCUAGAACCCAGGUCUGCUGGCUCUCAACCCUUUUCCCACUGGGCCCUGCCACUGCCCUGCCAUGCAGAGGGGCAGCGGCGAGGACAGAGGAGGUUCACUAAGGGCUCUGGCUUUGGCUGGGUUUGUAGAGAAAGAGGACCCAAGAAAGGCUGAAAACUGACCCACGGGCUCCAGCUUCCUUUCCUGGGGCUCCUAGGCCUUUGGCUACUGUUAUAUCCCAAAGGCCACGAUACCAGAAGGGAUUAUGGAGAUUCCUGUUUGUUUUUAUUUUUUUUUUCCUCCCAGUGAGCAUCUGCAGACAUAAAGUACAUGAUGAUUUUUAAAGAAACAAACCAGAACCCUUCAAGAAAAAUGCAAAACCUCCGAGUCUUCUGUGCUCUGAAGAAAACGCAAUGGGUUUAUGAUCUUUUAAGACACACAAGAGACAGCUUUCUCUUGACAGAUGGGAAUCCGAGGCUAUUUUGCUUCCUCCCCCUUUUCGUGACCAGACCCGAUUGUGUAAAGCUUUUAGCUUCAAAGCCGGGUUGUGAAUAACAUUGGUUUAACCUGAAAUUUAAAGCCAGCAUUUCUCUGCUCCCCGAGACGGGGCUUCCUGCCCCUUGCUCCCCUGAAGCUAGCUUCCAGAAUGUUAAUUCUACGAGCCAUGGUUGACUAAGCCCAGCACUGGGUCUAUUACAUAUUAUUUGAUUUGGAGUAGAAAAAAAGAUUUAAAGAUACCAUGCCCCCUGUAUACCUUUGUACUUUGCCCAUGUCUAUCCAUAUAUUUAAGCAUACCAUUCACAUUGCAAGUUCAGAUUUUUCUCCCUGGAAUAAAAUCGGUCCGAGCAUUUCUGUAGCUUGUCUCCAAGACCACAUUCCCCAACGAAGUCAGACAGCAUCUUUGCAGCACAGAUGAGAAAUGCUAUGGAAACUUCCACUGGAGGCUUGGAGGUUCAGACCUGCCCUUGUGCCAGGGAUGAUUUUUGGAUAUUCAUUUUUAUAGCUGUCUCUUAGCAUACAAUUGGUUUGUUUGGCUCAUACUCACUGUGUACCCACUACGUGUGGCUCCCAGAGGCAGGUCAGCUGUGUCCCUGGCCGGAGAAUUAUGCAUCUUUUUGUCAGAGUAUUUAUCUUGGUUGACACGUGCGCCUUUUCUGGUCUGAUUAUUUUUCAAUUAACAUUUCCCUCCUCCACUGAACAUAAGUCCAUGAGGGCAGGGCCAGGGCGGCUUUUGCCCAUCGUUGUAUGCCGGCAUUAGCACGGCACCUGCUCACUGAGGUUGGUUAAGAGAAGAAUGAAUGAUCGAAUGAAUGAGGUCAGAUAGAGAGGGAUGCUGACAUUUGCAGACCGGACCUGCGGAAUGAGAGUGGUUGUCACAGGUAUUCCUGACUUGUUCAUUUAUCCCAUAAAUACUCCCCAUGGAGCAGACAGAGAUGAAUUAACUGGGGCUUCCCCUUGAGGCGGCUAAUAGCGCAGUGUCAGAGUAAAGAGCCCAGGGGGCUUGACACCUGAGAAAAGGGAGAAAGUGGUCAGAGCCCAGAGAGUGGGAGAUGAAGCAGCUGGGGCAGGAAGGAGGGCAUCCUGGAGGAGGUGGCACGCCUGCUCACAGGCUGUGUCUGUCCUAGUAACAGGGUACACAUGUCAACGAGGAACGGUUUACCUUCCAUAGGAGCAUGGUGGGCGACCUGUGGGUGACAGCCUGACUCCAAGCAUCACAUUCAGAUGCCCACAAGUGCAAAUUUCACGUGGCCAGCCCCGAGUCUUUCCAAAAGAUGAGUCUUGGGAGCAGGGCUUCGAAAGAACAGCCUGAUCUAAAGGAACUAGCAUUUCAGGUCCUGGGACUGAGGAGUGUGGAGGGUGAUUGUUCCCCAGCCCCUCCUGUGGUCCCUGCACUGCUCCCCCAGCAGGACUCAGAUCUUCCCCGUGGCCUUCUGUGGGGUCCGGGGCUGCUAGGCCAUCCCCAGCCUGCCUCUCCAUGGUCCCCUGGGGUCUCUUCCCCUCACCAUCUCUCCCCCGGCCUUUCGAUUCCUCAUGUCUAAGCCUUUGUAGGCGGUCUCCUCUGCCUGGCAUGCCCUCCCCACCCCCACCCUCUUUGCACUGCUGACCCUUGUCCUCUACUCUCACUUCAAGCAUGACUUCCCCUUGGAAGACUUCUCUGGCUCCUCCCCAUGCGGUCACACCCCUUCCCCAUUCAUUAUCCAUAGUCCUAUGCAUAUAUUUCUGGACCCUUUUUCUACUUGGCAGUAAUCACAGUUUGUAGCCGUAUGUCUGUGGGAGUACUUGGCUACAGUGGCUGCCCUUUCUAGUUUGGAAAGAGGGGCCUGUCUUAGUCAUCACUGGAUCCUCUGUUGUUUUUUCUAAACAUCACUUGGUGCAGAGUAAAUACUUCAUCAAUACUUGUUAAAUGGGUGAUUAUACGUGUAGAAGUGUCCCCAGCCUCCUAAGGAAAUGACAGACAUUAGGCAUCUGCACUAGGUGACAGGGUAGACCUACCUCGCCUCCCUUCCUAAUGGAGAAAGCAGGGGUGCUGGAGGGGCAAGGGCAGCAGCAGGGUCAUAGGUCAGGGCACAUGCCUGGAGAGGUGGUCUUUCCAGCUUGCCGUCUUCCACGAGGAGUGUCUGGGUCACCAGGACAGCCAGGACCCUCUCCCAGGCUUGGCCCAUGGGUGCUAUGGUUGACUUUCGGAAAGCCAGAGUGGGAUGUAGUGAGUCUUCCUAGAUGGCCAGGGCCCUGCCAGGCUGUCUGUGCCUGGAGUACCUGAGCUGUCCUCAGGGAGAUAGGACUCCAAGGACCCCCAGUGCAUAUACCUGAGUUGGCCCUGUGCCCUGAGCCUUUACUCUGUGCUGGGACCUACUCAGUGACCAGGUGGUGACCUUGCCCACAGGGGUCCUCAGCAGAGCCACCCUCGGCUCCCUUAGUGGGGGUGAAGUUCUGCCCUUCCAGAACUAUGGGCUGUGCAAAGAACCCAGCCUAUGAAUCCCACGGGGGAGGGAUCGAGCCUAAGGACAUCUGUGGGAGGACAGCCUGGCUGGCACAUAUAGUGGAGCAGACUGACUUGGUGGUGGGGGGGGGGAGGUGGACACUGUCCAACUGGGGGCAGAGCAAGACCUGGGUGGGAAUUAUCAGGAAGGAGCCUUCAUGAGGAGUUUGGGGCCUGGCUGGCAGGAUGGGGCUGGGGAGUAUCAGUGAAGUUGGUGGGCAGAGAGACGUCUCUUACGAUCAGAUGUGGUUCCUCUGACAGGGAGAAACUUGACGGGAGCCCUGGGGAUCCCGGGCAAGAUCAUACUUGAGCAGGAGUGACUGGGGCCAGGAUGACAGGCCAGAGCAAUAGCUGAGGAAGAGCAUGAUGAGCUGUCCUCGUGAGUGUGUGUGCGUGUGUGUGUGUGUGUGUGUGUGUGCGUGCGCACGUACAUGUAUCUUUGAUCCUUUGAUAAUAGGGUUAUUUGGCAGAUGCCAACCAAUGGGAGAGCACAGACAGGGCUGUGAGCUCCCACAUUCUGCUAGUCUUGCUGUCCUUGUAGGAAUAGCCCCCAUGGGGAUGGGCCAUGAUGGAAAAAGGGACUCUGAGGAUGAUGUCCUAUGGACAGGAACAGGCAGGGACCGGUCUUGUGGAAGACUAAUGUCCCAGGUUGCCAGUGGAGGUGCCCCAACUCUAGGCUGGGGGACAUCAGCCAGAGAGCCCAGCUUUCAUCGUGGUCCAUGUGUUGGGGUAUGUGGUCAUUCAGGCUGUAGCCUAGCCUGUGGUAUCCUCUUGGAUCCAAAUGGAGCUGGUAUCUGUUUUCUCAAGGGGCUUUAUGAGCUGCCUCUGAAGGCCCUUCCCGUAGAGGAAGGUGCUCUGAGCUGUCAGCCUCCAUGGAGGAAACUGGAAAGCCAGCAUUCGUGUGAACACCCAAAACUGGUGACUUCGCUCAAGUGUCAGACCCUGCAUUGCAUUUGCCCCCAGAUAGGACAGUUAGGGAGACACCAGCUUUUGGCUCAUCUCAGUGACACAGCUUCCCACUGCUUCAAGCUCCUUGGUUGGGCCUCCUUCCUCACACGAGUGGGGCUCUGACAUGAUGGAUGAAGUCUGGGGCAGCAUGUGCUGGCAGAGGGGGAUGUAGGAGAGAAUCAGGCAAGGCCUGUGUGAGGGCCAGUGAGAGAUCUGACAAGCGCUGGUUUCCCUUGGGCUCCCCAGUGGCAAAGGCAGAUGCCUCACCUCUGGGCCUGACGCCUCACCUCUGGUCAGCCCUGCAUGAGCAACCGGGUCCUACAGGGCCCUGGGGGAUGCACGGCCCUCGAGGCCAUUUCCUUGCUUGAAACUUUUGCCCUCCUUGCUGUGUCUUUCACUUUGAGUGGUUCAAGCUCAAGGCUCACAAAAAAUAUUUCUUCCCGUUUUCUUUUUUAUUGGUAAUUCAUAAUAUUUUCUUUGAAAUGUAAGCAUCGUCACCAGAGAUGGUGACAGUGUGGAGAGCUAACAAUAUAGAACACAUACAGAAUUUAACCCUUGGUAAUUCGUGUUUUUGAGUAAGCGGUACCUUUAAAGUUCUGCAGUAACACAAAACAUAAAACAAAAAAAGCAUCCCCCCCUUCACCUCUAUCCACUUAGUUCCCACCUCCCGGAAAGGAAUGGGUAAGUGCUCUAAAUGUUUCUCAUGGUGCCCUCCAGAGUUCCUUUUGUAUAUGCAUACACAAAAUGCGUGGGAAGUCUUAUUUUCUUCCUCUUAUUUUUUACACAAAAGGUUAUACGUUAUACAUGCUGUGCUGUACCUGGUUUAUUUUUCAUAGGACAGUGUAUCCGGAAGAUCUUUCUGUAUCAGUUCACGGUGGGAGUCCUUGUUCCCUUUUGCAGCGGCUCACCGUGUGAGCACGCCGUAACUCAUUUAACCAGCCCCUGCAAAUAAAUUCAUGUGUUGUUUCCAGUCUUUUGCAACUAGAACCUUGCACGCAUAUCACUUCCCGUACGUGUGAGUCUAGUGGUAAAAAAACAUUUCCAGAGGCGCAACUGUGUCAUCAAAGGAUAUGUGCAUUUGUGACUUUGAUGGAUUUUGUCAAGUUGUGUAUCGUGGGUGUGUGACUGGUGGGCUCCCACCAGAAUUGUACGAAAGUGGUGUCCUUCCCCACAGGCGUCCUGGCACGGUGCUUUAGUGACUGGUCAUGUGAUGUAGUGGCAGAUGUUCUGGGUUAAGGGCUUCGGCUCUGGGACAAAACCGUACCUCCACGGGGUGGGGGAAUCUUCAUUAUAGAAGAAGAAGUGGCACCUGGUACUUAAGCCUUCCAGUCAACCUGAGCUCUCAUCUUCAGGUGAAUGACUUUAAUUCCUCGGGUCUCAAUUUUCUCAUCUGCAAAAUGGGGAAAAUAAUGUUACCUACCUUGGGGUCGUUGUGAGUUUUAGGUGAGAUGAUGCAUGUAGAAAAGGCUUCACAUGGUGCCUGGCAGGUGGCUACGGGAGGCUGGCUCUGCACUAACCAGCAGGGUAACCUUGAUUGAGGGCCCCCUUGUCUGAGUCCCUGUCUGUUUCCUCUCUCGUCAGGGAAGGAGCUGGGCUUGUGGGUCUCUCAGGCUGUCUUCUCUCACCAGCUGACGUGACUUUCUUUAGCAACUUGUGUAACCUGCCCCCCCCCUUUCCUCUCUCAUGCUCAUCAAAGGUAUUCAGGAGUCUCCGGUGCCGAACGGCCACUCACUGCCAGGCAGAGACUUCCUCCGGAAGCAGAUGCGGGGAGAACUGUUCACGCAGCAGCAGCUGGAGGUGCUGGACCGCGUGUUUGAGAGGCAGCACUACUCGGACAUCUUCACCACCACAGAGCCCAUCAAGCCCGAGCAGGUACGCCCCACGGCUCCCUGCCUGCCGUACCCCCAGCCAGACGCAGACCUGGGGGGGCCCUCCCGAAGGCGUUUGGCGGGGUGUGGGCGGGAAUGCCGGGUUCUACUCAGAGGCGGGCUUCUCGUUGUUCUCGGCCCGACUUGGACAGUUGCAGCGUCCCCUAAGGUCAGGAGGACUUGUCUGGGGUUCUGGCAACUUCUUGCCCUGGUGCCUCUGUCUCCCUGGCCAGCCUGUGGGGGGGGGGGGGGGGGGGGGGGGGGGGGUGGGGGCGGGGUGGGGCAUGGUCACAUGACUUGUCUGGCUGCUCUGCUUUUGCUGAAUGGCGUCCUUCCCCCAGGCUCUCGGCACAGAGCUGGUGUUAUGACCUUCUGGGCCACUGGAGGUGGUCUUGGGUCACCAUCCUGCCAGUCAGGAUGAAGAUGGAAAUACGGUCACAAAGCACGUUAUAGCGGUGCCAGCGUGUACCCCACCGUCAGCCCACGCGUCAGCUCGCCCUGGCAUGCUUUUAGAGACCGAAUCCAAGAGUCUGGAGAGGGGGAAGUGUCUCACUGGACAAACUCCCAGCCGGGUCAUUUGCAAGACAGGGAGAGAAGUAGAAGGAUGACCCCUUGCUGACCAUGGACAGACAAGCAGUCACUGUCUUAGCUAUGGGACCAGAAAGAUCUGCCCAGUGAGAGGCUUCUGGGGCCUGGAUAAGGUCCCUAAGUACCAGAUGCAACUCGAGAGACUAUUUCCUGAUGCCCAGUCUGGGCUGGUUACCUGGCAGGCAUAGGCGGCUCAGAUAUGGUCCCCGCCUGCCGAGAGCUCCCAUCUGGUGGGCAAGUCAGAGACCUAGCUAGCUGAUCCUGGUGCUGAGGACUGGCCUUGCUGAGCUUCCUUUACAUGCUAAUUAGAUGGGGCUUUUGAAGUUUUCCCAUAGAGCCAGUCAAAACCCUGCAGGCUGUGUGCACAAGCUCCCACGGAGGGGAAAGGGACCAGAGGGGAUGUUGAGUAGGGAGGAGUGAGCAAAGCCUCCAGGGCCACCAUCCUAUGACAGUCUAGCUGUCUGAGCAGUUCUUGUGAGGGCUCUCACAGACCAUCUAGCCACUUUGUUUUCAUAUGGAGAAACCGAGGCCCAGAGAGGCAGAGACUUGUCUGAAGGCCACACGGCAAGUCAUGUAUUCACUCAACAAACACCAAGGAGUAUCACCUGUGUGCAAAGCAUGGAGCCAGGCACUAGGUACUGUGAGUGAACAAGACAGGCUUGGACCUGCCCUCAGGGAACCUAUAGAUAUGUGGAAGAAUCCCAUAAGUAAGAAUAACCCCAAAGGUCAUGGAUUACAGAUGUGCUAGGUGCUGAGGUUCUCUGAAAGAAUAAAGCACAAGCUGAGCCAGCCUGGAGGCCACCAUGGCUUCUGGGGGGAAAUGCUUUUAUGCUGAGCCCUGAGGGGUAGGGCAGGACAGGAGAAGGGACACGGGGUGGGGGGGAAUGUGCCUGGCAGAGGCAACAACAAGGGCAGGGGCCUCGAGGUAAGAGGGGGCACGGCAAGGUGAGGAAUGGAAAGAGGGCCAAGAGAGCCACUGUGCCUGGGCUUCAGGGCGUGGGGGCGUGGGAGUGUUGGGGAGAUGGGCCAGGUCUCGUACGCUGUGGUCAAGAUUUUGGUCUUUCUUCUACACGUAAAGUGUCCCGUGGGAAUGAGGUGGUCCUGUGGGCUGGACAGAGCUGAUCCCACACACUUUAGACCUUGAGCUUUCAGGUAGAGUCUGUUUCUAUCACAUACAGCCUCUCUCCCUGCUCAGAGCCCUUCUGAGAGGUGGCCAAAGCCACAUUCCGUCUGACACAGGAGGAGAAAGAAAAGGAGCCUUCCUUGGAUGAAGCCUACCUUUCCCUCCAGAACUGGGGAGAAAAUGUAUCUUCUAACCAUCGACAAGAUCACAUGAUUUGAGAGACUAGCAGAGGGUACAGAGGCAAGCUUUCAACUCCCUCAUUUUUUAGAGGCCCCGAGAGGGGACAGGGUUUGUCCAGGGUCACCCAGCAAGUGAGUGGAGAAGAGUGAGGGCCCAGGCCUCUACACUCAACGUGGUCUCUACUUCAUGAAGCCUCCAGCACUUGUACUAAGUUCCUGUUUACUUCAGGCAGGCAUUCAGUGUUAGAGACUGGAUUUCCCUCGAUUCUUAACGGAAUUCAGAGUCUGCAUCAUUUUAGCUUCGAAUGCCCAGGAAAUCUGGGCAGAGACUGCAGGGCAUCAUAAUUGGGAGGAGUCCAGAAGCCAUCCGUGUAUUUCCUCACUUGCUUAGACAUUCAUAUGUUCACUUAUCCGACGUAUUUCUCGCAUGCUGCCUGUGAGGUUGGCACAGUGCCAGGCACCCAGGGGGACAGAGGGAUGAGUCAAGCGUCAACUCUGUCUGCCCACACUCUCUCAGGGGCCAUGUGACAUGGAUCCAGAACCUGCAAGGCAAGGGAGAAGGUUCUGCGGGCGCUGAUGAAUGGGGAGGUUGCCUCAUUUGGGAGCAUUGGGGGAGGAGUUACAGAGGAGGCAACAUUGAGGGACAGGUCCUGAUAGGCCCCUGUAGAGAUGCGGCCUGGUGGGGAGGAGACCGAGUUACAAACUCUGCAAGGGCCCUGUUCCUAACGGUCUUGCUGUGCAGUGUCCUUCAGAAUGGCGCGGACACGACCGCGGGCCUGUGUCUGUGUGGGCUCUGAGGCGGGGCCUGCGGGCGAGCGUGUGGCGGGAUAAUGACUGACUCAGUGCUUUCUGGUUAAUCUGCUUCACCUCCCCGUAAUGUGCCAUAAUGAGGAGAGAUGGAAGGUGAGGCCACGGGGCUGCCAGGCACACACACAGGCACUGGACUAUGAAUGACAUACCCUCGCUCCUGGUUCCCAGUCACUGGACAAAUGACAGCCAAAGCAAGGGGCCACAGACCGGGAAAGAGUGCGUGUCAAGGGUACAAGUUGCCGUACAAGGUUGACACGCAAGGGUAUGAACCCCCUCGUGCCCACUCUCUGCUUUGCCUUGUGAGUCCCAGAGCAGCCUGGCACGGUGGUGGCACCGAGAAGGGGGCCUGGAGCUCCGGCAGCCGAGGGUGGCGUCUCUUCUAUAUGUGGGCAGACCUGUGUCUCCAUGGCCUAGUGGCCUUGGUGGGGUCUUGCUGUCAGUUUCACUGAGCAGCCUAUGGGGAAGAAAGAGCUUCAUCUGGCUUUGGGGUUGAGGGAGUUGGACUGGAGUCCUGGCUCCGCCCUGUUGGGCAGGUGGCUUUUUCUCUGGACCUCAGUUCCUUAUCUGUGGUGGCCGUAAUUGUGAUUUUGCCAACAACAACAAUAGCACAGCAGCAACCCAACAACAGUGGUCGUCCCCACCUAAGCAGGGUACUGUACUGUUUUCAAAGCCCUUUCACAUCCAUUCUCCCCUUGGACUCACAAUUUAAGUGCCUGCUGAACAGUGUGGGCAAGAUUGGUAAGCUCCAUUUCACAGAUUGGAACAUUUUUUUCCCAUUCACCCCAUUUUCAGCCCAGGGAGCUUCCAGGACUUGUUGAGGCCACAGAGCUGGAACUUGACUUCGGGGUCUUCUGUCCUCAUUCUGUGCUAGAUGGCUGCACGGGCCUCCCUGUCCCCAAAAGAUUCUAGGAGGGUUUUCUAACUGGCUGGUUCUGGGGACUGGCCUUUGGCAGCCGGAGUCUGCCUGUCAUUCCAGAAUCCUCAGAGUCUUUCCUCCCCAUGGGCUCUGGUGGUCAAAUCCUCCUGAAUUGCCUACCCAGCCCAACCACUCAUGGGAAGAACAUUCCUCGUCGAGGCCAGGCUGGGGUCCUACCAGUCACACCCACACCCACCUUGCCGUUGUUCCCACCCAGAUCUGCCCUGGGUGGGUAGGGCAGGCUUCCUGCUUUUAUAUGGAAACUUAGUAAACCCUUGGCCCUGGGUGUAAUGUGUACAUACUUCUGGGGCAAUGAAACACUUCCUUUUCAAAAUGGUUAUUGAAAAAGCAAUUCUGUUUUCCCUACAUGUGGAGUGAGUAAAAAUCACCCUGAAGGGGAAGAGGAAAAAAAAAAGAAAAGAAAAGGAAAGAAACAAGUGCUGGUGGUGAGUGCGUUUUGAACAGUGGAAUCUGUUUCAGUAAAACUCGCGGUGACGCUGUCGCCUGCCUGCUCCUAGCGGGAGCUGGUCCCUCCUCCGGCCUCGGCAGGAAGGCCGCCUCGGAGCUCAGCCUGCCGUAUUUACUCUCGGCAGACUAUUAACCAACACCAGGCUAUUAAUCUGGCUUUUGAGCCUUCACUAAAGCCCAUAAAAGCUCACAGUUGUCAAAUGGAGUUCAUUUUAAUUUCCUUUCAAUCACAGUAAAUUAUUCAGGUGAUAAAUCAGCUGGAGCAGCCUCCUGGCUGUAAUAGAAACCCUAAUUCCUGGCUAAUUAUCCAGCCCAUUGCUGCCAACAGAUCAAUACGGGCGCAAAAUGGAACCGGCCCAGGGCCCUCCCUCCCAUCGGGCCAGAGACAGAAAGACAGCUGGGGAAGGGGACGUGCUGCUGACCUCCCGGGAAGUUCAAAGGUCAUGGGGGGUUAAACUGGGAGAGGGCCUGUCCCUUGUCUGAAAGAGAAAGCCACCAGAAAUGCCUCCCACUUGCUUAUGCUGCUUUGCCCCCUGAAUGGUGGUUUCUCUCCAGGCUGGUGGCCCUGGGCCGAGCAUUGCCUAUUCCUGUGGGUGUCCUACUCCUGAGUUUCUGAGCAUAAUUGAGCUUGAUCAUCAGAGAUGGUCUGAACACCUCCCUGACUCAGAAAAAGGGCUGGGACUGUAGGGAAAAAGAUGAGGUGCUGGACAUGCUUCCUUUCUUCAAGGAGCUCGUUUUCCUCUGUAGUGGGUCCGUGCCCAUCAGAAGGAGGUGAGGUAUGGAGAGGAGGGACUGAGGAGACCAGUGUGCUGGGCUGAGGAAGGGGGAAGGCUUCCUGGAGGAGGUGCCGUUAGUGCUGUGUCUUGAGGGAUGGGCAGAAUCUGUGGAGAUGGUAGAGAUGGCCGGAGGGGACAUUCUAGGCAGAAGGACAAUGUGGGCAAGGGCAUGAAGCAGUGUAAGAUAGCAGGGAACUGUGGGCCGGUCUAGGUAGUUGAAUGGAGGAUGGGUGAGAGGCAGUCUGGACAAGAGGACUGGAGAAGUAGUGGGUCAGCCAAACCCCAGAGGGCUGGCAUGUGGAGGUGAGGAGGUCUGACUUCUCUGUGGGGGUAGUGGGCCCCAAAGAACCUUGCGUCCGUGGCCUGGAGUACUCUGCUCAUCUGGAGGCGACCUUCCCUGGGACUCCUGCCUCUUGCCCUGUCCCUGCUGCUACUGUCAAAUCUCUCUUUCUGAAGCCCAUCCUCACUUGGGGGUCCCUCGUGGUUUACCGACUCGAGACCCCAACCUGGGCCCUUCAUCCCCGUCAUGGCCCUUCACCGCCCCCCCACCAUGCCCCUCAGCUUGCCCACAGGAUGCUCUGGCUAUGGCCAGGCCUGACCUCUCACUGCCCCUUGUGGGCUGGGCUCCUUCUCUGUUUGAGGGCGCACGGACCAUGGGCCUGUGUGUGGGGUGCAUGUGUGUGCAUGUAUAUGAGUGCGUGAACAGCAGGGAUAGCUCCGAGCACGCAGAGUGGCAGCUACUGCGAUUAUUAUUACUUUCUUAAUGUUGUUAUUCUUUUAAAAAAUGUUUAUUUGUUUAUUGAGAGAGAGAGAGGGUGGGUGCGUGUGCCAGCAGGGGAGGGGCAGAGAGAGAGCGAGAGAGAAUCCCAAGCAGGCUCAGCGCCCUCAGCACAGAGCCCGACAAGGGGCUUGAUCCCACAAACUGUGAGACCAUGACCUGAGCUGAAAUCAAGAGUCAGAUGCUUAACCGAUUGGGCCACUCAGGUGUCCCUUACUGUUGUUGUCUUACUCCAAGCUCCUGCUCACUGUUGCCCUGCAUAGACUAUUCCUUCUGUCUGUUUCUAAAUCUACCCUGUCGGGGCCCACCAGGAGUGGCCUUCACUGACCCAGUUCAGCCAGCACUAAGUUGCUUCUUGUCUAAGUUCAUGAAAGCAUCAAGUCCUAAUCAUUACUGUAGUGAUGGUUGUAACAAUGAUGUAUUCAUUGCUUGCCAUGUGUCUGGCUGUGUUCUGAGGAGCACUUUCCUUGCCCCAUGUCAUUACAAAGUCACAACAACGCUAUUAUCACCUUUGUGCAGACAGGAUGGCUUAGUGAGGUUAGCAGUAAUGUCGCCGAAGGUAUGUAGUAAGUGCCGGGGCGAGAUCGGAGCCCAAAUCCCUGGCCCCAGAGUCCAGGCUGGUGGCCACCGGGUCGCUCCCAUUGCAACACAGUCAGGCUGCCCACUGAUUCUUACAGGUGACCAGUUUCCUGGGAACACACCUGGGGGUUCACUCUACUCAUCCUGGGAGCCAAGCAUGGGUUAGAAAGUGGUGGGGCCGCCACAGGCACCAGUGUGGUUUCUGGAGGUAUGAACAGAAGUCUGAGGGCAGUGACUGUGCUGUUCCACUCUGAUCUGGUUUUGCUCUGCUUACCCCAGCCUUCCCCUGCUAAGGCUGUGCUCAGAACCAGACUCCUCCUUUGCGGAUACAGUAGAGAACAUUUAGAAGAGACGAUUGAAAACUCUUUCCUAGGAGGGAUGACUGGAGAAAUUGGGGCUGUUUGGUCUGAAGAAGGGAAGACUUGGGGAUGUGAACAGGGAAGGAGGCAGGCUAAGAGAACUUUCUCAUAGCCCAAGCUUCCUAACCAUUGGAGUGGGCCUCCUUGUGAAGUAGUGAGCCUCCUGUCACCAGAGGCAUGUAAGUAGAAUCUAUCCUUAUUCAUAUUUGCUGUAUUAGAAGUUUAAGAAUCCACUGAGGACUUGAUUAGCUAAAUGUCAAGGCUCUUCCAACCUGAAAGAAUAAUUCUAAGGCACGGAGAGCAGGAGGGGUUUUGUGGGUGGGAAGGUGAAAAAAGGAGACCUUUAAUGCUGCCGGGUGGAAGGGGCGCUCAAGGGACGUUUCCCCUCAGGAAUCCUCACUGGGGUGGGCCAGCCUGGGGCCCGGGACCUGUGGCCCUGAGUGGCAAGGGGCCGGAGGCUGCAAGCUCUCUGGAGGCUAGUGAUGAAGCCAGCUCCUCUCGUGCACAGAGCAGGGUGGAGGCUUCUGGUGAGGAAGUCUUGAUAGUGGUGGCUGCCACCAGCCUCACCACGCACACAGGGUGCUGGGCAUCCUCUGCCCAAGAGCUCAGAGCCAGGCCCCUCAGGAAAGGAGGGUGGAGAGGACUAAACAGACCUGUGUUCUGCCAACAGGUGCCAGCUUGCAAGGGGUUGGGAGAGUGAUACAUAACUUAAGAUAAAGGGAUCACUACUUAAAACCCACAACAGCUAGCAGGGGAGUCUAGCUCGCAAUGGCUCUGCAAAGCAAAGCGGGAUCUUCAUGUGGCAGAUAAGGAAACUGAGGCAGAGAGAGAGUAAGUCACAUGCCCUAAAUGAUGUAGCUCAUAAGAUUGCCCCAUUCUCUGCUCCCUGCUUUUUGCGGGUGUAGACUGUCCUCUGGGGUCAGAGCCCUUUACUCUGCAUGUGCAGACACUUCCUGAUUGAUUUAUUGGCUUCAUUCAGCAGAUAUUUAUUGAGCACCCCCUCUGUGCCAGGAACUGUGCUAAGCGUUGGGACAGAGCAGCAACAAAGACAAACAUCAUUCCCAGAAUUGACCCUAUAGCAAAGGAGACAAAUUUUGACAACAUUAUUCUACCAGGAAAAAUGGUGUCAUUACCAGGUAUCACGGAGUAUGAUAGGUGCUCUAAAGAGAAAGACCAAAGAGUAAAGAGUGGGACCUCAUCUGUAUGGGGGGAGGGGCAUCAGGGAAUGUCUCUCUGAGGAUGCACCUUUGAGCUCAAGAAGGGGAAGUGUGGCAGGGAACAGUGUUCUAGGCAGAGGGAACAGCCUAUAUAAAGGCUUUGGUGGUCUAGUAACGAAAAGAUGUCCUGUGGGGCUGGUAAGCAUGAGAGGUAGAAAGCGGCCUGUGGUGCAGGUAAUGAGGUGGUGGGGGCCAGAUGUGGACUAGGGCCAUGGCUUUGGGUUUUGUCUUGAGAGCAAAGAGAAGAUUAUAAUUUGUAAACCAGGGACUAUCAGGAUCUAAUCCAAUACAGAUUAGAAGGUUAUUCUGCUGCUAUGAGGAGACUUGGAGGGUUGGGAGACCAGGAGGCUUAUUUGCCAGGUGCAGACCAAGUCGCUGGUCCCCUGGAGACAGUUGUCAGCCCUGGCUGGGGUUGGCCUUCUCUCCAGUCUUGGGGCGCUGACCGGGAACUGUGUGGCCCUGUGAUGCAUUGCUUCUCCCCUUUCUUCUCUGCUCCUUUACCUCCUCCCACCUACCCCCAAACCCCCCAACUCUGCAGCCAGGCCCCCAGGUUACUAGAGUUGAGCUCAGAUUUGAUUGUGAGCUUUCUGAUGGUCAAAGCAAAGUGGGAAGCAGUCAUUUGUGUGCUUCUCAUUAUCCACCAGGGGAAAAUAGGACAAUUCCCCCAAAGGAAGCCAUGUUUUUUUCGGACAGGGUGGAAGGGAAUGGCCGCAUGGGUUUCCAGUGGGGGCCCUGUGGAGGCCCUGGGCACAAUCCUCAACCACACCCACAGAGGUGCCGCAGAAGGUUUCAAAGGGCUCUGUCUUACGGAUGAAUGUGACGGCCACAUGCUAAUCAGUGCAUUUCUGCAUGGGCCUGGCCGCUGUGACCAUAGGGCUUGAGAAUGCAGCUUUUCCAGUAGCCUAAGUUAAACUAAGAAAAAUCCCAGACAUUCUGGGGCACCAUUCCUAGAUUUUCCAAUUUGAUGCUUGGAAGAUGUGUCACUAUCUUGGGGCUUUGUGACUUCCCACCACCCAAGGGUACCUCAGGGCAAUGUCCUAAGCAGAAGGUUUGGGCUAUAAGAGUGUACCUCAUCAUCAACUCAGCUCUUGACGAGAAAGAGAGUUUAGUAGUUUUGCAUUUGACUUCUUUGCAUUGACUUUGCACUUGGGCUUGCUGUGCAGGAACUUGGGGAUCUUAAAGGAGGGAGGAAUCAUAAGUUUUAGAGAUGAAAGAAGCAGAGGGCUUACCCACGCAGUUGCAGAUGGACAGGAUGGAAGUAAGAGGGCAUGGCUAGGCCUUCCCAUGGGAAGCAGGCACCUUCUGACCUAGUUGUACAUAGAAGCCUGAUGCCAGAGGAAGACUUCUGACCUCAAGGCAUGGUGGAGGUGGCCCAGUAAAUGUCCUGGGCUUUGACGGGUCAGAAGAGUGACUCUUACCAUGGAAGGAGCCAUAAGAGUGGAGAGGAUAAGGGGCGCCUGGGUGGCGCAGUCGGUUAAGCAUCCGACUUCAGCCAGGUCACGAUCUCGCGGUCCGUGAGUUCGAGCCCCGCGUCAGGCUCUGGGCUGAUGGCUCAGAGCCUGGAGCCUGUUUCCGAUUCUGUGUCUCCCUCUCUCUCUGCCCCUCCCCCCUUCAUGCUCUGUCUCUCUCUGUCCCAAAAAUAAAUAAACGUUGAAAAAAAAAAUUUAAAGAGUGGAGAGGAUGGUAGCAGCAAGAAGGGCACUUGUCUUCCCACUUCUUCCCACUUCUUCCCUGAGGGCAGAAAACCCUUUCUUUUUUAAAGUUUAUUUAUUUAUUUUGAGAGAGAAAGAGAAAGAGAGAGAGACACAGAGAGAAUGAGCAGGAAAGGGACAGAAAGAGAGGGGGAGAGAGAGAAUCCCAAGCAGGCUCCGCACUGUCAGCACAGAGCUCAAUGCAGGGUUCGAACUCAUGAACCGCAAGAUCGUGACCUGCCAGAAACCAAGAGUCAGACGCUUAACCGACUGAGCCACCCAGGCGUCUCUAAAACCCCUUUCUGAACACUGAGAUGCAAGCAAGAUUUAACUUAGAUGUCAUCUUGCCUUUGGAAUGAGUUAAUAACAAGGACUGUGCUGGAAUUCUUGCUCCCAGAUCCCUAGAGGUUCUUGGUGCCUCUAGACCAGCCAUAUUCUCCCUUAGCCUUCUGCUGUUGUCAUCUCAAAGUGACCCAGGGGUGAAACUACAUGGAUUCUGAGGCCUCAACAUUUUUCACUUGCUCUACUCCCUUAGAGUCUUGCCUAGGGAUGCCCGUUUCUUCCUGAACAGCUGUUAAAAUAUUUCCUAAACAACGGAAUGUUCUGAGUAUUCUUUGUGUUCCUGUGGGUCAAGCAGAAGGGUGGCUUCCCAAGAAAAGUCAUUGGGUCUGUUUGGUGAGAUUGAGGAAUGUCUGAGGGAACACUGAGGAAGUUGCCAUAGUGAAAAAGUGUGGGACAGGCCCCCGGGCUUUCGUGAUACCUCUUGGGCUCGUCACUUCCCUCUGGGUUAUGGUUUCUCAUUUGGGGUGGGGGAUUAGACCGCGUCAUCCUUGGGAUUCAUUCCAGCUCUAACAUUUCUGUGAGAUAUAAAACAAAUUGGAAACCCAUCUCUUACUUUUAUUUUGACUUGUUUACAGUUUUUCUUCCCGUCUGUUCCACUCUUUUAGAUGACAGUCAAAUUCUGUGUAUCGUGGGGUUUAAAGAUUACAAGCAAAUUGUCAAAGAGCUGCCUGUGCCUUGCUGGGAUGUUCUUUCAUUCAUUUAUUCAUUCAUUCAUCCAAGAAAUUUUUAUGGCUACGCCAUGUCAGUGACAUUGACCACCUGUGCUGUGCCAUGUGGCAUAAAGUAACAGCGAUAGACGCAACCAAAGGUGCUGUGUGAAAAUUGACUUUGGGGGUAGAGAUAUUUCCCCCUACACAAGUUUAAGCAAUAUUUGUAAUUUAAAAAAAAGGCAAAAAAGAAAACAAACAGAAUAUUCUACUCAUAGCUUGUUUGUUUUGAGAGUGCACUGGAAGUUUGGCUUAAGGAAUUUGGCUGUUUACAAAGCUCUCAAGCACACACACACACACACACACACACGCACACUUUGUUGUUUUGUAAAUUAUAAAAAAAAGAACACAGAUUUCUGAUUCUGAUAACAAGGUCUCAGCUAUUAUAGGCACCUCUUUCUUCUUAAACAAUAGAAACACUGGAUCAAAUAUAAGAAUGAAAUAUUUUUGACAUAUAUCUGUUGUUGCAUUAAAGAGAGGGAAGUCCUUGGGGGCUGGAAAUUAGGAAGGAGCUCAGAGCCAGAACUUGAAGUGCAUGAGCUAAUAUCCCAGUGGCUCAGGGUACUUACUGGUCCUGGACAUAGUUCAUAGUGAACAGGGUCUGGGGGAGUUGAUGCUGGUGCUGAGACAGAAGAUUUGGCCUGAGACCUACGUGAUAGGGGAGUUGGAAGUGAACUGUCUGUAAAAAACUUGAAACCUGGAAGGAUGGCACUUUCCAUGAAGUGAGCAGUGGGCCCAUUUCACCUCCAGACUGAUGAAAACAGUGGAAACCCUGAUUCCAUACAGGACUCCAAGCACAGCAAAGGUUUCCCAUGAGAAGUUAUAAUCCCAAGGCUGUGCCACAUACAAGUGUGGUAUCCACUUUAUAUUAUUGCCAAGAAACUCAAGUAGAGAAAUUAAUAUACAAAGCAGGCUCCUAUCAGUGAAAUCCUUGAGAUGCCUAGCAGAAGCAGCUGACAAACUCUCACCUGGAUCCUUCCGCAGUCCAGUCUGUACAACUUGCCUACAGAGUGAAUGAUAACUACUGAAGAUGAGCUUACGAUUUAAAAAAAAUGCAAACCACACCAGGAAAUGAGGGGGAGUAUGGGAGACAUAACCAGAAGAAUUAAUGCUCCAAGAACUUAAAAUAACAGACAAUCUGAAACAGACUGUGAAAUGACUACAGAGAUGAAAAAAGGACCGGAAAUACUACAAAAGGAGAAAACACCAUGGAAUAGGAAAACGCAGAUUAGAAAAAGAGCCAAAUGCAUGUUCUAGAAAUAAAAAUUUUAUUAGUUACCAAAAUUAAAUUUUUAAUUCAUGGAUUAAAUACCAGAUAAGACACAGCUGAGUAGAAAAUUAGUGAUUUGGGAAACAGAGCUGAGGAAAUUGCUGGGAAUGCAGGCUAGAAGUCUAAGGAGUUGGGAAGUCUUAAAGAGAGGGUUACAGAUAAAGCAGAGUUUCACGAGAAUGUCCAAACUGUAUCUAGUAGUUGCUCUGGAGGAAUAAAUAGGAAAAAUAGAGGUGAGGCAAUAUUUGAAGAAAUAUUGACUAAAGAAUGUAUAGAAUAGAACUGUUGUAAGACACGGGGCGUUAGAUUGAAGAAGCAUAAUUAAAUCCCAGCAAGUUAAAUAAAAAUAAAUGUACAUCUUGGCAAAGGGGUAGUGAAACUGAAGAAUGUCAGAGACAAAGAAAGUUAUAAAGGCAACUAGAGAGAAAAUGUAACUUUUAGAUUGACAACACUUUUUUUUUCAGGAGCCAGAAAAUAGUAGAAAAUAUCGUUAAGUGUUAUGAGAUAAUAACAAUUGAUCUGUACUCAGAUAAAUGAUCAUUUAACAGUGAAGGCAAAUAAAGACAUUUUCAGACAAAUACAAAGAGGGCUUACCACUCAGACACUCUUACUGAUCUGAUAAUGAGGUACUCCAGAAAGAAGGAUAGGAGAAACCUCCAGUUUUAGCUCUGGCAUAUGAAGAUCUAGGAAGUCAUUGCUCCCAUAUUUACAACAACAAGUAGAGCUGAGCAAGCUGAAAUCAACACCUUUUCUUGACCCAUCAGAGAUCUGAGGUUGAAGGGCAAACAGCUAUUGAAACCUGCAGAGAUAGGAGCAUACAGAGUUGCAGCUGAUAUCUUCCAGAUUAACAUAAAGCCUCUACUAAAGACCUGUCUACCUCAGUUUCUGCUACCCAAUUCUCAUGCCCAGCUUUUGGCAAAAAGUUAGGCAAGAAAAAACACAGUCUGAGAGACAAAGUAAGCAUGAGAAACACACUCAGAUGUGACACAGAUUUUAGAAUUCUUAUAUAGGGAAUUUAAAACAACCAUGAUACCGGGUGCCCGGGUGGCUCAGUUGAUUAAGCUUCCUACUCUUGAUUUCAGCUCAGGUCAUGAUCUCACGUGAGGUUGGUGAGUUUGAGCCCCACUCUGUGCUAAUGGCACAGAGCCUGCUUGAGAUUCUCUCUUUCCCCUUCUGGCUGCCCCUCCCCUUCUCUGUCUCUCUCUCUCUCUCUCUCUCUCUCUCUUUCUCUCUCUCAAAACAAAUAAAUUUAAAAAAUUAAAAUAACUAUGAUACGUUAAGGGCUCUAAUGGAAAAAGCAGAUGGCACAAAAGGACAGAUGGGUAAUGUAAGCAGAGAUAUGGAAACUCUAAGAAUUGAAGGGAAAUGCUAACAAGAAAAAGGACAAUAACAGAAAUGAAGAAUGCCUUUGAUGGACUUCUCAGCAAAUUGGACAGCCAAGUGAAGAAUCAGUGAGCUUGAAGAGGUGUCAAUAGAGACUUCCCAAGCCAAAAUGCAGAGAGGAAAAAAGAGAACACAAAAACAUCAACAAAAUGACCAAAACAGAACAUCCAAGGGGGUGUGGAAUAAUUUUAAGAGGAGUAACACAUGCAUAAUUGGAGCACCAGGAGAGAGAGAAUGAAGAAGAAAUAUUUGAAGUAGUAACGGCUGAGAACUUUCCAAAGUUAAUGACAGAUACCAAACCACAGAUGCAGAAAUCUUGGAGAAUAUCAAGAUAUUUUGAUAUCUACACCAACACAUAUCAUACUCAAACAUCAGAAGACUAAAGACAAAAAGAGAAUCUUGAGGAAAGCCAGAGGGAAAAGCUACCUUACUUCUAGAAGGACAGGGGAAAAGGAAUAAAUGAAAAUAAAAUAAACUACUUGAUUUUUUUUUUAAGUCUUAGUUGAUCGGAAAGGUAACGGUUUGAAGUGAUAAUAGUAACAAUGAAUGGGGGUGAUUGUGACAUAUGGAUAAGUGAAAUGAAUGACAGCAGUGUCACAAGGGGCAGGAAGGGGGAAUUGGGAAUACUCUACUCUGUUAGAAGGUACCUGUACUACACCUGAAGAGAUACAGUGUUAAUUAAGGUGAACUUUUUAAAUGUAUAUUGAAAACUCGAGGACAACCACUAAAGCUCUUUUUUUAAACUUAAAAUUUUUUUCUUAAUUGUGGGAAAAACACAUAAUGUAAAAAUUAUCCUCUUAAACAUAUAUAAGUGUACAUUUCAGUAGUGUGAAGCAGAUAAACUGGAAUCAUAUACUAUAUUUAAUUAAACCCAGAGAAAGAAGAAAAAGGGAGGGGAAUGAAAUAAAGAACAAGUUCAAUAAAUAAAAAAUAGUUACAAACUUAGUAGAUGUUAAUCCAACAAGAACAUCGCUUGCUUUAGACGUGAAUCAUCUAAAUAUACCCAUUAAUGGGCGGCUGGGUGGCUCAGUCGGUUGAGAGUCCAACUCUUGAUUUUGGCUCAGAGCCCUGCAUAAGGCUCCUUGCUGACAGUGUGGAGCCUGCUCGGGAUUCUCUCUCUCCCCCUCCCCUGCUCACACAUGCUCUCUCUCUCUCUCAAAAUAAAUAAAUAAACUUAAAUAAAUAAAUAAAUAUACCCAUUAAAAAACAAAGAUUGUCAUAGUGGAUUAAAAAAACACACAGGACUGGGGCGCCUGGGUGGCGCAGUCGGUUAAGCGUCCGACUUCAGCCAGGUCACGAUCUCGCGGUCCGUGAGUUCGAGCCCCACGUCAGGCUCUGGGCUGAUGGCUCAGAGCCUGGAGCCUGUUUCCGAUUCUGUGUCUCCCUCUCUCUCUGCCCCUCCCCCCUUCAUGCUCUGUCUCUCUCUGUCCCAAAAAUAAAUAAACGUUGAAAAAAAAAAUUAAAAAAAAAAAACAAAACACACAGGACCAAACUAUAUGUUAACUACGAGAACAUGAAACCCAGAAGGAAGGGAUGGGAUCUAAGGAGCAAUGGCCACCAAACACCUUGAUAAACAAGGGAUAAUCUUUAAAAACAUUUUUUUAAUGUUUGCCUAUUUUUGAGAGAGAGAGAGAAAGAGAGAGUACGUGUGAGCAGGGGGAGGGGCAGAGAGAGGGAGACAGAGAAUCCAAAGUGUGCUCCAUGCUAUCAGCACAAAGCCCAAUGUGGGACUUGAACUCACAAACCGUGAGAUCAUGACCCAAGCCAAAGUCCAACACUUAACUGACUAAACCAUCCAGGCAUCUCUAAAUAAGGGAUAAUCUAAAUAACUGGAUGGUAAAAAUCAUGACUAGUUUUGGUGGGUUUAAAAACCAAUAGAAAGGGGCGCCUGGGUGGCUUGGUCGGUUGAGCGUCCGACUUCGGCUCAGGUCAUGAUCUCACGGUCCGUGAGUUUGAGCCCCGUGUCGGGCUCUGUGCUGACAGCUCAGAGCCUGGAGCCUGUUUCGGAUUCUGUGUCUCCCUCUCUCUCUGCCCCUCCCCUGUUCAUGCUCUGUCUCUCUCUGUCUCAAAAAUAAAUAAACGUUAAAAAAAAUUAAAAACCAAUAGAAAAAAAUACAAUAAUAAUAUGUAACAUUAGGAAUGGGCUGAUGGGAAUUAAAAAUUCUAAGAUCCUUGUAUCACUCAGGAGGAGGAUAGAUACAUAGAUAAGCUUUAGAUUUGGUUAUGUCAAGGAUGUGGAUGAACAAAUUAAGGUAAUCACUAAAAGCAUAGUAAUGGACUUCUGAACCAGAUGAGGCAAAAAACAGAAGGUAUAGAAUACUCAGUGAAUCCAAUAGAAGGAGAGAAGAAAGGAGCAAGAAAAAAGCAUGGUAAAUUAAAAAUACAAAAUUAGAUGAUAGUAGAAAUAAAUACAAUUAUUUGAGUAGUCUCAAUAAAUAUAAGUAGAUUGAAUUUGUCACAUAAUACAGAAGAUAUGAAAAAUAGCCAAAACCCAGAAAUAUGCUGUUUAUAGAAAUUAACCUAAAGUAAAAUGGUACUCAAAGGUUGCAAGUAAGGAGAUAGGAAAAUAUAGACCAGGCAAAUACAAACCAAAUCAAAUGUGAUAGAGUAUUAUCACUCUCAGAUGAAAUGAACUUUAAGGUCCAAAGUAUCUGCAAAGACAAAGAGGGUCAAGAACCAUUCAUAGGAAGAUACAGCAAUCCUGAAACUGUAUGUGCUUAGCAACAGAGUCUCAAAACUUUUAAAGCAAAAAAAAUGUCAAUGAACCAACUUUAAAAAUCUGAUAAUAUAUUUUGGGAACUUUAAUAUAUCCCUCUUAUUUUUCAUUUAUUAUUUUUUAGAAGUGAACUUUUUUCAAUGUUUAUUCAUUUUGAGAGAGAGAGAGAGAGAGAGAGAGCGAGCGAGCACAGGAGUGCGUGUGUGAGCAGAAGAGGGGAGGAGAGUGAGGAAGAGAGAAUCCCAAGCAGGCUCCACGCUGUCAGUGCAGAGCCUGAUGCGGGUUCAAUCCCAUGAACCGUGAGAUCAUGACCUGAGCUGAAAUCAAGAGUCAGAUGCUUAACCAACUGAGCUACCCAGGUGCCCCGACAUAUCCCUCUUAUUAAUGGAUAGGUCAAGCUGAUAAAAAACUGGCAGGGAUAUUUGUAAGCUCUGUACAACAUAAUUAUAUGCUUAAUCAAAUAGAUGUAUAAAAGGCCAACAAUUAGAGACUACACAUGCUUUUCAAACAUACAUGUAAGGAACACUUACAGAGAUUGACUGUGUGCUAUUUGUGGAAGCAAAUCUCAGCAAUGCCAGAAAUUCACAUCAUAGACCACGUUCUUUGAUCAGAAUGUGCUAAAAUUGAAAAUUCAUAGUCCAAAGCAGAUUAUGAUCUCUCAUCUUCUGUAUGUUUGAAAAUUAAAAAAAAAACAAACAAAAUCAACUUUCUAAAAAAACUCCAUGGGUCAAAAAAGAAAUCCUAAUGGAAAUUAUGAAAUAUAACUGAACAACGCCAAAAACCCAACCCCCAGCAACAGCACUGCAUAUCAAAACUUGUGCAGUGAAUCUAACGUGGUACUUAGAGGGCAAUGCAUAGCUUUAAAUGCAAUUUAUUUUAAAAAGAAGAUAAAACUAAUAAGCUAAGCAUUUAAGUCAAAAAGUUACAAAAAGAGAGGCUCCUGGAUGGCUUCGUCGGUUAAGUGUCUGAUUUCUGCUCAGGUCGUGAUCUCACUAUUCGUGAGUUCGAGCCCCGCAUUGGGCUUUGUGCUGACAGCUCAGAGCCUGGAGCCUGCUUCGGAUUCUGUUUCCUUCUCUCUCUGCCCCUCCCCUGCUCAUGCUCUGGCUCGCUCUCUCUCUUUCUCUCUCUCUCUCUCUCUCUCUGUCUCUCUCUCUCUCUCAGUAAUCAAUAAACGUUAAAAAAGAAAGAAGUUACAAAAAGAGUAGCAAAUUCCAAUGAGGCAGGGUGGAAGCACAUACGUGUUGCAAAAGAUUCAAACAACACAGAAUCACACUAAAGAAAGCGACGGCUGUCUUUGCUUAAUCUGUGUCUGCUUAGAGAGCCAGUGUUAACAAAUGCAAGAAGAAUUUCUAGACUUGUAUUUUCUAAAACUAGCAGUCAGUGAAUAGUUAUAGCUCUAGCAGUGAGUGGACAGGCCUCAGUAUAGGAAGGGAUCAGUGGUUUCAUAAAUAAUAAUAAUUUCGUAGUUAUGUAAGUAAUAUUUCAGAAAACUGAGCCAAGAGGAGCUGAAGAUACAGAGCCGCUCUGGGGAGAAAGAUCCAGAGGUUUUAGUUGUCUGUGGAUUCAGUCAUGUGUCUGCCAGCGUGAAAGCGGGCUCUGGAUGGCUCUCCUUUAUUUCGGUCAGGACAUGCCUGUGGUGUGGGGCUCCAGGUGAGGGCCCCACCUUAAGAAGGAUGGCAUGUAACUGGAACAUGACCAGAGCGGGUGACCGGGUUGGGGAAGGGACUAGACCUAAGAGCUAACAUUUAUUAAGCCCUCACCAUGUGCCAGGGACUGUGCAGAACCCUUUGUGUAGCCCCUUACCCACCCUCUCCGUGCUCUAUGAAGUAGGUGGUGUAAAAUCAUUCCCAAUUUACAGAUGAGAAAACCAAGAAGAGAGAGGACAGCUUGUCCAAAGACCCAUGCAUAGGUGGGAACAUCUGCAGCCGCAUCUUAAAGCCAGGCGGUUAGAGUCCAGGGCCUAUACCUUGAAGCACCAUUUAUCCUACCCCCCACACUCACUCCCCUGUUUUCCCACCUUCUUGUGGGGAACCUGUCUUGUGAGGCACUUGAGGAAUUGGAACUGGUUGGCCUGGAGAAGAGAAAAUGCAAUGGAUACGCAAGAGUGUAGUCUGAUCUCAGAAGGGCUUCUGUGGAGAGGGAGCAGACUUAGUUGUGGGUCCAGUAGGCAGACCCAGACCCUAGGUAGAAAUUACAGACAGUUUUCUAAAUUUUUUUAAUGUUUAUUUUUAUUUUUGAGAGACAGAGAGAGACAGAGCAUGAGUGGGAGAGGAGCAGAGAGAGAGGGAGACACAGAAUCCGAAGCAGGCUCCAGGCUCCGAGCUUUCCGCAAAGAACCCAAUGUGGGGCUCAAACUCACGAGCUGUGAGGUAAUGACCUGAGCUGAGGUCAGACACUGAAUCGACUGAGCCGCCCAGACGCCCUGAGACAGCUUUCAACUCAGUCAAAGGAAACCUUCCAGACAGACAGAACUGCCCAAAUGUGGGUUGGGCUGUGGGUUUCCUGUCGCUGGGAGCACCUGGUAUGGGCAGUGCAAACGCUUGGGGGAAAGGCUGAGGAAGGUUUUCAAGUGUCAGAUGGAGGCUUGGAAGAGAUGACCCUUGCAGCUCUGAGCGUCAGCAUUCUGUGACAGACAUGGUUGCUUUUCCUCUCUCUCAUUUGGGAGAAAAGAUGGUUUGUUGAUUCUUUCCUGAUAACUUGGCUAUGAAACAAAACAGUGUGGAUUUAUUGAAGAUGAUCACAUCCUCCAGUUCAGUGUCAGUGCUUUUAAGAGAAUAUAGACAAAUCUAGGGUUGAGGUCAGGGAAUUGGCCAUGUUACUAUCAUUUCGGGCCACCAAGAGGGCAGAUCACUUUAUGCACCUGUUGUAAGUUUUGGGGGUUCCUGGCAGGAGCUGGCUCAUGAGGAUGAGAGUAUGUUCCGAAGACGCUUAGAGAUUUGAGAUCUGGGAGGUGGACAGGAUCUAAAUGACAGGUCUAAAUGACCUGUGGCCACCCAUGGGGCUGGGGCAGGCGAAUGGAGUUUUAGAUCAACGGAGUCAAAGAAGUGUGCUCAGUGAGGUUGAAAGAUGAAGAUGUCAGUGGAGGUCCCCAGGAAGGGGACAUCUGUCAGGAGGGAGGUAGGCAGUUCCUUAACAUUUUGGAGGGACUGGCUGGGGCAGACGGCAAGGGGUUCCGAGAAGUAGGGGCAGGGUGUUGUGGUGGAGCUGUGGCCUGGAUGGAGUUGGUGCCUGGGCACAGCGAGCACACAGACCCCUCUGCCUUGUGCAGAAAGUGGUGGGGUGAGGAGGGAGGCAUGCUCCCCACUGGAGAGGACCUCAGGGACCAAUAUGUGGAGGACUGCUGGAGGAAGUACAGUGCUGUGGCAGAGAGCACAGGCUUCCCAAGGAGCUGUCUGGGACUUUGCACCCUUUUAUGUUAGUUUUGAACCUCUUGGGACAUUAUGGUAAUAAGUGAUUGUAGGCUUACCUCCAGAGACUGUGUGAUUCUCUCUUUUAUGCCUGAGUUUGAGCACACAGGUCACCAUCACUCCCAAAACAAGCACUAGCUUUUCUUCCUUUGUGUGCAGAGUUAUUACUUUAAACCAAUUUGGCUUUACCACUGCUUUAACCUCAGUUUUCUUAUACAUAAAAUGGUAUAGUAACAGCUCUUGCGUCACUUGGGUUAUGCAAAUUAAAUGAAAUGGACAUGAAAAGAACUUAGCAGAGGGUCCAGCCCAUAACAGACACUCCAUAAAUGUGAUUUCUAUUAACGUUACUUUUAUCAUUAUCAUCAAGGGGCAUUUUGCCACAGCAGAGGAGCCUCAGGGCAGAGAUGGGGUUAUGAUGGCAAAGGGAUCCGGGCUGGCUGAACAGGAUGUGAGUUUGAGAGGAGGCAGGAGGGCUUUUGCUGCAGAGAGAGGCAGAGUUCCAACUUGUCCGGUGGGAGGGUUGAGAGAUGCACCAGAGGUGCUGUGGUCUGCAGUGCACUGUGGAGGUGCUGGCAACUUCUCCUCCCCAGGCUCUGCUUUUACUGUUUGCCCGACUCCAAAUUACACCAGCAAAUGAGCUCAGGCUUUGAGGGGAAAAUCCCAUUAAAGUAAUCAAAAUAACAAUUUGUAUCACUUUUAGAACUUCUGCCUGAGGAGCUAAGAAAUCUUUGUAAUAAAUUAUUAAUUCUGAGUUGUAUUAUAAGAAUUUUCCCCUAUAAACAAGCAAAUUAAUAUUUCCCACUUGGUGCAACAGAGGACAGAAUUCUCCGGUCUCCUAGAUUUGUCUUGAAGAGAGAAGGGGGUAUUCAAAUCCAGACUCUGAUACUUCCGAGCUUGUGAAUGUCCCUCCUGGGAGGAAGGACUGGGCCUGGCAGUGCCUGUGACCACACUUCCAGGGAUACUUGCCACCCGCCUUCAUGCUCAGCCUAUCUGGGAACUCAGGUGGCACUGUGCUGGUCACCUGUGUUGGCCGCAUGGUAAGGUGGUUCAUUCUGAGGUCUCUGGAGUUUGCCUGGUUCUGGAGUUGUCUGCGCCUACUGGCUGUGCGGUCUGAUCAAGUUGCCCAACCAUGCUGAGCCUCGGUUUCCCCAUCCAAAAGAGGAAGACGGAGAUGCUAGCGUGCCCUCUGCGGAGUUGGUGUGAGGACAGAAUGGGAGGCUCGUGCAUAGUCUUGGACAGCUCUUGGCCCAUGCUAUUUAUCUUUAUUAAUUACACCCCCAGAGAAUGGCCGAAUGAUACAGACGAGGCUGCUGCCCCCACAGAGCAGUCUGGAGGCCUGCCCAGGACAUGGGUGGUCAGGAGUGUAAGAGGGUGCCAGGUGGAGAAGAGAAAGACCAAAAGCCGGAGACCUGUGCUUAUGGAGUUUAGGGAAGGGGGAGUGGUUGCAGGUGGCUGGAGUGUGAGUGGGUGGGUGUCAUGACUCCGGAAAGCCUGUUUAAACACACACACACACACACACACACACACACACGCACGCACACACAGAGGAACACACACAAUAUGAUAUAAUGAAAUGUAAUAUAGUAUGGCAUAUAAUAACAUAAUAUCUAGGCAAGUGUCAGUUAAAUACUUUGAAUUAUCUCAUUUAAUCUUCAUAACAGACCCCUUCUGGCUGGUGUUUAUUUUCCUCCUUUAAAAGAUGAGGAAACCGAGAGGAUGAUACUCAAUACACAGUGAAGUCUCACAUGUUUACGUUACUGUUGCCUGGUGAGACACACGUGGUAGGUUUGGUUACGGUGUGAUUUGUAUCCUAUUUGCAACUUCAGGGCUCCUCACUUUGGGGUGCCCCGGUGUGAGGGCUGGUGGUGGGCGAUGGGGGCUGCAUUGGGAGCUGCUAGAAAGGAGGCACUGCUUCCCUCUGGGACAUUCUUUCGGGAAUAGGUGUAUCCAUUUGUACAGAUUGUCCUCAAAAAAUUCCUUAUGAACAGAUCCAGGUGGUAAAUUAUAACCUGGAGUAAAAGUAGAGAAAUCCUUUGCUCUCUGCGCUUUGGAGGACAGCACUGUAGGUUCUCUUGGUAAUAAGCUUUUUCCAGGCUUCUGAUCCUGUCUAGGAUAGAUAUUUGGGUAGCCAUUUCCCUCCUGUUUUGACUCUGGGCAUGGUUACCUCAUCACUUAGUCUUUAUGGUUUGGGAGGUUAGGAGCUAGGAAGUAGAAAGAGGGCCAUGGGGCUUUCAGAUUUCGUUGGGGACCUGCCUACUGGUAAAUAAGUUGCCUCAAGUGUCUCCUGGGGAUGCCUCAUAGCUCACCAGUGAAAUCCUAAUAUCCUAAACCAGACUUUAACCACAAAGGGCCCUGGUGAACCUGUGACCCAUCACUAUAGCACCCAGUUUUCUCUUCCAUUCCCUGGAGUCAGAAAUCCACAUCUGUGCUGGGGGGCAAAAGAACUCAGACAUGUUUACACACAACCUUGAAUGACAACCCUGCAUUGCCUCGGAGAAGCUUAACUAAGACUAGACAGUCUAUGGGAGGACCUAAAACUGGCAAUGAGAUCCCAUGCUAGGGCAGAUUUGGGGUCCUAAUCUCUAGAGGUUUUAACCCGGCGAAUAUGGACCCAGGUUCUGGCUGAUUCUGGGGAAGUUUCUUUUCCUAACUCUACAAAUUGAGGUUAACUGUUUGGAUUUCCCCAGAUCUUGGACUGGUUCCCAUAACACCUACUUGAUUUAAAAACUCAAGCUGGCCAUCUGUGCUCCCAUAGACACAUUCAGGAAUGCUCAGAGCAGCACUGCUGGUCAUCAUAGGGUUCCUGAAGCUCAGGGGAAGUGGGCAGGGGCACCUUGUGGGCCUUGUGAUGGGGCAGCACAGUUUCCUGUGCACUCUUCUUCAAAAAAAAAUUUUUUUUUUGGAUGGUGUGCGUAUUGUAUGUGUGUGUUGGUGUAGACAACUCAAAGUUGGAUAUUCUCCAGUCCACGACCACACUGCUUUAUAAUAAGUGAGCACUCAUGUUGUGCUAAGCACUGGUUUUAACUCAUUAACCAUGUAUUAACUCCUUUCAUCCCUUGUACAGCCCUGUGAGGCAGGGGGUUCUAUUAUCUUAAUUUACAGAUGAGGAAACUGAGGAACAAAAUGGCUGAGUAACUUCCCCAGGGCCAUGCAGCUAGUGAGUGGUCGUGCUGGGAUUUGAAGACAGGGUCUUCUGUCUCAUUCAAGGAGUGGCCCAAACAAUCAGAUCUGUUGAUCCCAUUUGGCAGAAUGAAUGGCUGUGGGCCAAGUCUUCUAAAAUACAAGCCUGUUUCCCAUGUUUGAACAGAUUUACAAAUAGCAAUCCCUUUUAACCAGCUACUUGAUUUGGUUAUCUUGGCAUAGAUUUCAUCUUGGAAGGUACAGGAGGCAGCAUUGAUCAUAGCUAGUUGUCCAAAGGCAGUUUUAUUGCCUUUUUUUUAAUGACAGAGAUGGAAGUGUGGCUACACCUGUCCCCAGUGUCUUCUGGGACCUAACCUGUGUCAGCGCUAACUGGAGGAAAACUCUGGGGUCUCCACCAUCUAGACAUCUGUGUGUUGGAGCGGAUCCAAAACAGUUUUCUUUUUUUUUUUUUUUUUNNNNNNNNNNNNNNNNNNNNNNNNNNNNNNNNNNNNNNNNNNNNNNNNNNNNNNNNNNNNNNNNNNNNNNNNNNNNNNNNNNNNNNNNNNNNNNNNNNNNNNNNNNNNNNNNNNNNNNNNNNNGACGCGGGGCUCGAACUCAUGGACCGCGAGAUCGUGACCUGGCUGAAGUCGGACGCUUAACCGACUGCGCCACCCAGGCGCCCCCCAAAACAGUUUUCUAAGGAGAUUUCCUGUCCCUGCCACUGCAUCUUUGCUCUGUUUGUUCACUUCUGCAAGGCUCUGGCCUCAGGCCCCCACCCAGCCCUUCAGUUUUCAUAAGCAAGUUCAGUGUCACUCCCAGCUGGGUCUGUAUUUAGCUGUGGGCAGAAUAGCUUCCAUCCUGCCACUUGUUAGGAAUCAGAGUGCUUCCCGUUGUUAUUAGUUUGGCUCAGAGAAGCAAUAUUUAGGGAGGAUUGCUUGGAGAAUGUAUAAUCUUUGAGUCUUCCAUUUAUUUGAAUAAUUCCCAGCUCAAGCCAUUCAACUGGGUAACUAAACCACACGCAUGGUUCCCUUAGAGUUACUGCACUACUCUUUGGGGUGAUGCCUGAAUCUGCACAAGGCAUAUCCUAAGAAACAACUUCUGGCAACUGCCCCCGGGUCUGGAGGGCAUUCACAAUUUCUCAGCUUGGUUUUUAGGGAGGGCCCAGGGAGAUCCCUGCUUGGUCUAAGAGUCAGUGAGAGAACCUGUGAGCAAUGGACAGUUUGUGUCUCAUGGACUCUGUGAAGUAUCACACCAGCUCUCUCCAGUUGGAUGGCAGCGAGGAGGCCCAGAUGUGGCCCCUCUUGUCGCAAGUUCAAAUGCCUGUAGCCUCAGUCUUGGGUUGGAGCGUGGGCUGUAGAGCCAGACUGUCUGGGUUCAGUCCCAACCCCAUCACCUACCUACUGUGUGGUCUUGAGCAGGUUGCUUGGCCUUGCUAAGCCUUAGUUUGUUUACCUACAAAAUGGGAGGAGUGAGUUCUUGCUUUAUAAGAUUGUGUGAGGUUUAAGCGACGAUCUCUGGGCGGUGCAGAGCCCGGGCCAAGCAUGUCGUAUGCUUCACUGUUGGCUCCAGCUGACUACUACUGGUCCCAUUCUGUGCUCUCCUCUUGCUUCCCUUUCUGCCCUCUUCGCCUCCUUGUAUUUUGUGCAUCAUUGUGAGCUGCCUUAAAUCUUUUCUGCAAAGUGAUGAGGUAUGAAAGAAUGAGUGAUUGAAUAAAGUUAAAAUAACAGUUGCUAAUAGGAGCAGUUGUUUGGGGACUCUAACUCUUCUCAAAGUCUUUCAUGUAUCCUCUCUGAUUUCAUUAUGAAAAUUCUCUCGCAGUAUUAUUUUACCCUGAAUCCUCACACAGAGAUCCUUAGGCCUUCUCUUCGGGUAUUAAAUAGCUUGCAGAGAUGUGGCUUCUGUGUGUGUGUGUCUGUGUGUGUGUGUGUGUGUGUGUGUGUGUGUGAACGUCAAACUAAUCCACAAAUCCUCAGCAAUGUCUUCAGUAGAGCUGAAGUAAGCAAGGAGCAUCAGCUUUAUCUCACCAUGAAGUUCCGAUUUUUGAAAGAAAUGUUGCAUGGUAAAACUCCGGGCUCAUGUUCUGGAGGCCAGGCGUAACCAUUUGAAAUGAGGGAUAGAAGAGGACGGGACAUGGAUUGGAUGCUGGGAGCCAGCCAGACACUGGGAAAGGUCUGGGGACCUCAGACUCCCCCUGUCUACCAGAGCUUACCCUCAGGCUGUGUCUACCUCAGGGCAGUGUCCCUGGAGUGGUAUAUUCAGUCAUCCUCCAGACAGACCAGAGAUCCACAAGGCAAGAUGAUCCUGCUCAUGUCAGGGGCGGCGGGGGGAAGAGUGCGAACCAGUUGAGGUGGGGAAUGGUGGGACUGAAAUGGAGAAGAAUAGAUGGGUUUGGCUGAGAUGGCACGUGCAGUGGAGGAGGGGAAGCCUAAGGACAGGGAAGGCCCUGCGUGGGGGGAACCGAGGGCUGGCUGCAGAGGAGGAGGCUGGGAGAGAAAGGUCAGUGGGUGUUCCACUCCUUCAGGAGAGGCCAGGACACUUGCAGGAAUCCCCACUUCCCUGGGGUAGAGUUCGCGGUCCUGAAGGUAGCUGUCCAGCCACUAGGCCCUGCCUGUUGGCCGGGACUUCUCGUGGCAACCCGUGCUACUGUGCCCAUGCACUCUGGGGGAGAAGCCAGCCUUUGCUAGCAGCUUCUCUGCCUAAAGCUCUGCCCCAGCAUCAGCGACUGCAGCUGCGUGAUCUCAUUUACAGUUUUAUUGUGUGACCAUGGGAGACUCACUCCAUCUCUCCGUGCCUCAAUUUCUGCACUUACAGAAAGGAAGAAUAAUAAUGACAGCACCUCCCUGAUUGAGUUGGAUCAAAGCUCAGCAUAAAAGGUGCAUGAGCGGCUAGGCACAGCAUGUGCAACAAAUAGGAGCUGUAAAUGUAUCAAAUGUGUCAUCCUGGAGUUUCCUCAAGGCCUACCUGGCACCCCGGUGGGGCUUUCUCUGCUCAGAAGUUCUCUGAUUGCUCUUAUAUCUGGGACCCUACCUGAUCCCUGUUAACACUUCUGGGAUGUGAAGGGCAGACGGAAGCUCCUACUCCCAUUUUGCCAGGGAAGCAAUGGAGAGCCGGAGAGAUGGAGCCCGUCUCUUUCCCACUCCCAACUGCAAAUGUCACUUUUCCGGAGACCUGUGCUCUGAUUUGGGCCCACCUACCCGAGCAAAGCUCUUCCUCUCAUCAGGCCUCAACUUCCUGAAAAUUGGUGAGCAGGGACACCCCAAAUCCCUUCCAGCUUAGACACCGUCUAGAGCCGUGCGUCUGAUUCAGGAGAGCCUCAGGCCUUUCCCUGAGCGGAAGGGUGAACCAGGGUUCUAGAUACACGGUGAGCACAUGAAUUCAUGGAUAGAGCUGCCAGCUGCUGAGCACAAUGCCAGGGAGACUGGUGGCAGACACGCUGGGUGACACAGAGGUGUGCAGGGUGCCCCUCAAGACAGACGAGGCCCUAGGGCACCCACAGGCACAGCCAUGGCCUUGUUAAGGUCUAGGCGGCCUGUGCUCAUUGCCACUUACCUAACAUUGGUUUUCUAUUCAAAAAAUUUUAAUAAGUGGUACAUGCAAAUGGUGAAAAUUUCAGACAAUACCAAACGUAGACAGUGAAAAGCAAGUCCUCUCCCCACUCUUUUCUCCCCCCACCCAGCUCCCCUCCUGGGAGGCAACCACUGUUACAGUUUCUUCUGUGUUCUUUAGAGAUUUACAUAGAGUACUUGAAUGAGAGUAAGAUAUAUGUAUAUAAAUAAGUGUAUUACAAUAUAUAUAACUCCUUCCUUUAAAAAAUAUUUUUUUUUUAAUGUUUAUUCUUGAGAAAGAGAGAGAGACAGAGUGUGAGAGGAGGAAGGGGAGAGAGAGAGGGAGACACAGAAUCUGAAGCAGGCUUCAGGCUCUGAGCCAUCAGCACAGAGCCUGACGCGGGGCUGGAACCCAUGAACCACAAGGUCAGGACCUGAGCCGAAGUCAGACAAUUAACCGGCUGAGCCACCCAGGCGCCCCUAUAACUCCUUCCUUUUGAACAUAAAUGGUAGAAUUCUAUAUGCACUGUUUGAUUCGAUUUUAUUUCUUAGAGAUUGUUCCCUAUCAAUCGAGUGCUGCCCCAUUCUUUUUAACAGCUACAUAGUAUUCCACUGUAUGGAAUAUCAUAAUUUAUAUAACAAGUCACCUGUUGGUCACUUUCAAUCUUUUUCAUUUUCCAAAAAGUCUGCCUUGAGCAUCCUCUCCACAUUUAUUUUUGCACAGGUGGGACUAUGUCUGCAGGAUAAACUCCCAGAAGUGGAAGGGCCAGAUCAGUGUGUGUGUGUGUGUGUGUGUGUGUGUGUGUGUGCUGUGAAUUUUGAAAAUACAGCCUCUAUUCCCCAAAGAGGUUCAUCCCCUGAAGUGAGACCUGUUUCCCCAGUCUGCCUACAUAGUGUAGCAUCAGCAUCUUGAGUCAUUGCUAAUCUGUUUUUUUAAAUGUUUAUUUAUUUUUGAGAGAGAGAGAGAGCACAGGUGAGCGUGGAUGAGGCAGAAAGAGAGGGAGAUAGAGGAUCUGAAGCCUGCACCACACUGUCAGCACAGAGCCCGAUGUGGGGCUCGAACCCAUGAACUGUGAGACCAUGCCCUUAGCCAAAGCAGGACGCUUAACCAACUGAGCCAUCCAGGUGCCCGUUAUUGCUAAUCUUAUAAAUGAAAGAGGAGACAUUAUGGCUUUAAUUUAAUUUCUCUUAUUAUGAGUAAGGUCUGGCCUUUUUUUUUUUUUUUUUACACAGACUUUUAUUUUGGAAUAAUUUUUAAAUUUAGAAAAUUUGUAAAGGUAGUACAGAGAGUUCCCAUAAACUUCUCACCCCAUUUCCCCUGUCAUUAACACCUUAUAUAACCAUGGUUCAUUUGCCAAAACAAAGGAACCAACAUUGGUUUCUACUAAUAGCUAAACUCCAGACUUUAUUUGGCUUUUGAGCAGUUUUCACACUGGUGAGCGGAAGGUAAAUGUGUAAGCUGAAGGUGGCGUUGCAGAUGCCAGAGCCACUGCCCUACCCAGAGGCUGUGGGUGACCGUGAUUUACAUCAUUCCCCGCACAGUGCAGCCCACAGCCCAGGCCUCUGAGCUGGAAAGACAGACUCAGUGGAGAAAUGAUUGCUGUUUCUCUAAGUUCCUCUGGGAGAGAAAUGCAGUUAUUGUUAAAUCACCGCAUUGGCUCUUUUUUGCAGCAUUUCCAUAGCUCUUGGUAUUCAGGUAGAGGGAAUAGCAUGUGCCAAGGCAUAGCGGUGUGAAACUUCACCAGCUUUAAAGACCCCAGGACACAGGGCACCUGGGUGGCUCAGUCGGUUAAGUGUCCGACUUCAGCUCAGGUCAUGAUCUCACGGUGUGUGAGUUCAAGCCCCGCGUCGGGCUCUGUGAUGACAGCUCGAGCCUGGAGGCUGCCUUUGAUUCUGUGUCUCCCUCUCAGCUCCUUCCCCACUGGCACUCUGUCUGUCUUUCUCUCUCAAAAAUAAGUAAACAUUUAAAAAAAAAAAACAAAAAACAAACCCAGGACACAAGCAGUCCUUCUUGUCUAGUGAAAUUAACACAGUACAGAGAAGGCUUGAGCUAACAACUCCAUGUCAGUCCCUUCUCUCCCCUCCCAGAGGCCACGCUGUGGUUGCUUUGGUGUGUAUCCUGUCCGAACUUUUCUGGAAAGGUGAGCUUUUCAGGGUGCUAGCAGUGAAAAGAAAGUCCUUUCCCCACUCUUUUCCCCCCUCCCCCAGUUCCCCUCCUGGGAGGCAACCACUGUUACCAGUGGGGGUGGCUGGCGAUGACCAUGGGCAGACCUUGGGAACUCUCCUCUUCUUUUUUUGUUAAUGUUCGCCCCUCCCAUGCAGAUAGCACUUCACACUAAUAGUCAGCUUCAGGGCCCGACCCAUUUGAGUCUUCUGGCCUCUCCAGGGGGUGGGCGGGACCGUCUUAUCAAGCUCUCCUUGGACAGACUAGAGGAAGCUGAGGCCAGGAGCCGGAGUAGGGGGUGGGAGGGGGUAGCUUGUCCCAAACCCCAAAUCGCACAGCUAGUAAGAGGCAGAGUUGUUCCGCAACUUAGUUCUGUUGUCGCUUCCUGAAAAAUAGCAGUGGUACCAGAAAUGAUGAUAGCAAAGCUUGAUCGGGUGCUAGGAGCUGUGUACACGUGACCUCAGUCACAUGUAACCCUCAGAACAACUCUGUGGGCUACAUACUGCUCUUGGGCUGGUUCCGCAGGUGAGGAAGCUGGGCUGCGGGUGAGGCAGGUGGUCUGGGGUGGUGGAACUGGGGUCCUAAGUCAGUUGUGUCUGCCCCCCCAUCCCCCGCCAGAGUCUGUAGGCUUCGCUGCUCUGCUCACCAGGGCUCACCACCUAUGCCCUCCUCAGCCCACAGCUGCCUGAUAGCACAGCUUAGAGUUUACUGGGCAUUUUCACUGUCACACUCACCAGAUCAGUGGGACCAGUGCUUCUGUGCAGUUCCUGCCUUAAUUUCCCCUGGGCAAGUGCCUCCAUCUAUCUCCCCUUACCCUCUUUUCAGGGCUUUCCGUAUCUGCUCACCACCUGAGCCCAGGUACUAUCUUCUCCUCUCCUUACACUUCUUCUUCUUCUUCUUCUUCUUUUUUUUUUUUUUUAAAGUUUAUUCAUUUAUUUAUUUUGAGAGAGGCAGAGAGAGAGGGAGACAGAGGAUCUGAAGCAGGCUCUGUGCUGACAGCAGAGAGCCUGAUGCGGGGCUUGAACUCAUGAGCUGUGAGAUGAUGACCUGAGCCAGUCAGACCCUUAACCUACUGAAACCCCACCCCCCACGUGCCCCUCUUUGCACUUCUUUAGGAUAUUUCCUGAGCACCUGCUGGGUGCCAGGUGGUAGUCUAGGUAAAGCAGAAAGGACAAGAAUGAAGAAUGGCUGCCCUCAGGGAGCUUCUACUCUCCUGGAAGAAGACGGCUUCUGCCCUGAGGCCUACAUGCUUCUGCAGGCCCAAAGCCAAUUCUACCAGGGCCAGCUCAGAGCACCCUGCCUUCUUGCCAUUUACUGGGACAGCAGCACAUCCUGGUGUUUGUUCUAGAGGCCCCAAAUGUUUCCCACUCGAGACAGGCCUUCCUCCUCCAGUUGCCCCGGGGAUGUCGCUGCAGGCUCUGUACGGUCCCCUGGCUGCUCCUGGGGAUCACGUGCCCGUGUGAUUUACCGCGCCUCACAGCGCCACAUGUCUUUAAAAUUACAGUGCCCAUUUCCUGCUGAAAUAAUUUCCACAAAGAGUGGCUCCUAUUACCGCAAGAGGCGUGCAGACGUCAUGAUUUAUUAUUAUUUAUGGUCCCAAGGCCUUGUUUAUGCAAGACGGGUUAGGUGCGUGCGAUAGAAAUGCCAUUAUGCAAAUGACAUUGAAUGUCCUUACUGCGCCUAAAUAAUUUCUGUGUUGGACGAUUAAACCUCAUCUGUUAUUGAUAUGGGCUGCAGUCGGGCUAUUACAGAGUCCCAACAGUACUUACUCCCAGUAAUGGGAAAAUUGAGACAGAGACACCAACACAAUUGCCUCAAGUGUGCCGUGAUGGUCAGGAAGGAGUACAUCUCCGAGGCCCACGCAGAGGGAGCCUGCGGACCCCUCUGGAUAAAUACGAAAGGCAGCGCCCAGCAAUAAAUCAAGCCCCAGGUUUGAGUGGGUGCCUUGGAGGAUUUGCGGCCUUCCAGUUGUGUGAUUUAGCUAUUUGAUUUAGCCAGGGGACUAGGCAGGCCCACACCCCCGAGUGCCGGGGUUCCCUCUGCUGAGGGAGCCGCCAGCGUGGAGGGGAGGGUGCAGGGGAGGAAAGUGGCCGCUGGCGACACCACCGGGCAUCCAAUCUGCUGCGCCAACGCCACCGGCCGCCUGCCGCCCAGCCCCUGCGCACAACCGCCUGCCUUCGAGAGCUCUCUCUCGCUCUUGCUCUUUCUUUUUUUUUUUUUUUUUGACACAGCUGUGAAGUCCCAUUUUGAUCAGUGUUGAUAGCUUAUGAAUUCCAAAAUUGACAAAAUUUACAGAAAAAUGAGGAUAAUCCAUCUUCCUUAGCAGCCUGUCAGGAGCUGGCCAUACUUCAUAAUCUCCAAUUACAGAUGCUAUUUUCCGACAUUUACAUGCAGAUAUUAGAACCAAAUGAAAAUGAGAAACAAAGAGAGAAUGGAAAUGCAGCUAUUUAUAUGUAUAAAAGACAAACAGGUAAAUUCAAGACAUUUAGAUUGGAUUUGGGGUCCCUUUAGGAGGCUGGAAAGAGACAGCCCUGAACACGUGGGGUUUCAGAAUAAAAUGGUGAGACACGUGGCCUCGUCAGGCCUGCCCAUGGUCUGGCAGUCUGGGUUAAAAAUGGGUGAGCUCCACUGGGUCAGCUGGGGAUGCUUGAUUUGGGUGGGGGCACGUAGGGCAUCCCUCAGGGUUUUGAGGGGACUCUGGGGAUCACCCAUAGCUCAUGCUAAGCCAUCAAGUCCACACGUAUUUCACAAAUGAGUGAGUUUAGACCCUUCAACGUUCGUUUUAAGAAAUGGCGUGUGUAUUGCAGUGGGGAGGCAGGAAAUGCCACUGGAGUCCGCUCUCUCUCCUGGGCAAAUUUCAAAAAGUUGGCGCAUCCUGGUGACCAGUGCAUCAACUGCUCCUGAGUAGGAGACGUGUGCAGGUACCACUGUCUGUCAGAAGGGCUCUGGCCAGGUGCACCAGGAUUUGCACCAAUAAACUUCUAAAAUGGGAUAUAAAUAAUAAAAUUAAUGGGGAGAGAAAGAGUUCUGAUAUAUGGAUCAUCCGCUCCCUUCUCGAGGCUAAUCUGGCUGAGGGAGGAGGGUCUGGGAGGAGGCUUUGUAAUGAAAAUGUUCUUCCCAUAAAAUUGAAGGGAAGAACAGCCUUGUUGCCCUCGCAGCUGUAUGUGGCACUGGCUUCUGGAAAGCCGGGGAUAUUAAUUAGCACUGCUUUGGAUUAAACUCUCCCAACCAUGUCGGAUGGUACGAUUUUUUCUCUUUGUGAGCUUGACACGGAUUGCGAGGAGAAGUCUGCCCGGGUUUUCCCAGCUUACUAUUAUUGCUGAAGUUUUCUUUUAUUUGGGGAUCAAACCUCUUCCUCUCCCAGAAAUGAAAAUGAGGUAUUUCAGGGUUUUCCAGGGCAGUUGGGCAGAGAGAGGCUGUUUUGUUGGAGCAGGCAGAGGAGGUAGAGAUGGUUGGACGGGGAGAGGUGCCUUGAAAGCUUUUGUUUGUGUGAAGCCUGUUCCUAGCCAGCAGUUUUAUAUUAUUUGAGGUUUGAUUUGUGGGAGAGAGGCGAAGGAAAUAAGACCAGGAGGCUAAAUUUAAUGUAUAUCUGUGUAACAGAGAGAAAAAGGAAUUGUUAAAAAUCAAACUCCAACCAAGCUCUCAGAAGUGUGUUUGUUUACACGUCCAGUCUCAAGGCCAAGGGCUUGCUUAUUUAAGUAAAUUAUAGGUAUUAACGCAGAAGAAUGAUUAUUAUGCUUUGUUUCCAGGUACAAAAUGCAAGAUUUGUGAAAUUAACACACAACUGCAAAAUGCGAACCUAUUUUCAAUAAUUAAAAGCAAAGCUCUAAGUUAACCUUGAUAAAAAGGCAAAUAAAUAGAAUCACUGUUGUCACUGUGUUCAUUUUUUUUCUAUCAUCUACAUGAGCUAAAAUUUGGCUUCGGACAUAAUAGCUAAAACCUAAGCCUAAUGUUCCCUGCCUUCAGUUUCUGAUCUCUCUAAAAGCCAGAUUACCUUCCGUAAAGAACAUAGUGCCUGGGCCAAGCAGUCAGAUGCUUGAUUUUUCCUUAACAGUAUUGGCAAUGUCACGUUUCUGUUUGUUUCUCUAUUGUUUCCCACUGAUGUUAAGAUUAAUUGCUAAUUCUGACAUAUAAAUCUGAGCAUGGCUGUCCUCUGAGUUUAUCGUGUAGGCUGUCCUCUGAGUCUAAGUGGGGAAAAGAAAGAAUAAAGUUAACGGCGUCUGUGGCUGAACCCAUCUGGAAACGUUUCCUGCGGGAGGUCAUUCUUGAGCCAGGGUUUCAAGGGGUGUAAUGAAGGGAGGAAGGGAAAGGGUACUCAGGGAGGGGGAAUGUCAAGACCAGGUAGGUGUCUGAAAGGACUGGAGAGUGUGAAACCAUCCCUGGUCUAAGAGUUGGCAUCUCACUCCCUGGGCCCCAGCACCUCCUCAUGAGGCACUCGGAGUCAUGGACAGAACCUAGUCUGACAUCCCCCCUCCCCCCCCCCCCAGCUCACUCGACUCCCCUGCCCUGUGUUCUCUCAUCUGUCCCAGGAUGGGGUUGAUGACAGUUGGCAGAGAGGUGGUACAUAGAACUUUAAGAUCUUGGACUUGGGGUCUCACUGCUAGGGGGUGAUUGGGUGUGCCUCACUUUCAUCAUCUGCAGAAGGGGGGAUAAUAAUAUCCACAGGGUUGUUGUAAGGAUGAAAUAAAUGAAUGUGUUUUAACACCUAGAAUCACACCUGAUGUGUAGCAAGCAUCCGGGGAAGUCCUGUUAUUCUGACUGUUAUGAAAAGCAUGUAAGGGUUUAGGUGAGAGCUGGUAUAGGCUUCAGACUUGCAAACCAAGGGGUCUUGGUCUUCUCAGCCUUUUUUUCUUUUUUUUUUCCUGGUGCUUCUCUUGCAUGGUUUCUGUUUGGCCCUUGCAAACCUUGGUGACAGAGAGGGCACUCCCUCCCAAGACUGCCUGUGUUUGCCUUUGCAGAAUAUCACCCUUUAGAAAGUUCUGUCUGAUAGGGAGCAGAUGGGGUGGAGAGGUGGCCUCUGGCCUGGGGAGUGUGUGUGCGUGUGUGUGUGUGUGUGUGUGUGUGUGUGUGUGUNNNNNNNNNNNNNNNNNNNNNNNNNNNNNNNNNNNNNNNNNNNNNNNNNNNNNNNNNNNNNNNNNNNNNNNNNNNNNNNNNNNNNNNNNNNNNNNNNNNNNNNNNNNNNNNNNNNNNNNNNNNNNNNNNNNNNNNNNNNNNNNNNNNNNNNNNNNNNNNNNNNNNNNNNNNNNNNNNNNNNNNNNNNNNNNNNNNNNNNNNNNNNNNNNNNNNNNNNNNNNNNNNNNNNNNNNNNNNNNNNNNNNNNNNNNNNNNNNNNNNNNNNNNNNNNNNNNNNNNNNNNNNNNNNNNNNNNNNNNNNNNNNNNNNNNNNNNNNNNNNNNNNNNNNNNNCCCCCCCCCACGCCAUGGAUCACCUGGGAGAAGUCCAUGAGAUUUGGCUGCCUAAAGAUGGAGCUCUGAUUUGGGAACUCUCUCUCUUCUUCUUCAUGUCAAGAUCUGGAGCUGCUCAUCACACAGAUAGGCAGAGCCUGAGCAGGACCUGGGGCUCCCAGGUCAGGGUGUCCUCUUCCUUCCUCCCCUGAAUGAUUCCCCUCCCUCCCUCCUUCUCUUCUUUCCUUCCUUCCUUCCUCCCUUCCUCCCUCCUUCCCUUCCUUCCUUCCUUCCCCCUACACUACAUUUUCUUAUCGCUUAGGAGGCCUUGACCCCUGGAUCCUGGCUCUCAUAUUCCAGAAGUAGAGCUUAGUGCUCCAAGCCUUGUCAUUUCUUUUCUUGCAUUUGGGAAGGCAAGAGCUGGAAUGCUCUGAGCCCAGGGCCUUCUCUUCCCCCUCUUCUGGCAGAACUCUUAAGGUUCAGGGUGAGCCGUAGAUUCAUUUGCCCCUUCUCUCCCUCUCUUGCUCAGUUUCACUCAGGAUAAGUCCUAUCUGAGUGACAGAGAGGGCACUCCCUCUGCCUACUGGUGGGAUCCAGCUUCAAACCAGGCCAGAAUGCUGCCUAUAGGCAUCUCAGUGGGGAAGCAGACAGGGUCCCAAAUUACUAGGAUAAAGUAGCAUGGAAUGAAUGUCCUAAAGGAAGUGCAGGGAAAAUGCCUUGGGAAUUCAGAGAAUGAUCUAUUUCAACCAAAAACCUAAGGAAAGCAUCAGAAGCAGAUGCCAUUUGAUCUUGACCUUAGAGGACAAGGAUUUAGACUGGGGUGGGGAUGGGAAGACCCUGUGAGCAAAGGUAUUGGGUGCAGUGACCUGGACUUUGAGGGAUUAGUGUGUGCAGUGUGGUUGGAGUAGAGGAUGCUGUUUUGGAAGUCGGGUGGAUUGGAGUUGAAGCUGGAAAGGUCCGUUGGAAUUUGGAUUGGGGCUGGUAUGGUUCGGCUCAAUAUUAGCUGGAGGCAGUGUGAAGCCAGAGAGAGUUUAUAAGCAUAGAGCAUUCUGGUUGCAAAUAGCACAGUGGUUAGAGGCGGGAGAAAAGGAACACUUAAAAAAAAUCAUAUACACAAUCGCUUUCCAUUUCUAAUGAACUUGUAGUGAGCCCUGAGUUGACUGAGAACAGCGUGAGUCAGCCAGGUGAUGAGGUCACCAGAAGAGCAGAAGGAGGCUUCUUAUGCCCCAGUCAGAGAGAACAUGUCCAGAAGGAGGAGUGGACGACUGUGAGCCCUGCAUCGGACCCAGGAGGGAGGGACGCUGCCACCCGUGGCCCGAGAGGACAUUUGUUGGGACUGGAGCCCCAAGACCAGUGUACGGAGGCCUAAAGGGACAGUUUUAACACUUCUUCAAGGCUGAGCUGGGCGGCCUUGGAGUGGUUGCCUCAGGAAGCAGUGAGUUCUCCAUCACUAGUGGGUUUCAAGCAUCAGAUAAAAGAUCAGCCUUUGUCGUAAUUCCCGAGCUCCUUUGGGCCCUGAGAUUUGGCGCCCAUAAAAUUCUCUAAGUGGUCAGGGAGGAAAUAGGGGACCUCCCGGUUAGUCAUUGCUGGGAAAGUUUCUCUCGGACAGAAACUACAGUAUCUCAUUUCAACCCCCUCCCUGGGGCUUUCCCUGCUACUCCACAUCACUGAGAGUGCGUCGUGGGGGGUGUGCCGGCAGGCUGCAAACAGAAUAAGGAGAGAUGAGUCAGUUACAUUUCACAGGUCUCUUCUUGGAAGCCCCUUGAUUUCACUGCAAUCCAUUGUGGCGCAAGCACGGGCACAGAGCUGGAGAGCCAAAUGAAUAGAGGGCAUGUCUCACCCACGCCCUAGUACUUUCUGAUAAAUAAAAGCACCCUGAGAUCACUUAUCCUCUCAGUGACCCUGGGAAGCACCUCUGGUACUAUCGGCAGAGCCGGGCCAGGGUACCUGUCCCAGUUCAUUUGGUUCCACGGGCAUUUAUGUCACAUCUGUUCAGAGCUGGGCACUAGGCCAGGAGCUGUUGUCACUAAGAUGAGGGAGACAAGGUUCUAUCCUCAUGAAGUUCACACUCUAGUUGGGGCAUGAGGGCCCUAAACAAUUAGGUGUAUGAUGCAAAGUGAUAAGGGUGGUGACAGAGGUAUGACCACUUUGGUGUUCUAGGAACACACAAGAGGGGAAAUCGGGGAAAGCUUCCUGGAAGGGGCAGGUCAUUCAGAAUCCUUGGCAGUUCUUUCCCUCAGUCAAUACUAACUGUACCAGUGUAGGUUAUGGAGUACUCUUGAAAGCAUCAUUUAUGUUCGCUUAUAGCAAACAUUUUUUAAAAGUUUAAUUCAUCUUUUUUUUUUAACUUUACUUAUUUUGAGAGAGAGUGCACGUGAGAGUAGGGGAGGGGCAGAGAGACCAGGAGGGAGAAUCCCAAGCAAACUCUGUGCUGUCAGCCCAGAGCCGGACACAGGGCUCAAACCCAUGAACCAUGAGAUCAUGACCUGAGCCAAAAUCAAGAGUCGGAUGCUUAACCUACUGAACCACCCCGGUGCCCCAGAAGUUGAAUUCAUCUUUAUUAGGUUUAGUGGGGAUGGAAUGCUAAAACCUUGUUUUUUAUUUUUUACUCUUUUUUUUUUUAAUUUUUUUUUUCAACGUUUAUUUAUUUUUGGGACAGAGAGAGACAGAGCAUGAACGGGGGAGGAGCAGAGAGAGAGGGAGACACAGAAUCGGAAACAGGCUCCAGGCUCUGAGCCAUCAGCCCAGAGCCUGACGCGGGGCUCGAACUCCCGGACCGCGAGAUCGUGACCUGGCUGAAGUCGGACACUUAACCGACUGCGCCACCCAGGCGCCCCUUUUACUCUUUUUUAAAACAUUUUUUUUAAUGUUUAUUUAUUUUUGAGAGAGAGAGUGCAAGCCAGGGAGGGGCAGAGAGAGAGGGAGACACAGAAUCCGAAACAGGCUCCAGGCUCUGAGCUGUCAGUACAGAGCCCGACACGGGGCUUGAACUCAUGAGCUGUGAAAUCAUGACCUGAGCCAAAGUCGGACGCCCAACCGACUGAGCCACCCAGGCACCCCUACUCUUUUUUAUUUAUUUUUAUUUUAUUUUAUUUUUUUCAACGUUUAUUUUUAUUUUUGGGACAGAGAGAGACAGAGCAUGAACGGGGGAGGGGCAGAGAGAGGGAGACACAGAAUCGGAAACAGGCUCCAGGCUCUGAGCCAUCAGCCCAGAGCCCGACGCGGGGCUCGAACUCACGGACCGCGAUAUCGUGACCUGGCUGAAGUCGGACGCUUAACCGACUGCGCCACCCAGGCGCCCCACCCCUACUCUUUUUUAAAUUAAACUUUGAUUUUGAGAUUAUUGUAGGUCCACAUGCACUUAUAAGAAAUAACACAGAAGGAUUCUGUAUACCCUUUUCCAGUCUCUCCCCGUGGUAACAUCUUGGAAAGCUAUAGUACAAUAUCACAUCGGGAUAGUGGUGUUGAGAGACUUAAGAUACAGAACAGUACCCCCAACACGGGAUCCCUCCUAUUGCCCUCUUCGGCAUUUUUCAAGUGUUUGUUUACACGUCUGGCCCCGAGGAAUCAAAAAAAUGAGAAUAAAAAGGACUGCCCUCAAGGCCUUGACACUCUUAUCACCUACCUUGUACCUUCUCACAACCUUGUGAGGAAGGUCAUAUAUCCUCAUGUAACACAUGAGAAAAGGGAUCGAGAACGUGCCUGGCCUAGUUCCACAUAGCACGAACUUGGCCCAUCUUCCUGGAUCCAGGGCUGGUGGGCUUCCUAGGCCAUAUUCUUCCCCUGAUGACUGCCAGGCGUCUGGAUUCAGGGACCUGGGUAGAAUGGGCGACGCCUUCACUGACCCAUAGAAUGUGGGCUAAGCCUGACCUCAGCCACGUCAGGGUGAAACCCAAUGCACACGGCGAGGACCACACCUGCGUGGAGCACAGACCCUGGGUGAGGCCUCAAAGGCAGAGCGGCCCUGACAGUUCUGGUCCAUCUCCCUCAUUUGACAGCUGGAGUCACUGAGACCUAGAGUAGGGCGGGGUCUGCCUCAGGUCGAACGGGAGUCCAAGGCAGUGUCCGGUCUCCAGGCUCCCUGCCAAUUGGUCUGAUCCACUAUAAUCAAGACAGAACUAUUCCUUAACAUAUGUUGUGCAGGUGCAGUUUUUGUGUGCCCAGGUUUAAAAGUGUGGAACCUUCCUCCUCCUUGCUUGCAGACUCAGAGCUCUCUCCCUAGCUGGAGGAGUGGAAUUCAGCCUGUAGGUGGUGCACUGCAGAGAGGAGGACGUCCCCCUGCAAGUGUGUGAGCUUUCUCCUCAGGGCUGGUAGUAAAGUCUUCUCUAAUCCCAACUCCGCUUCUGGGGUAACGGGCCAGCACUGAGCUUGGAGCUGGCACACCUGGGCUCCCCUCUCUGAGCCCCGUCCCUGUGUCUGCCUGCACCCCAGGAUUCCCAGGACGUAAUGGGCCUGCAGGGACUUUGCAGGCUGGAAAGGGCCAGGCACACCGGAAGCAUCUUAUGCUUCCUGUGUUUGGAACCUUGGAGUCCCUGAAGAUGGAGAAGGAACAGACUUCAAGAGAGCAAAUUCCUGGCCGUUUCCUCAUCCUCUGGGGUGCUCUCAUUAUUCUGCAGGUGUUUGUUGGACAGCUGAUGGGUGCUGGCAAGUGGGGUCAUGACUCAAAUACGUGCUAUUUCGGGUUUUUGACUUUAAUUAUGGAGAAUUUCAAAAGUAGACAAAAUAGUCUAAUUAACCUAUAAGCAUCCUGCCCCUGGAUUCAACGAUUCUCGACUCAUGGCUAGACCUGUUCCAUAGGUACCCCCACUUCUCCCCACACUCUGCUUUAUUUUGUAACAGCUUUAUUGAAUUUGAAUUUUUAUAUCAUAAGAUUCACUCAGUUGAAGUAUACAAGUCAGCGAUUUUUAGUAAUUUAUGGGGCUGUGUCACCAACACCAACAGCCCGGUUUUAGAACAACCCUGUCACUCCAAGGAGAUCCCUUGUGUGCAUUCAUAAUCAACCCCUGUUCUCGCGCCAGCUCUAGCUGACCCCUGCUCUGCUUUCGGUGGCUGUAGCUCUGUCAGUUCUGGACAUCCCACUUAGCAUCUGGCGUCUUUCACGUAGCAUGCUUCUGAGGCUCACCUGUAUCGUCACAUGCCUCAGAGCCUCGUUCCUUUUUACUGCUGAGCAGUACUCCACUGCAUAGAGAGACCACAUUUAUCCAUUGCGUACAUAGACCACAGGGUAACUGCAGUGAACUCUCUUAGUUUUAUUUUGAAGCAAACUCCAGACAUCGUUUCACUUUAUCUGCAAAUGUUUUAGAAUGACUUGAAAAGAUGAGGCCUGGGGUGCCUGGGUGGCUCAGUCGGUGAAGCGUCCGACUUUGGCUCAGGUCAUGAUCUCAUGGCUCGUGAGUACGAGCCCCGUGUUUGGCUCUGUGCUGACAGCUCGGAGCCUGGAGCCUGCUUCAGAUUCUGUGUCUCCCUUUCUCUCUGCCCCUCCCCUGCUCAUGCGCUCUCUCUUUCUCUCUCUGUCAAAAAUAAACAUCAAAAAAAAAUAAAUAAAUGAAGAUAAAUAAUAAAAGAUGAGGCCUUAACAAGCAUAAUAACCAUGACUCCAUGAUCACAUCUAAAAAGUUAGCAAAUCUGUAAUGUCCUCAAAUAUUUCAAAUACACAGUUUGUGUUUGCACUUACAAUAGUUUCAUAAUAUGUCAUAAUAAUUCUUUCACAGCUGUAUUUUUUACAGUUUAUUUGUUGGAAUCAGGGUCCACACUGCGACCCACUCAUACGUGUCAAGUCUUCUCUAACCUAUAAGAUUCCCUCCAUCUCUCUUUUCUUGCCUUGGAAUUCAUCUGUUGAACAGGGCACCCACACCUUGUCAUGUGGCCAGUUAUAGAGGCAAAGAGCAUCGGCGGUGGCAGGGGGAGUGGAGAUCACGGGUACGUCCUCAGGCAGCUGGGGAGGCAGAGGCCCGGGAAGGGAGACACCUGCCCCCAGGGCCGGGCUCCACCCCAGCUGCCUUAGGUAUCCAGACCCCUCUGCCUCCUCAAUCUCAGGUCAUCGGGCCAGGCCCUGAGGACACACCUCCCCCACUCCAGCUUGUGCCCUCCUCUGGGAAGGUGUGUAGGUGGGCAGGUGUGUGGUCCCACAGGCUGGGAGCAGUUGGCCUGGCCCUGGCCCAGCUGCCGAGGCCAUCUGAAGCUCGCCAGCGAGCCUGGAGGAGCUCAGCAGGUGACGGGGAAGCCUCUCUGGCCGAGGUAGCCACCAGAGGUAGCCAGCCCUGCAGCCUUGUCCCCAUGCCCUGCCCUUCUUCGUGCUGCCCUCCUUCUCACGUGUCUGUGUUUCUUCUCUCCUCCAUGCUAUGGCAGUGGUGCCCCGUGCUGAUGAGACAAUACUUGGUGCAGCCCCAGGCAGUCCUUUUCCAGGUAAUUUCCUAGGGACCCGAAUGACGCCCAGCACCCAUGUUCCGGGAGCACGUGCCUCCUGGAGUCCCCUUUAGGAUUCCUUAUCCCUUGUGGUGCUUAGUUUCCAAAGUGCCGUCCCUGUCCUUAUCCUUCAGAUCCUCGUGCUCGCCCUGGCAGGCAGGCAGCAAGGGGUUCGACUGAAAUCUCCUUUUAUUAAUGAGGACAAGGAGGCUCCGAGAGCUGGCCUGGCCUGCCUCAGGUCACACAGGUGAGAAAGAGGCAGCGCUGGGGGGAGAGCCCUGUGUUAUUGCUCCUAGUUCACUGUUCUUUCUACCACAGGGUCAAAGCCUAUGAGUGAUACAGAUAAACAUGAGCUGAGGAAGUCCACUCCCCUCCCCGAACCUCAGUUUUUCCAGGUUGGGGAAGAUGACCCUGAGUGUCCGUCUGGCUCAGACACGGGAGUGUGUAAGACUUUCCAUCAUCUGGAGCACGGUGUCCGCUGUGAGGAGGGUGUGCAUCCCUGGCGGGCUUGACCUUGAGCCCUCCCAAGAAUCUGUGGCAGCAGGCAGAGAGUUUUAUCCCAGUUGGUUGCCUUGGAGUGGACAGUCUGUGAAUUGCCGACUUCGGUUCAUUUAUCUUUCUGGGUCAUAGUCAAGGAUGGCACCAGGGGGCCCUGGUGGGAAGGGAGCAGAAGCCCAAAAUAAUACUCUAAGAAAGAACCCUAAGAGCUCAGAGAAGUUGGAAAUGUGGGACGCAGCUGUUGCCUUGUGACUGUCAGUGGUGGGGAGGAGAGCAGAGCUAUGUUGCCAAUGUAGGCGCACCAGCACACUUCCGCGCAUGUGACUGCCCUUGUUCAGUCAUCUUCAGUCCUUGGCUUCCCAAAUAACUAUGAGAAAUAGAAGUAAAUUGUCACUGUUCCCAGAGGCACCAACAAUGCCUUCUCUCUUCUCUUUUUCUCUCCUGAUCUUCCUUUUUUUCUUUUUCUGUCAUUCUUUCUACCACUCCCAGACUCCAUUUUCACAAAGGACUUGAGGUGUCCUGAAAAAUAAACCAUUACAUGUAUCUAAAUUAGUAAGUUAAGGCUGAAAAGAAAGUUCAGAGAUUAUGUAGUGAAAAAGGGAAGAUCAUAACACCAGGUGCAAGCAAUGAUGUGGUUGUGGUGGUUUAACACUGAAAUAGACUGAGCUUCCUGGCAGCCAAUGCAAAAAGGGAUAUAUAGUGGUUUCCAGUGUUCCUGUUGUUCAGCCACGGGCAGGUUAACCAUUUAUCAGGAGAAAAAACUGGCUUCUGGGGUACUGAAUUGCAGGAGGGAUUGGCAAGGACUUUGAAUAUUCAGUGGCAGUGUCUUCGGAGGUUAACAAUUUUUUUUUCGUAUGGUGCUUCUAUUUCCUCUAACAAAUGUUGAAUGCCUGAUAUGUUAUCACAGAUGAGUGAAAGCACUUCCCCAGAGCGUUUAAGGGUGGACAAGGGCAUUGUUUUCUGGUCACCUGACUUGAUGAGGGGAGAGGUGGGAGGGGGGCAGGGGAAGGUUGACAUAUCACUUGGAGUUCUUGUUGAAAUACUUCUCAGUUAAUUUUGGAGUGUUGUGGUUGAUGUCAUGCUACUGGAUCAUAUAUUCAUUCAUUCAUUCAUUCAUUCAAAAAGCACUUCAGGGGCUCUAGGGAUGUUCCAUGCUCUCAAGGCAACCUAGAAAGAGAUAGACAAACAGCCAUUAAACAUGGUGAAAAGUGAUCAUGGAGGUUUGUGGAAAAUGCCAUCAAGUGUGGAAGCAUAGACAAGGGAGUCAUGAUUUCAUUGUAGCAUGUGGGGCCCAGGAAUGGCCUCACUGAGGAGGUGACAUUUGAGCUGGGUCUUGUGGACAGUGUAGGAGUUCUGUAAGUGACUGAGUGAGACAAGUCCUCCGGGCAGAGGCAGGCUGUAGAGCAGCCACUGUAACAAAGAAGCAGGAGACUGGAGAGAGUGCAGCUUCCUUUCAAAAUCAUAGCAGCUCAAAGGGACAGGCAGUGACGAGGACUUAGGGAAAAAGUACACACCAACCUAAAUGGCAGCAUCCCCUGGCUCGUACAGGAGCAGGGUGAGCACUGUGAAUCCCACCAAAGAGGAGAGACUAGGCAGGGGGCAAGACCUGCAAGGUGGUGGUGGUAGGAGGGACAGUUGGCAAAGGGCUGCUGAGGGCCGGUUUCUAAGUCCCCUGUCCCCAGAGUCCCCACUCUUUAGGGACAUUCACUUUACCUUCUGGCAGCCAGUGGUGGUUGGGAGACUGGAUUUUGAGACCUCCUAGCACAUGUGUAACACAAGUUAAAGAUUUGGUGUCUUGGAAAGGUGAUCCAAACUCAACUGUCAAAGUGACUGGGCAAACUUUUUGUAAAAUGCUUUUUAGUUUAUUUAUUUUUGAGAGAGAGAACAAGCCGGGGGGUGGGGUGGGCAGAAAGAGAGGGAGAGAGAGAAUCCCAAGCAGUCUCUGCGAUGUCAGAGCAGAGCCUGAUGGGCUCGAGCUCAUGAACUGUGAGAUCAUGACCUGAGCCAAAACCAAGGGUCAGACGCUCAACCGACUGAGCCACCCUGGUGCCCAGUGACCGAGAAAACUCUGACGAUGAAUUUAUGGACUAAAACAAAAUCAAAUAGCAAAAAGACCCUUCCAACGGGACAUCAAAGAAAUGAAGAAAUAUCCCUAUUGGCCACCCUCUUGCAAUUUUCUGAAACUCAGGUUGGGCUCUGCUUUCUUGGGGGAAAUAAAGGCUCUCCCUUGCAGACCCAGCUGCCCAGCCUGGCAUCUAGGAAGGGUAGGUCUGGCAGUGGGGUGGGGAGGGGCGCAGGGAUGCUGACUCUUCAUUGAGAUUGCUGCCUGGACUGCCUAAAGGUCACUCAUUCAUUUGUUCAUCCAUGUGUUCACUGUGCAAACCCUUUGCAGGCGGAUCCCAGCUGGACUACCUUUCCGUCUUUGCCUCUUCUAGUUUCACUUCCUUCAACUAUUGUCAUGUGCCCUGUUUCAGACCACUCCUGUCCUCUUCCCUCUGAACCUUUCUUCAGCUCUUAUCGGCCUUGAGGGUUCGGGACAGCUCAGACCCAGGCUGAAUAAAGCCUGGGCAAGAACACUUUCCUGGCCGCUUCCUGCUCCAUGGUCAAUUAAUGUCUCUGUGUUCCUGCUCCCCUUCGAUAAAGCUUCUGGGGACACAUAUCUUUUCCCUUGGGGUUUGUGGAUGAAAGUCAAAGAGCAUGUCUGGGCUUCACAUGCAUCUUGUGCACAAGAAAGGCUCAAUAAAUACUGAACAUUCAUUGUGCUCAGGCCUCCACCAGCGCCCUUGGUAACACAGAGGGGAAGGGGCCCUGUCCCCUACCCCAGGGUCCCGGGAACCCUAGAAGACACCAUCUCAGAAGAGACCCUUACAGAAGUGUUUUGACCUCCUGUCUUUGCUCAUGGCGAUACGCUGAAGGAGCUGUCCAGUGAGCUUUACUUCCAAGGUCCUUUUUCAGCAAAUGCCUAAUGGCUAAUGCCAUGACCAAGUCUCCUUCUACAGGGAAUGAAGUCUAGACAGUGACCUUUUCCCAACAGCUCCUUGCUGCAUAGAAUGAAGACUUUGCUGGUCCUGACCUAAAGCAAGAAAGAUCUUUUCAUCUCCGCUUCUAUGUGAAACAAAGAUUUAUAAAACAGGGCUUCUUCUUUCUGUGUGUGGGAACCUUGGAUAUUUUUCUGUUCUAGUCCAUUCUAAUUUCGUUUUUUUUAAACAUUGGCACUAGCAAAUUGAUUUCACAUCUGUUUAAAGGACAGGAUUUACGGUACGGAAAUCAUUAGAGUAACUGUCAAGACUUUGGAGUCAGAUCGAUCCAGUUUGGAAUCCUGGCUCUGGCACCUAGAAGCCGUGUGACUCUAGGCAAUCUACUUCCUUUCUUUAACAAGUCUCAGUUCGUCAUCUGUAAAAUGGGGAUAACAUAGAACCUAUUCUGUGGAGUUACUGUGAGGAUUAAAUGGAAGAUUCAGGUAAAGCUCCUGACACAGAGCAAUUGAUCAAUAAAUGUGAGCUUUUGACGUGAUUGUGAAGAUUAUGGUUCUUACUGCCCUGACACCUCAUGGUGAGGCCAGUGGGGCAAAGGCAGGGCUCCUGCCUCCUAAGAAAUGGUAGUUAGGAAGGGCUUCCUGGAGGAGGAGGCAUUGGAUCAGGGUGGCAGGAUGACUAGGACCCACCCUGUGGUGAGCAUCCCAGAACCACUUGUUUCCUCUUGAAGGGCAGGUUUGUUCCCAAGGAUGUUUGACUGGACCUAGAGCUGACCACGUUAGAUGCCUUUGCCUUUCCCAUUUAGGUCUCCAAUCCACCUGGAAUUGAUUUUUGUGUCUGGUAUAAAGUAAAGAUCCAAUUUCGUUUUUCCCCCUUGUUUCUGAAUGGAUAACCAGUUACCCCCGCACUGUUUAUUAGAGUCCAUCCUUCCCUGCUGAUUUGUACAUCACCUCUCUCAUAUAUCAAGGUUCCAUCUAUGCACAGAUCAGUUUCUGGACUCGCUUCUGUUUCAUUGAUCUAUUUAUCUGUCCCUGUGCCAAUCCUACCCUGUCUUAAUUACUACAGCUUUAUAGUGAUAUAGUCGGGGAGGCGUGUCCCUAUCAUGUCCUUCUCCUUGUAGAAAAGCCUGUGCUCUUCUCUGCAUGUUUCCGAAUCAGCCUCUGCUGGAGAUGAUUGAGAGCCCCAGAGCUCUGGACAGAGCUGUCCUCGGUGAGACUCACGGCAGGGUGCUUGGGCCCGCACCCUCGUGGACUCACUGUUGCCCACCACCCCAGGCUGAGCUGCCCAGGAAGUACUUUCUAGUUCAGAUGCAGAGAGAAGCACCAGGAAUGUAUCUGAGUCUGAGUCCCCUCUGCCUGCCACUUGCUCAGUGGCUCCCCUGGUGCCCUUCCCUGUGGCUCAGUCCUCAGCAUCCUCCCCAAGGUGCCUGUGUCUCCUUUCAGAAGGCGGCUUCCUUCCCUGUCCCUGUCUGCCAAGGAUGUAACCCUGGACAGACAAGGAUGUGCCCUCCAUUGCGAUGCCAGCGUCCUGGAGGGAACUGCUCAUGCCAAGAGUUUGGCACACACAACCAAAUUCUUUGGCUUGGGCGUUUGCAGAUAUUUUCUGUACCGGAAACUAGGCCUGGGGGUUGCCUGGAAGGAAGAGACCUGGAACUCACACUUAUAAUUUGGUCUGUCUCUGAGUGGGAAGGCCCAGGUUGGCAUCUUCUGGAGGCCAUUUGACAGUGGCUAGGAUGUCAAGGAAAUGACUCAUCACAAGCUCUGAUUUCAUGAAAUGGCUUAAAGGAAGGAGCAUGACCCUGGGCCAAGUGCCCAUGGCUGCUGUGGACUUGGUAAAUCAGAUGUGUGCACCUCACAAUUUGCAGCACAUAGUUUACAUGCUGCCGGAAUUCAACACACUUACCAAACUGUGGUUCAUUUGGUUUGAUGUAUUGGAUUUUGAGUGAGAGUUUCUGGUGGACUACUCCCUGGACUGGGAUUCUGCCCCACUGGCCAUGGACAAAGCCCUCUUUGCCUUGGGCCUCAGUUUAGUCAUCUGUGAAUUGAGAGUUUGGCACGGAUGAGGUCUCAAAGUCCUUUUAACCUUGUGUCUGUGAUUCUGCAUCUGUGGUUUAAGAGCAUUGAAAUCAGAAACUUUUCUUUCUAUCCUCUUGGCAACAAGACUGUUAUUUCCGCCUUGCUUUUAGUUACUGAUAUCUCCCUCCCUGUAUUCAAGACAUUGUCGGUGGCCACUGGGGCUGGGCAAAUGGAACCUGCAGGCCACAAGAAGCUAGGUUUGAAUUCUUGUGAAGCUGCACCUGACUCCUGCCCACCUCCCUCCUCACCCGGGGAGAACUGUCGACUCUGGAUACCUGUCUUGCUCUAUUGAGCUGAAUCUGCCUUCUCAACACUGGGGGGUUUGCGAGCCCCCCAUGGGCCCUGGCGCUGGCCUGGGCUAGCCCAGCGAGGUGGCUGAAGCCCAGAAUGUGGCGGUGGCGUUUGGCUGGGGUGCUUUGGAGUCUUGAUGCUGAGACAUUUCUGUUUUGUUUCCUCUUUCAGACCACUGAGUACUCAGCUAUGGCCUCGCUGGCUGGAGGGCUGGAUGACAUGAAGGCCAACCUGACCAGCCCCACUCCCACCGACAUUGGGAGCAGCGUGCCCGGGCCACAGUCCUACCCCAUUGUGACAGGUGAGGGCACCUGGGGUGGGGGAGAGAGAGAGACACUGACAGAGGGAGACUGAGAGUGCCUGCAUGGGCGGGGGGAAGAGUGGCUUGGUGCUUUUGGACUUGACGGGCCAUUUUUGUUUUAGUAAGGUUCUGGGGCCCUGGAAUCGGUCAGGCAGGAUACUGCCGGGGCCCAGGGCUGCGGCUGUGAUGAAUCAUGGCUGUAUUUGCUCUGAUAAAGCCAGCGGAGAGAGAGUGUCAAAUGGGCUGUGGGCUGGGACAGGUGGCAAGAAAGGCCCAUGACAAGAAGGGCCGUGGUGACUUCAGGAUCUCCUGUGGAUACAGCCAGGAGGUUCAGAGGUCUGGGAUUUAUCCCUCUCACGAGAAGGGCAACCCUGCCUGGUAGGACUUGAGAAGGAGCAGACUCCUGGCAGAUUGGCAUUGGUAUUUCGGGUUUCCAGGCAGAGACUGAGUCAGGAAGGGUAAGAGGUUUCGGCUGGAAGGUGCUUGGCCUAUGCAAAGUAGCUGCCUUUCUGGAAGGCCCAGGGCCAGCCUCUUUAGCCGUCAGUGUAAAGAUUGAGUUUGGAUCCUGGAGGCACAUUGCUGGAUUUGAACUUGCCAUUGACUAACUGUGUAAUCUUGGGUAAAUGUAUAAGGAUUCUGGGCUAUGUUUUUUAAAAAAAAAUCUCUACAGUGGGAAUGGUGUUAUUGUGAGGAUUAAUUCAUUAAUACAUAUAAAGUGUUUAGACUCUUAUUUAGCACACGGCAAGCACCCAAUACAUGUUGCUGCUAUUCCUCUCAGAGCCUUCUCGUGGUGGCCGGUCACAUUGUUGGGUUUGCUGCUGCAGAAAAGGCUGGACCACAAGGGCUGAGUUAGGCAGACACCUCUUCCUGCUCCAGCAGCAGUGGGAUAACAUGGGGGGACAGACCCUGGAAGUUUGUCCGAGCUGGCAGGCAGGAAGCAGUCUCAGAUACUAUACAGACAGAUAAUAGGAGGCUCAAGGGGAGCACUUGGGCCAGAGCCUUGGGGUCCAGCGGGGGGGAGCAGGAUGUCCCUGUAGGCUGGUAGGCAGGACACGGUAAGAAGUAACAGAGACAAGGGCUUCUUAGAAGUGCAGGCGGGCUAUGGUUGUGUUGGGGAAGCUGGGGAUUGUGCUCAGGUUUGAGUUUUAGGGGAGGGGGCUUGAUGUCACAUAGGUUCCGAGACAGAGAGAACCCAGCUCUGAGACCUGUGCUGAUAGGUUGGCACUGAGGCUCGUGGGGCUCAGACAGAAGCAGUGGAGGCCCUGUUUGCAGAUCUUGGCAAGCUUCUGGGGGCAGCUGAACCAGCACAGGUGGGGAGGUGUCAGCACUGGGACAGGGAUAGAGGGUGGGGAGCCUCCGUUAGAGUGGGGCUUUACUAACAGCACAGAUGUCCCAUGAGGUCCUCUCCCCUGAAGUCACAGAAGGUUUCAGUUGACCCAGGCAGUGGGUCUGGGUGUGGAUUGGGUUUUCAGGUAAACCUUUGACCAAAGACUUGUUUGUACUCCAGACCCAAGUCAGAAUCAUGCUUGAUCUUUAAAAAAAAAAAAUUAAUUUUGGAGGUAAUUCUAGUCUCUGACCCAUUGUUACUACUUGUGUUGCUUUUCACUUUCAUCUUUCCUAAAAACACAUGAAAUUACCUGCUGUAGAAUUUUAAAAGCACUCAGGUAGUGGAUGGCUACUUUGGAAGAAAUAUUUUCUGCCUUGCUCUGCAGAAAGUAGAGAUAGUGAGCUCUUUUGCAUGCCCUUCCAGAAAGGUGUGUUUUCCUGGGUGUUCAUUGCCGAAGGGAUAUUUCUCUGGAGGACCACAUAGGGCUAUGAAAGAAAGAUAUGCAGUGUCAGAUGAAGGCUGUAGGGGAAAGUCAGGGUUACAUUAAACGAAGAGCUCUUACUGUAUCUAGGACCACACUGUGAUCAUGUGCAAUUCUGAGCUAUUUUACUUUAUUAAAAUUCUGUAAAAUUUAGUUUAUUUUUAAAAAGUUUACCCAUGUCUUUAUUUUGCUUGAUUUUGCAUAACGGUAUGCUUGAUGUUGAAAUAUUGGAAGUAUUCUAAUUAUAAAUAUAAUCAUUAGCUUUUUUUGUGAGUAAACAAUAGCUAGCUAGAAAAAUAAUAGAAGAGUCCUUUAACAAUGGUACCAAAAAAACCAAUGCUGAGGAAAAAUUCACUUUAAACUCCAAGGGACAUAAAAGAAUAAAUGGAGAGCUGUAACUUGUUCUUGGGGAGGAAGACUCAAUAUCAUAAAGUUGUCAGUUUCUUCUAAGUAAUCUACUAAUUCAAAGGAAUCCCAAUCAAAAUAGCAACAGAAUUUUUUGGGGGGAACAUGUCAAAAUGAUACCAAAUACUGCAAAAAUAAGCAUUGAAGCAUAGCUAAAGAAUUCUGAAAUAGGGAAAUGAGCAAAAGUUGUAGCCUUUUUAAAAACAUUAUGAUAAAGCAGCAGCACUUAAAACUAUUUUUUGUUUUUUUAAGUUUAUUUAUUUACUUACUUAUUUAUCUACGUAAUCUCUACACCCAGUGUGGGGCUUGAACUCACGACCCCAAGAUCACGAAUCAUUUGCUUUCCCGACUAAGCCAGCCAAACACCCCUAAAACUAUUAGUAAUGAAACUGAAGUUAUGGACACAUAUAAUGGCCUAGAGAGUCCUUAAAUAGAUCCAAAUAGAUAUGGGUAUUUAUAAAUGUAAUAUUUCAAAUAGGUAGAGAAAAAGAUAAAUCGUUCAGUUAAUGGUGUUGGGACAACUAGGCCUGUUGGAUACAUACCUCACUUUUUAUAUCAAAAUAAAUUCCUAGUUGAUCUACACUUUCAAUGUAAAAAAUGAAACCAUAAUAAACUAGAAAAAAAUGAGGGAUACUUUUUUAGAAUCUUAGAGCAGGGAAGGCCUUUUAAAAUCUGUUCCAAAUAUAAAAGACAAAGAAAACUGGUCUAAAUGACUGUUAAAAAUGUAAGCCUUUUGUCUGUAUGUAGAAACAUUCAAAAGACAACAAAAUUAGGGGAAAAAAGUGGAACACCGAUGACAAAAGCUAAUUUUCUUAAUACGUAAAGGGCUUUUAGAAAUGAAUAAGAAAAAAAUCAGUAGGAAAAACAGGUCAAGACUGGAUAAAUUCAUUGGAAAAAAUACAGAUGUCCAACAGCACAUGAAAAGGUACAUACCUGACUCAUAGUUUUAAAACUGCAAAUUAAAACAGUCAUGAGACACUUUAAAAAGUCAAUUAGCUUACCGAAGAUUGAAAUGUUUCUGGAGGCCAAGUGUUGGAGAAGGUAUGAGAAACAAAUAUUUUCAUCCACUGUUACAAAUCAGUGUAACCUGUUUUGGAAGGAAAUUUGGCAAUAUCUAUCAAAAAUGUAAGUGCACCUACCUACCCUCUAAACCAGAACUUUCAUAAUCAAGUCACAGAUAUAUUCAUGAAUGUACAGUGAUACCUUUAUCUGUAUAAUAAUUAUAGAAUUAUUUAUAACGGCAAAAAAAUGGCCACAAGGCAGUGUCUGUCAAUAGGAGCUGGUUAAAUAAAUUAUGGCUCCUUCAUAACACAAAAUACUAUACAAACCAAUUAAACCAAUUAAAAAUAAUUAAGUAGAGCUGUCUGUGCUGAAAUGAAUAAAGGUCCAAGAUAAAUUUUUUUAAUUUUUUUUAAUGUUUUAUUUAUUUUUGAGACAGGGUGAGACAGAGUAUGAAAGGGGGAGGGUCAGAGAGAGUGGGAGACAGAAUCUGAAGCAGGCUCUAGGCUCCGAGCUGUGAGCACAGAGCCCGACGUGGGGCUCGAACUCAUGGACCGUGAGAUCAUGACCUGAGCCGAAGUCGGCCGCUUAACCGACUGAGCCACCCAGGCGCCCCUCCAAGAUAAAUUUUUAAAUAAAUAAGCAAUUUGCAUAAUACUAUGUUAAGUAUGAUCCCAUUGGUAUGAAAAAAUACAAAGGACAUACACACAGGGGCAGAGGCACACACAGGCAGGUCAGAGGCUUGUGUAAUGAGGAUUCUUUAGAAGAUCUCCAGCUCUUCUCCUGCUUUAUGGGGCAUUGUGUUGUUGGGGUUCUCUUCCCAGUCCCACCUAGCAUCCCCUUGGGAUAGCAAGUAUUUUUUUUUUUCAUUUUAUUUAUUUGAGAGAGAGAGAGUGUGCACGCAUGAGCUGAGGAGAGAGGCAGAGGGAGAGAGAAAGAGAAUCCCCAGCGGGCUCCACAGUACCUGACGCAGGGCUCAAUCCCACAACCUUGGGGAUCAUGACCUGAGCCAAUAUCAAGAGUCGGGCACUCAACUGACUGUGCCACCCGGGUGCCCUGGGAUAGCAAAUAUUAACAAUGCCCCUUUACUCUCCGGAAAUUAAGAUCACAUCUGACUUCAAGUUAAAUCAAAAUAAAGCCUUAAUCAUGAGAUAUAGGAAGAAUGAAAGUGAAAUUGUUUAUAGUGAAAUACUAUGUACUUUGAUAAGCAAAUACCCUGCGUGUUUGAACUGCAAGAAAUAAUGAAGUAGUUCGGGGCUUGCCCCAUGCACAGAAUCACUAUGAAUGCCACGGCCCUGAACGCAGACUUAAGGACUCCUAUUUACUCAUACUGCGAGCCUGAUUUUAUGAAUUAGGUGAGGAACUCUUGGCAAAAUUCCAAGUAAAAUAAGAUAUGAGCUUUUCUCGGUUUACACAGUAGUUGCAUUCCUAGAAAAUUCAGUGUAUAUUAAGACCAUGGAGAUUGCAAGUUCACAUUUAUAUGUAAAUGAAGUUCAGGGCUAGACUCAAAUAAUUAUAAACAGAUUUUUCACCUGUCCUGUUUGGCAGGACAUGACAGAAUGCAAGAUGAAAGGAAACGUCGCUGUGGGGACUCUUCCUCUGCAAGGCAGGGAUGCCUCUCAAUUAUAGAAAAGCCCCCACAAGUUUUCAGAGCACCCUCUAGGGGGCAGUUGCUGACCCUACUGAGAAGUGUUAGAACACCUUGAAGGAAUGCCUCCAGGAGCUGUUAGGAUGGCAGUAAUUUUAUUCCCUUGUGUUCAUGGAUGUGUUGACACAGUUCUGAACUCUUCAGGGAGACCUUGAGUCUUCCGGCCCCACGCCUUACCUUCUCCCCUCCCCACAAGGGAGCGUAGUUGGCGCUCAGUUGGACUGUGAGCCAGCCCAGGACUCUAGCUGGGCAGUGCCAGCCUGUAGUGCGGGGCCGGGGGAGGAGGUGGCCUCCGUCCUGCUCCAUCUCGGCCCUUACACUCCAUGCUGUGCAGGGAAGGUCUCAUUAGAGAAUGAGUCGAUUUCUCUCCAUCGUUUAUAUGCCACAUUAAAUAUUAACUUAAACUCCUGCUCUACCAGCCCGGGCCACGGUUCAGAAGCGGCUCACCAUUUGCAAACCAGUGACAUGGCCAGCUUGCUCCUGCAUCAUCAGCAGUUUGGGGCCAUCCUGAUUGGGACUAUUUCUCAGCAGGUGUGUCCUUGGGCCACAGGCCUGCCCAUGGGGCAGCCACUGUGCCUACCUGCCAGGGAGGACAGCGGCUGGGGUGCCAGGCCCCCUGCUCACCCCCCUACUGGUAAAGGGCCUGGCAGUCUUGCCCUCCACUGUGCCCCCCUGACCCUUGCCUGAAAGAACAAAGGAAUGGGGCCAGCCUGUGUCCUUGCUGACCUCUUCCCCUGAGGACUAUCUUUUUGCAUCAGCAGUUAGAAUGGAGGGAGGAGACUAAGGGAGGCUUCUCAUCAAAUAAGUUUGGGCAACACUGGCAUGGUGGAUACCUGUCGGGGUAUGAGGCUCCCCCUGGGCACUGUCCCCUCUAAGUAAAAGACACCACUAGUGGGGCAGCAGAUAGGCGCCUACAAGGACAGACAGAAUGCCACCAAGUCCCCAGGACCACCGGCUCUGAUUUGCUGUGCCCCCAGGUUCAAUGUUUGGAGCCUCAAUAUCCCAAACCUGGAAGCCCAAGAAAGUCCACCCUCUUCUGCCUUUUUCAUCUGAGCAACAGCUGAGGGUUGGAGGAAAGAGCACCAGAUUAAGAGUCAGAGGAAUGGGCGUAAGCCUGGACUUUCCCCCCUUAAUUGUCCUGUCCUUCGGCAAAUAGAUUGUCCUCUUGAGCCUCAGUUUUCCAAUCAAUGAAAAGGGGAUGGCAGUUCCUGCCCUGCAUGCCUCUUUUGGCUGUUGCAAGGAUAUAAUGAGGCAGUGGGGGGAGAGAGUUUGAGAGCCACCACGGGGGCAUCUGAGUGUGUGUGGGGAGUUGAGGGAGAAGGUAAUCUGGCGGGUCCAGGAUCCAGUGUUGGCACUUCCCAGCCUCCCUCAGGACAAAUAUCGCGACCGCAGAUGGGCAGGGUGGGAGUGUCGUGCUGUCCAGCUGCUCACCUGACAGCUCAGCUUGGGAGACCUAGGUCCAGAGAGGGGAGAUGCCCUGCUCAGGGCCACAUCCAGUGAGUUAGAGCUGGAACUAGGGCUCGCCCAGGGCCCUGACCUUUGUGGCCUGCUGCCGUUAUGUGAUGGGAUGGACAAAAAACAAAACACAACAAACAAACAAAAUCCCAGUUUAAAGUUCCAGAGGGUGCCUCUUCUAGCAUGUAAUUGAGAAUGUCAGCAGGAAAGCCAGACUGCUUAGCUUGAAGCCCAGUGUCACCGUGUUCUAGCUGGUUGACCUUGGGCAGGUUACCAGCCUCCAUGCCCAAGUUCUCCAUCUAUAAAUGAGGCCCAAACAGAACUCACUGUAGGCUUCCUGUGAGGAUAACACGAAUGGUCCAUGCGGAACCUUAGCCCAGUGCUUGGCACGAGUAAACGCUCAACAAAUGGUAGUUAUUAGUAUGUUUCAGAGCUCUUGUACCAAGAUGUCUGGCCAGCACCAAGCCACUCUGAAUGGCCAUUUGUUCAUCUUUCCAUGGGGAACACUUCUUAGAUCUGUUUUUUAUGAGCCUUUGAGGCUCAACUAGGCUCAACUAAAUAUCUCUUCCUUCAGAGUGAAAUCAUAAUAAAUAACAAAAACUAAAAUAUGAGAAAUUCCUUAUGUAUCCAGUUUCUCAAAGGUGCUUCAAAAAAAUAUAAUUAAAGCUACAGUACAGCAUAACAUCUUACAACAAAAGGCUCAGCCAUGGAGCUUUCCUCGGAAUCCCGUGGAAGAUGCUGGGAUGUCAAAGUUGUGUGCGCAGGAAAAGAGUGUAACGUGAAUAGUUACUGUUCACUGGACUCACUCUGUGCCCAGCUGGGAGAACGACGGUGAUCUUGGUGGACAGUCCCUGCCCUCACUGGGCUUGCUUGCUGGGAAAAGCUGGACAAUUCACAGCAAACAGAGGGGGGAAAAAUGUGCAGUUUCAUUUCAUAAUGGCAUGUGCUUUGAAGAAACUAGCUGGUUGAAGAGAUGGUUGGUGAGUGGGGCGGGGGGUGGAGCACAGCCUCUCUAACGGGUAGCAUUUGAUCUGAGAUCCCAGUGAUGAGAGGCUUUGGGAAGAUUUGGGGGCAAGGUAUUCCUAACAAGAUACAGCCUCGGUAAAUGCCUUUUAGCUGUAAAAUGAACGAGUGAAUGAGAUGUGGAAAGGAGGAGGCCAUUUCUUGGUUCUUUCUCUGCUGUUAGUUGGGCUCAGCCCAUAAUCAGGCUUUGGGGACUCUUGCAGUCAGUGGAAAUGAACUUCAGAGGUUGAGUAGCCCAUCCCUUCAACCCCCGCCCCCCGAGGAUCUAUUCUACAUCAGGGCUUGGUCACCUCUGGUGAUGAUGAUUUCGCUACCUCAAAGGCAAAAAAUCUUCAAACAGUACGUACCUGUAGCUGUUCUCCACUGAAAGUGAUUUCCAUUCCCGUUAGCAACCCAGGCCCAAAGUGUCUCCGAUGUCCAGAUGGACAUCCAUGGUAUGAACUCAUAGACCCAGCCACUGCCCAGCACCUCCCUCAACUGGCGUUCUGUGUACCCACUGUGAAGCCCAAAGAUUGUUUGGUCCGCAUAGUGUUUUUUGAACUUAAAAAAAAAAACUUAGACUAACAUUUUAAAGAUUGGAGGAGAACAACCCAAAUGUCCAUCAGUAGGGAACUGUUUAAGUAAAGAGUAGCUUAUCCGUACAAUGGAACGUUGUGCAGCUAUAGGAAAGAAUGAGGAAGCUCUCUGUGUCCUGAUAGGGAAGGAGCUUUGAGAUACAUUAUUCAUGAGAAAAGCAAGACUACUGUGUACAGAAUGCUACCUUUUGUGUAAAGAACAGAGGGACAAUGGGAAUGCAUUUGUAUUUGUGCACACGUGCAUAAAGAAACCCUGGAAGGAUACUCAGGAACUUAAUAACCGUGUUUAGGCAGAAGCCGUGAACUGGAUGUGGGAAGAGGACUUUUUUACUGAAAACCAUUUACGUUUUUAAUUUUUCAAAUGUUGUCAAUAUAUGACUAUCAAAACGUUAAAUUAAAAGUGCCUUGGGGCGCCUGGCUGGCUCAGUCGGUUAAGUGUCCCACUUAGGCUCAGGUCACUAUCUUGUGUCCAUGGGUUCAAGCCCUGAGUCGGGCUCUGUGCUGACAGGUCAGAGCCUGGAGCCUGCUUCGGAUUCUGUGUCUCCCUCUCUCUGCCCCUCCACCACUCACACUCUGUCUCUGUCUCUUUCUCUCUCUCUCAAAAAUAAACUUUGAAAAAAAUUGUUAAAAGCGCCUUAAAAUCAGGAGAUUUAACAUAAAGAUUAAAAUGUCUAACCUUUCUUUAAAAAGUUGAAAAACUUGAGGCACCUGGGUGGCUCACUUGGUUAAACGUCUGACUUCAGCUCAAGUCAUGAUCUCGCGGUCCAUGAGUUCGAGUCCCUUGUCGGGCUCUGUGCUGACAGCUCAGAGCCUGGAGCCUGCUUCAGAUUCUGUGGCUUCCUCUCUCUCUGCCCCUUCCCUGCUUGUGCUCCGUCUCUAUCUUUCAAAAAUAAGUAAACGUUAAAAAAAUUUUUUUAAUUGAAAAACUUGUCCACUUUCGGUCCACAUCCCCAUACUACUACACUCAGUAUAGCGGAGAAGUGGCUCCCCCUACACGUGAGUCUUCUGUUUGCCCCAGAUUCCCGGACAGCUCACUAAUUUACCAUGUUUGUAGCCCCUGUGAAUUUACGAGUUCUUGACUUUGCUCCAGCCCCAUCCUUCCUUGUCUCCUCUUGCUCCUACUUCUGUCCAACAGAAAACCUUUCUGUCAAGUCAGAAAGGGCUGGCCACAGGUGUCCAACUGGCCUUGCCUGUUUCCGACUCCAGGUCUUAGGUCAGGCUGUUCUGCCCGCCUGGAAUGGCUUUCCCCAAAUAUCAGCUCAGCGUGUAACCCAUGCAGUGGGGAAGGCCUGGAGGACUGAGUGCAAAGGUCCCGAGAAUGUGCAACAACAUGGAAUUUCAUCCCAGUGCAGUGAUGUCACACUCUCUCCAAACGAGACGUUGUGUUUCAGGGGAGCACGACCCAGAGAGAAAACUCAGCGUCUGAGACUGGAACCUUCCCCGUAGAUACAAGGCUAUUUGCAUUCCAGAAAGAUUCAAGGCGAAUACGAUUGGGGUUUAAAUUUUUUUUUUUCCACGUUUAUUUAUUUUUUUUGGGACAGAGAGAGACAGAGCAUGAACGGGGGAGGGGCAGAGAGAGAGGGAGACACAGAAUCGGAAACAGGCUCCAGGCUCUGAGCCAUCAGCCCAGAGCCCGACGCGGGGCUCGAACUCACGGACCAUGAGAUCGUGACCUGGCUGAAGUCGGACGCUUAACCGACUGCGCCACCCAGGCACCCCACGAUUGGGGUUUAAAGUAUUUGGUAUGGGAUUGCUAAAUAGACUUAGAGUUGUAGAUUCUAUAGAAACCUGGAAUUUUGGAAUGUUUGUGUUUAAAAGGAUACUCAGAGGUUCAGAGAAGCUGAAGCUCUGAUCAUUUUAAAGCCAAAAUGAAAUUCAAGCAUCUCCGUAAUUAAAAUGCACAUCAAAGGAAAAUAUGAUUUGCUUUCAGGUUAGCAUAGUGUUCCUAAGAACUAUUUGUUGAAUAAAUGAAUUAAUAUUUGUGGAAAGUGCAGUGUCAAUUAAAAAAAAUAAUUUCAGCAGAAAGGACUCUGGUUGUUUCUGACCUUGUAUCUCGUAGGAUAAAAAUAAACAAAGCUGGAUGGCCGUCCUGGUAAUGCACUCAUAGAUUUUUACACUUGCGAGCAGCUUGGAAGCUGACCUUUCCAAAUAGCCUUCGAGCAGGUCUCUGGGCCUCCGGCUUCCCAGCCCACCCUGCUGUGAUCCAUCUUCCUAAAAUAGCGAUUUCAUUAGCUUGUUCUCCUGGUCAGAGAUCUCCACCGCCUUGCCAUUAUCUGCAGAAGAAAGCAUACCAGACUGUAGUGCCUGGCAAUUUGCAGAUUACUGCCAUUCAUUAUUCACUCACUCACUUAUCUCUUCACCAAAACCAACUCCUCCUUCCUGUNNNNNNNNNNNNNNNNAAAAUAAACAAAGCUGGAUGGCCGUCCUGGUAAUGCACUCAUAGAUUUUUACACUUGCGAGCAGCUUGGAAGCUGACCUUUCCAAAUAGCCUUCGAGCAGGUCUCUGGGCCUCCGGCUUCCCAGCCCACCCUGCUGUGAUCCAUCUUCCUAAAAUAGCGAUUUCAUUAGCUUGUUCUCCUGGUCAGAGAUCUCCACCGCCUUGCCAUUAUCUGCAGAAGAAAGCAUACCAGACUGUAGUGCCUGGCAAUUUGCAGAUUACUGCCAUUCAUUAUUCACUCACUCACUUAUCUCUUCACCAAAACCAACUCCUCCUUCCUGUCAGACUGUAGCCUAGCCUGAGUCAUAAGGGUUAUAGAGCCCCUGCCCUCAACAUGCUUACAGUCUGAUGGGGGAGGCAAAGGUGGUUGCAUGUACAAAGCAAAACAAAACCAACAAGAAAAACAAGGGAGAUCCCAUGGGAGAAGCCAUGCUAUGUGAGGUGAGAGCAAUGAAGAGGGAAUGAUGGCCUGUCUCUGACUGUGGGCUUUGGGGACAUUUUGUGGAGAAGGCCAUGUCUAGGCUGUUCUGGGAGAGCCAAGCACUCCAGGCUUCUGUUUUCUGUUCUGAAGCUUGGCUUGUUCUCUUGCAAUCCCCCUUUCCUAAUUCCUUUUUAGUCACAACACAACACGUGCCCAUGGUACAAUAAAGCCAAAUGGCGUGAAAGUGUGUAUAGCUUUGGGGCGCCUGGGUGGCGCAGUCGGUUAGGCGUCCGACUUCAGCCAGGUCACGAUCUCGCAGUCCGCGAGUUCGAGCCCCGCGUCGGGCUCUGGGCUGAUGGCUCAGAGCCUGGAGCCUGUUUCCGAUUCUGUGUCUCCCUCUCUCUCUGCCCCUCCCCCGUUCAUGCUCUGUCUCUCUCUGUCCCAAAAAUGAAUAAACGUUGAAAAAAAAAUUAAAAAAAAAAAAAAAAAAGAAAGUGUGUAUAGCUUCAUAUGACCAUAUCCCCUCACCCCAUUCCUAACCUCUUCUGCUGAUGCCAUCAGAGUUGAUGGUUUGGUAUAUGUUCUUCCAGAAGCUUUUCUAUAUAUAUAUAUAUAUAAAUUAUAUAUAUAUGUAGCUUAUUUCCUACAAAUGGGUUUUUACUCCUCAUACUGUUGUUCAAUUUUUGAAAAUUGUAUUUCACGUUUUAUGGAUACCCAACAUGUUGAUAGGGACAGAACUUCUAUCCUCUCUAAUGUUCUUAACUUUUCUCAAGCAAUACAAGCUAGAGAAUCCAUAUUCUCAGGGCUAGGGAGGGGGAAUCCCUCUCAGUAUUCAAUACUGGGGCUUCAGACAGAGAAGGAUAGCGUCCAGGGAGGAGGGCAGGCAGGGUACCUUGUCCCCCAGCGCUGUUGGCUUACGACAGCCGACUUGGGGCCUGGCUGCUACCUCCCCUGCACUCAGGGCUGUAGGGGGAGAGGCGUGGUUGCUGGGAGUACAUCAGGGAAAGCCACAGGGAAGCAAGCUUUAGUUGAGUGCAAAGAAGAACUUUUAAUAGUUAGAGCUCUCUGAAACUGGAAUAGGCUGCCUCAGGAGAUAAUAACAAUGAUAGCUAAUGUUUAUUGAGCAUUUGUUAUGUGCUUUGGUUCAUUUCAUCCCUUAUUCUGUGGAACACAGGUGCUAUUUUUGUCCCAACUAACAGCUAAAGAAACUGCCUGAAUUCACACACCAGUAAGUAACAAAGCUGGUUUUCUCCUUACUUCUGUAUGGUAUGGUUCUUGUAGGUAGUAAGCUCCACGUCAUCAGAGGUAUCCAAGAAGAGCUCUCUCACAUUUAACGGCAGCACAGUUAAACUAGCAGCCACUGGGGUCUGCAGAAGCUGAUCACACUGCACAAUCUCUCAUAUAGACUCUGAAGCCAGACUGCCUAUCUUUGGAUCCCAGCUCUGCCACUUAUGAACUGGUGACCUCAGGUGCUCAAUUGUUUGCGUGUGAGUGUGUGUGCCUCAGUUUCCUCAUCUAUAAAAUGGGGACAGAAACUCAUUAUAUGGAUAAAAUGAGUUGAUAUUUCAAAGGCACACACACAAAAACCCUGGCUUGGAGCACAAUAAAUGCUGUGUAAGUAUUGAUUUUAAAUUAAAAAAAAAUUUAAUGUUUACUUAUUUUUGAGAGAGAGAGAGAGAGAAAGGGGCAGAGAGAGAGAGAGAGAGAGAGAGAGGGAGACACAGAAUCUGAAGCAGGCUCCAGGCUCUGUCAGCACAGUGCCCGAUAUGGGGCUAAAACCCCUGAACCGCAAGAUCAUGACCUGAGCUGAAGUUGAACACUUAACUGAGCCACCCAGGCGCCCCUAAUUUUUGAUUAAAAAUAAGAUAAAAUAAAAUUUUGCAGCUCAGGAAAGGAGCCGGAGCCAGAGAGCCUAGGGGUCCGCCAUGACAAGAGGAUGCUGGAAGACCUUACUAAGGGUGGCAUGUGUCCCGCGUUGAGCAGGCCUGAUGGCUCCCUCUUCUGGAUAUUCCACUGGUCUCCUCUGUUAGUUUUUACUUGCUGCUGUAACUACCACAAGCUUGGGGCUUAAACCAACAUAAAUUUAUUUUCUUACUAUUCUGGGGGGGCAAGAGUCCUAGCAUCAGGGAACUGCAUUACCUUCUGGAGGCUCUAGGGGAGAAUCUUUUUCUUUUUUCUUUUUUAACCUUUUCCAGCUUUUGCUAGAGGUUGUCUGCAUUCCUUGGCUCAUGGCCCCUUACCCCAUCUUCAAAACCAGCAGGGUGGCAUCUUUUCUCCCCUUUGACCUCUGCUCCUGCUGUCACCUCUUCUCGCUGUGACUCUGACCUUUCUACCUCCCUGUAUAGAGACCCUUGGUGAUUACAUUGAGCCCACCUGGAAAAUCCAGGAUCUCCUCCACGUCUCAAAAUCCUUGAUUUAAUCACCCCUGCGAAGUUUCUUUUGCUUCCUAAGGUAACAUAGUCACAGGUUCUAGAGAUUAGGAUGUAGGCAUAUUUGGUGGUAGGGGAGAUGUCCAUCAUACCUACCCUUACCUCCCCUGAGCUCACUAUAAAGGUCUCCUUGAAGACUCCACGUCCCUUCAUACCUGGCCUGACCCAUCAUCCGGGAGGGAAUCAGGUACCUCUUUUGCUCUGUUUCUGUCUGACCUGUCCCCACCAUGUCUGUAAGCACUGCUGGUCCUCACUCUGUCUCCUCCAUCUGACCCACUGUUGUGACAAUCGUGCCCUCCCCAGGUGCCCAGGGCCAAGAGACUGGAAUUUUGGUCCUGGAUGGGCCCUUGGAGAUCAUCUAGUGCAACUUCCUGGGUGAGCAGAUAGGAACACUGGGGACUGAGAACUCAGGGUCUCCAAAGUGAGACAGCUCUGGAAUCCAUAUCCCUUGACUCCUUUUCUACCUAGUGCUUCUUCUCCGUGCCAGACUUAGCCUUUGUCCUUCCAGAAUGCAACUGUUUCCCUUUCCUCUCCUUGUUUCUCAGCCUGCCUGGUCCCUGCCAUCUGUCUACUUCAUCUGUGAAGCUGUCCAAUGGAACCCUUCAUCCAGGCUUAUCUAUUUACUACCAUCCAACUCAGCCAUGCCUGGUCUCACUCGAAGCCUUUUGCUUCUGCUGGUUCCUCUGGCUUAGAAUGCUUGUCAUUUGCUCAGAGGUAGUAGUAAUGUGCUGUGAAAGGAUGAGCACUGGGUUGGCUUGGAGUCAGGGUCACAGAUCUUCAUCCCAGCUCUGCCAUGCUCCUUGGUGACUUUGGGAACAUCCUUCACCUGUCUGAGUCUCAGUUUUCACAUCUGCCGAUGGGAAUUAUAAUCUGGGCUCAUCCCUUCUUGCAGCACUGUGGUGAAGUGCACACGAACUAUAAGCUGUAAGGAUCUGUGCCCUUUCUUAGGACUUCAUGGAGCCCGUGCCACCUUGACUGCGCCAGGUGCUCAGGUCCUGUCUCCCGUCAAGAAGGAAAAUGUGAGUUGAUGCAGGGCUUUGCCUGUAAAAGGCUUUCAUGACACCUACUGAGGAACCGAGGAGUUAGCAGGCCUGCUGGCAGUCUUUGCCUGUACGCCUUCAGGGAGUGUCUGCAGGGAGUAGUCCCCAGGUGCCACCUUCUCCAAGGAGUCCUCUCGGUUACCCCACAGUCAGAGUGAUGUCCACCUCACCUGGCCUCUGGGGACCAGCCCACCUGUUAUAAUGUUGUGCCUUGAUUUAUCACUCUUUGUUACCAGCCUAACUUUCUCCUUAGACUUUGAGGUUCUGAAUGAUAUCUGCCUUCCCCGGAACAGCCUAGCAUGGAACUUGAACAUAGUAGGUACUCAGGAAGUAUUUGUUGAAUGGAUGGACGGAUGGAUGAACAAAUGAGUUGUCUACAUGAUUGAUUGUUACUAAUUGCCCCAAACUCCACUCUCCUAGGUUAUUACCAAGGUUAUCAACCCCCUAGAUUAUUAUUAUUUACACACUGGAAUCACUUUGAUAGGCAUAAGGCACAUUUGAAUGUAAUUUAUUAUCGCGAUUAUUAUUUUUCUUCAAAUGCAUAAACUUCUCGUCUGCCACCUUCCCCCCUGAUCCCCCCCCCGCAGUGUUCACAGCCCAGAAAAAAUCUGUCUCUAAUUUAUCUCAAUUAGUUCUUAUUUUCAUUAACUAAGAGGCUGUAGAAGUUCUACUCCCACCCUAGAUCUUCUAUACAUGUUUGGUAAGGCUGGUUUGGGCAUGGAUCCUUAACAGGCACCUGCUGUCUGUCCAACUUGCCCAUCCAGAGAUAUGUUUACCUUUCCAAACGCACUGCUUCCUUUUUAAGUGUCUUUUAACUCAGGUCUGCGAAGGUGUCACAAGCACACCUCAAGGGAAGGGUGGUCAGAUAGUCUAUCUGGGGAUUGGGUGUGUAGGGUGGGGUCACGUGAGGGUAAGGGCCUUUUCCCCAGAGCUCAUCUCUGGGGAGGCCAGAGUCACCAGCAGGGGUGAUGAUACUUGUCUCCCACUCACCAGGCACCAGAAAUCAUUCUGAGCACUUGACGUAUGUUAACUUGUCUAGUCUGCGUAACUACCCUAUGAAAGAGGUAUUACCCUCAUUUUACUACUGCAAAAACUGAGGCACAGGGCACAGAAGUUUGCUUAGUGUUGCACAGCUCCUAAGUGGUGAAGCCAGGUUUCAAAUGCACGUAGUCACGUUCCAGCAGCCACACAUUUGACCGCUGUGCCACACUACUUCUCACCAACCUGGUGCUGGUGGCCAGCAGAGCUCUGAGUCAGGCAGAGCCUCAUCUGGAGAACAGACCACAAACAAGAGAUGUGUCUCUUUCCCAGUUGGCCUGGUAGGAUUACAGUAUCUUUUAUAACCAGCAGUGUCAAUCUGUAUAGUUGGUCAAAAGGUGUUGCCCAAAAGAAGACCAUAGCUGGCACAAAUAGCCAUCUGUGCCAAUAAGGGGGUAGGUUACAAAAAAAAAAAAAAAACAAAAAAAAAACAAACACCUGUGGUUUUAUUAUUAUCUCCAGAUCUCUUUUGUACUAAUGAGACUGAUGGAGUAAAAGAUUCCCAUAGAAUCCAGCCUGGAGCCACAGAGCCCAGGGUCUGGCUCCCUGUCCCCCUCUGGUCCCGCAGCCCAUUUUAGCUGGGCCCUUCCCCAGGCUCACUAAGCCUGAUCUAUGCUGGUCUAGACUGCCUAGAACUUGCCCAGCAACUGCCCAGCUUCUCCGUGGGCCGAGCACACCUCUGGUUGGGACUGGCCCAGCCCAUGCCCCCCCGGGAGGAAUCCCUUCUUUGACCUUUGUAAUUAUUCCUGUUCAAUCUUCCUUCAUGUUUUUUUCCUCCCCCCACCACCCCUUUCGAGGUGCUCAACUCCUGCACUCUCUCCAGUGUAUUAAGGAUGUGAGUGAAAUUGAUGACUGGGAUGUCUCAGGUCUUUAUGAUGAUGAAUGACUUUCACUGCCAAAGCUUUUAUUGUCUGUGAUUUGGGAAGAAGGGGGAACUGAUAUAUCAAGGCUGCCUGUCACACCAUUUAAUACAGUUAUAAAUCCUGACGUCACUAACUGGUGGUCAGGAGCUGGAGAAUUCCACCGGCCGCCGCUUUGCCGAGCCUUUAUGGAUUUUUCCCCUUGCCUUUCUUUGCUUGACUGUCACAAUUGUGUUUUGGGAGGGGGGAUGGGAACAGCUGGAUGAUGCCUUUAAAUAUCCCAGGGGCAACCUGGGCCGGAGAGGAAAGUGGGAGUCCUCUCCACCCUAAAAGAAGGAGGAGAUGGCCGGGCUUUGAUUCUAAGGUGGGCAAAUUCUAAAAGUAUGCUAAUAGCUUCCUGCAUUACUGCAAAGGGUGUAUCACCCUUUAUAGUUUACCGAGUGAUUUUACAUCUGCCAUUUUUCAGGUCUUACUCCUAUCCUUGGGAGGGUGGAAGGGAGAGGCUUGAUCCCCAUGUUAUAGAAGACGAAACCGAGGCUCAGUAAGGCAAAGUGGCUUGGCCAGUUUGCAGAUGCAGAGGGCAACUCCCUGGGUGAAGCAACAGGACACGGCCGCUAGGCACUCUGAGCAGAGUCAGAGAGCCCUGGACUCACCCCUGUCCAGCUGCUGAUCUUGGGAUGGUCCCUUCUAUUUUUUUUUCUAAUAAAAAAAAUUUUUUUAAUGUGUAUUUAUUAUUGAGAGACAGAGAGAGACAGAGCAUGAAUCGGGGAGGGGCAGAGAGAUGAGGAGACACAGAGUCUGAAGCAGGCUCCAGGCUCCGAGCUGUCAGCACAGAGCUCAAUGCGGGGCUCGAACCCACAAACCGUGAGAUCGCGACCCGAGCCAAAGUUGGACGCUUAACCAACUGAGCCACCCAGGCGUCCCGGUCCCUUCUAUUUUCUGAGCUUCAAUUUCUUCAUGUGAAAAAUGAGAACAACACUUUCCUCGUAGGGCUGUUAUGAGAAUUAAGUGAGAUAAUGCAUGUAAGUGCUCAAUAAAUGUUUUUUAAAGGUAAAACUACAAUAGAAGAAUGUGGUAGGUGUUGCAGGAGCAAGAGGAUGGCUGCCUAUGCCUCCCUGAGGUUGUGCGGGGAGGUGGCCAAGGAAGGCUUCCCAUAGGAGGUGAAGCUCAAGUUGAUUGGAACAAGCAGGGAUUAGCCAGGCUGCGAGGGCAGGAAGGAAAAGCAUAUCAGGCAGAGAGAAUGUGAUAAACGCAAAAACGACAUCGGAAGUGCAACUGCUCCAGGAGUGGUGAGACGUGCCGCUGGCCGUGGGGCAGGGGUGGGACCAGGGAGGCUACCAGUGACCUGAGGUCAUAACCUCCAGAUGCCAGGGGGCCUCGGAGGGCUUUAAGUCGGGAGUAGCAUCUUCAAAGAAAUCUCUCUGGGGUCUUGACAGAGGGCGGACAUAAUGAGGACAAGUCUGAGCAAGAAAGCCCAACCCGUUGAAGGUGGUUGUAAAAGUCCAGGAGAGGAAGGAUGAGGACCUGGACCCAGGCAGCAGCGAUGAGAAUGGAGAAAACAUUUUGAGGAGUAGAAUUGGCAGUAGUCAAAUGUCGGGGACAGGUGAGCUGCAGAAGUCAAGGCUGGCUUCCCUGGUUGGAGUCUGGGGGGCUGUGUGGAUAAUGGAGGCACCAGCUGAGGCAAAGACAAUGAGAAAAGGAGCUGGGUUGGAUACGUGGACUUUGUGGUAUCCCAGGGACACCCAGGCAGGAACCCCCAGAGGGAAGUGGGGGAGGGGUCAGUGCCGGGGAUGAGGAUUUGGAAAUCAUGCCCGUGGAGGAGAUGAGUCACCCAGUGAAGAUGUGCAGACAGGAAGCGUAGAGAGGAGUGGAGAUCUAGGAAGAGUCUCUGGGGAAACACUGAUGUCUGGAGAGAGGAAGCCAUGGAGAAGCCUGGGAAGAGGUGAUUUAUGAAGGACAAAGCGGGCCACCAAAGCCCUCCAUCUUGGAGACUGUAGCAGUCACAGCUCUUAGUUGAGACCAACAGAAUUCUCUCUGGCUGCUUAAGCAGAAGAGGGAUUUUCCAAAGGAUAUUAGGACAUUUAAGAGGCUUAGAGGCCUCACAGCCAGGAGCCCACACAUCAGGACUGCGCCUGACGAGAUGCCGCACCUUGGCCUGUGGACACAGAGCACUCGGCUCACACUGCUGUCACUGGACACUGGAUGUCACCACCGGAACCUCGGCCUCAGCAGAUGGACCACAUGGGCUCCUGCUUCUUUGUGUCACCAGCUUCUGAGUUAACAACCCAUGCCAUGUGUCUACUUGGUAGAGCCAGUAAGGUGCCUGUGCCCUGUCUGCAAGGGAGGCUGGGAGAUCAGGCUUCUGGCUUCUGCCUUGAGGAGACUAAACCUUUUUAUUUGUUUUUUAAGAGAGAGAGAGAGAGAGAAGGAGCGGGAGAGGGGCAGAGGGAGAAGGAAAGAGAGAAUCUUCAGCGGGCUCCAUGCUCAGGGCACCUGGAUUGCUCAGGGCACCUGCGUGGCUCAGUCCCUUGAGCAUCCGACUUCCGCUCGGGUCACGAUCUCACAGUUCAUGAGUUCGAGCCUUGCAUCCGGGUCUCUGCUGUCAGUGCAGAGGCCGCUUCAGAUCCUCUGCCUCCUUAUCUCUCUGCCCUGCUCAUGAUCUCUCUCUCAAAAACGUGUGGGGCUCUAUCUCCCCGGGCUCGAUCUCACAAACCAUGAGAUCAUGACCAGAGCCGAAAUCAAGAGUUGGACACUUAACCAACCGAGCCACCCAGGUACCUGAGACUAAAUUCUUCAGGUAGAAAAUUCCUAAAAGAGGGGUGUUCAGUGGUAUCAGGUGGCCAAAAACCUUGAAGAAUUGGGGGACAAUGGCAGUUAGGAGGGCCUUGUUCUUGGAGUCAUUUAUUGACAUGUGUCCAUCUCUUCCCACAGGAUUUGAGGUGGCAUUAAGUUCAAACUCAAGGCCAUCUGCAGACAGGCCAGAAACCGCUGACAGAAAGGGAGAAAUUAUUGUACUGGGUGCCAGGAAAGCCCUGGUGAGGAGAGGCAGCUGGACUGGGAGGCUGUGGGGUUGGGCUGUUUUUUCUGGACUUGAAUGACCUUUGGCAAGUGGCUGGCCUGGGAGGAAGGAAUAGGGAAAGGGAAGACCCAAGGGCCCUGAGGCCCAGCCCCAACCCUGGGGUGGCUGGGAGGCAUUUCCUUUGGUUAGAACUUGGCUAGCUUCUGAGUUUGGGAUGGUGGCUUCUCUUCAGGGAAGAGGAUCAAAAGUAUCACUUCUGAGGCUUGAAGAGAAAGCUUCCUGUUCCUAAGAAACAAGGCACAAAAUCCCUAGCACCUGACAUGUUGGGCCCAGAAGAGUGGCUUGGAAAAUGUUUUCUGAGCAAAUGAACAAAUGAACGGACCAGUAUACAUACGUUUGGCCUCAGCUCUGUGCUGAGCUUUGUGCUGGCACCACGGGGAAACGUGAAUAGGACACGGCCCUUGUCUGGCAAGGGUUCAGUAGGUGUGGAAACAGCCGCCCUAGGCCGUCCGACCAGUGCUGUGAUGUGGAGCUGGGCCCAGGGGCUCUUGAGAGCAGUAAGGAGGGAGUGUGUGACCUUGGGUGGGCAGGGCGGGCAUCGGGGAAGGUUUUCUGCAGGAGGUGACUUUGGUGGACUUUACUAGAUGCUGCCAGGGUGGGGCGGCAACAUUUGCAAAGGGUGGAGGUGAGAUGGGGAAAAACGAGCUGUUUAGGGCCUGAGUAGGGAUGGGGGUGGGGUGGGGUGGAGGCUACACCGCUCCAGUAGGAACAGAGGGUAGCGAGGAGUUUGGAUUUGAUCCAGAGGCCAUGGGGGAGCCUUAGGGUGGGAGCAGAGGGUCUGGCAUGUUGGGGGAGGCUGGGGCCAGGCAGGGAGACAGUUGUGGGUGCGGUGACCAUGGGAGUCUGAACUGUGGCCAGAGUUGGCUGUGGAUACAGAGGGGCUGCGACUUGGUUGUUGUGCCCCCCCAACCUUCCCCCUGGAGUGUUGGUGGGAGGGGCUGGGCCUGUGGGUGCCGUGGGUGCCGGGGUGUCCAGGCGGGGCCUUCUCGCCCAGGGCCACUCUGGAGCCUGCUGGGUGCCCUCAUUAUGCCGCUCACAGGCGGCGAGAGACGAGAGCAGCAAUCGAGACGCCGGCUGCCUCCUGCUGGUGUGCGGAGCGCCAGGCAAACCACAUGAGAUCCCAUCUCGAGCAUAAUGUGCAUCCGAGGACAAAAUUAGAUUGAGAAGUAAAUGGAGCCGAAAAUUUCCAAAGCAUUUCCCGUCAAGAAGCUGUUUGAUUGUGUGUUUUAAUUCUCAGAGUCCUCCUGCCCCGGUGAGGUUCAUUCUGGUGGGGAAGGCUGGAGCCUGAAGGAGCUUGACCUGGGGACUGGGACUGGGGUGGGGAGAGAGGCCAUGAGUCCAGGCUCCAUCUCCUGGGUGACCCGGCCAAGGUGGCAAGCACUGACCCGUCCGACUUUAAAACUGAAGCUGAUGGCACGCUGGGUUACACUUGCAAAUGUUUCCUUUUUUUUUCUUUUUUUUUUUUUUGCACCAGAAGGUUCUGCCUUCCUCUUCCUCCUCUUCCUCCUCUUCUCAUUCCCUCCCUCUCUCCUUCCUCUAAAGCCCAGGAACCCCCCACGGAGGCAGGGUAAGGGUCAUGAUUCCAUUUUGCAGAUUUGGAAAGCGAGGCUCAGCCAGGUAUGAUCAUUUGUUGGUGGCCCAGAGGGAGGAAGUCAGUGGAAUAUCCUGUGAAGUCUGAUUCCUGUGUGUGUUCCCCCUGCAUGCUCCUGACCACAAAGGUCAAUAAAUAUAAAGAUGUGACAAAAUCUCUUUCUCUGUCUCUAACACACACACACACACACACACACACACACACACACACUCCUUGGGCCCCAGUCCACUCUCUGCACCUGCUCCCCCCAGGAGAGUUCAGCCCUGUCCUGGGCUCCAGUGUCACUGCUGACCCCAGCCUCAUCUGUGGAGCUCAAGAAGAUGCCCAUGUCUUUAGACACGUUCACCAAGGAGAGCGUUCUGUUUACUUCAUUAGGAACAUUCAUGCCCUAGACUACUGGAAGGGAAAAAAUUGAGAAUCAGUUUCUGGAGCUUGAGGGGUGUUCUGAGAGAGGGAAGAGGCGGGAAAUGAAUACAGAAUGAGAAAAGGAAAUUUGGAUCAGGGACCAUGGUGGUUCUAGGGCCCAGGCCUGGCUGUGCGUGGCUCUUUGGGCAAGGCCUGGCCCUUGAGGGGGCCUCUUCACUCACCUGCAGAGUAGGCCAUUUGUGAUUUCCCAACAAUUGUUAAGGUUUAAAAUUUUUAUCAAGAAGGCUUUUGUUCAGGUAAAACCUUCAUGGGAAGCCCUUUAUGUGAACCAGUUGGAAGCAGGGUUCACUGAUUAAUGGGAGCCCCAGAGGCCCUGAAGAUCCCCCAGGAGGACCAGAGGAGCACAGCUGGAACCCCCUGCACUGGCUGACCCGUAGCGUCCUUUGGGCUCUGGUGCUGUCCACCGCCAGAGUGGUCUUGAGCCACUGUGAAAUCUGCUCACAGCACGGGUGUGCCCUUUGCUCAGCCUGGUUCUCAGUUCCUGCCUCGGGGACCCCAGGCCUCUGAUAUUACACCCCGGCUGCCCGCCCACCUCACCCCAACCUCUGCCUGCGCCUGAGGAAGCUCAGACCCAGCCUCGAGCACACGGCUCCUCGAGGUUCAUCCACAGGUGCAACGGCAAUACCAGUACUGCCUAACUCACCACGACUCAGCCUGAGUCCCAAUCCCAACCCCACUGGAGGAACCGUACCCACUGAGACCCAGCUCCAGUACCUUCUCCUCCAGGAAGCCUGCAGUCCAGCUGCUGGAAUGGAAUCUCAGGUCUGCUCUUUGCUAUCUAUGGGGUCUUGGGCAGGACUCGGAUAGCUUCAGUUUCCCCAGCUGUGGGCACUGAGAGGGCAAAUAACUAGCAAAUGAACCCCAGGCCUGACUGACUCCUGCACUUGUCCCCACAUAAUGCAUCCCACUCAGUAGUGCUCCUUCCCUCUCCGUGUUAUGUGAAGCACUCUCACUUCUGUGAUCCCCUUUAGGACUCCCAGUGGCCCCUGAAGGAGGCAGGGCAGGGAUGAUCCCAGAACCGGCAAUGGCUUGUGAGCAAGAGCCGGAGCUGUGUAGAGCCUCUCGGAAGCCCUGGCACCUGAUUCAGCCUCUCUGGGAAGGGAGGGCCAGGGAGGGCUGGGCUGCAGUCUCUGCAGCCUACAGCGCCAGCAGCGCAAUUUAAUGCGUGUUCUCUGCAGCACAUUAAUUUGCCAUGCACCCUGGGAGGUGCCUCUGCGGGGUGGGUUUGGUUUUCCCUGACAAGCAGUGCACCUGCCCAGCCUGCCUCUAAUGCGUGGCCUCACUGUUUAGUUUGGGGAAACAAUCGCUGGGGCGGGAGGCUUGUCUGGUUGGGCUUUCUCAGUUCCAGGCCUGGAUCCCUGUGACAUCCACCAUCCUGUUACCCUCUGGACCAGAAGUGGAUCAGCUGAGGCACUGGUUUAGGAGUUGUGAUGGGCUUCAGUCCCUUAGAAGAGAUCAGAAGCCUAUCUGAGGCUUUUCUGGCUUAGACAUUCAUCUAUUGACUGUUUCUUGAAAUAAACAGGCUGUCAGCCAGACGUGAAACAGAGAACCUGGUAACAGGCAUUCCUCACAUCUCCGGCAUUGUUUGAUCUCCUAGGUAGCUGGCCUGGGAUUGGGACUCAGGUUCACAGAUGAAAAUGUUCAGAGAGAGGAGAGGACCUGCCUGAAGGCACUGGCUGUGCCUCAGUGAGCUUUCAACUUGAUCCUUCAGCCCUGACCUUACCCUUAGGAAGAUCCAGUAGGUCCCUCUCAACCAUGCUUGACUUCAUUUCAAACCCAUUCUUGAUGUGGAACUUGGCGAUUAAGGGCACAGGCUGCCUGGGAUUCUAACCCUGCCCCCACCACCUCGACCUGGUCCAGUUUCUACCUGUGUAACCUUGGGCAAGUUUAUUCACCUCUCUGAGCCUCGGUUGCCUCCUCUGGAGGUAAUAACAGACUUAGCUGAUAUUUGGGAGCACUUUCUGUCCUGACUCUUCUAGUCCUUUCAAGCAGUCUCAAGAGAUGGUGUUAUCAUUAGCCCCAUUGUACAGAUGAGAAGACAGAGGUGUAUCUUGCCCAAUGUUACACAACAACCAGUGAGGAGCAGAGCGGGAUUUGGAUCCAGGAAGCAUGUUCCUGGAGUCUGUGCUCUUAAUCGCUAGUUUCAGCCUCGCAACAACACCAACAAUAAUGAUGUUUUCUACCUUGUAGGAUUGUUUGAUGAUUAAAUGAGAUAAUGUGCACAAAGCACUUGGAAGAGUGUCUGGGAAAUAGAGCUCAACUGAGUUAGCUUCUACCAUCUGUCCACGUCAUGCAUGUUCAGUGAUUCCGGGGGCACACACAGUGGUGGGUGGGUGAACGCUUCUGAGGCUUUCCUCCUUCGUGUGAAGUACUAUUUCCUUCUUUACCCGUCACCUUUCACGUUUCGGUCUCUGGUGGUUUACGUGGGUGCAGCAGUGGGCGGGAGUGUGGCACAAAGAAAGGUGGCGACAGGAAGGCACAGUGUAUACAUGGCGUGGGGAGUGGGCAGUGAGGGGCUUGAGGCCAGGCAUCGGGCUUGCUGGGUGAGCACAGUCACCCCACUAGAGGGGAACCGUUGGGGUGCUGUUCCACCUUCCUUCAACAUGUGAAGAGGGAGCUUGGGGCAUCUGCCCAAGGUCACACAGCUGGCAAGAGGCAGAGCUCGGGACCCUGUGCUCUUAGCUGAUGGCUCGUGGCUGUGUCAGCAGUGGGGAGCCAUGGCAUACGUGACAGCCGCUUGAUGUGAACAGAGCGCACUUUCAGAGACUGAUUUGGUUGCACUCUCGGGUGAGCCAUGGAACGAGAGUGGCAUUAUUGAGGGGCUUUACAUACAUUUGUUAAUUUAAUCCGCUCAGCAACUCUAUGAGGCAGAUGUUUGUUUACGGAUGAGAAAAUGGAGACACAGAGAGGCUAGCAACUCUUAAGAUCACACAGCCGGCAAGCAGGGAGCCAGGGUCUGCAUCAAUACUGCUGGCUUGUGCCCCCUGUCCCUAAGGACCAUUCCACGCUGCCCCCUUUACAGAGAUGUAAUGUCCCCCAGUCUGGAAGGUCACCUCAGGGAGACUCGAUGAUUUCUGUGUAUUUCCUGACCUCCUUCGAUCUAUUUGCCAUUUAACAGUCAUCUUAGUUUAUGUAGAAUCCAACUCUCAGGAAGACAGACUUUCCCAACCAUUAGAAUUGGGAACUGUGUUCUGCAUUAGCAACCUGGGGGUGGGAAACCGUGAUGAGAUUACCGUUAGCCCUGAAUCGGGAAUGCAUGUGGCAGGGGAGGACUGGGACACCUCCACAUGUUAGCCCCGCCAUGGGACUCCAUGACUCUGAAACAUUAUGAGGCAAAGGUACAUUUUCAGUAUUUUCUAUCAAGCUUGGGUAGGCACGUACGUACCGUAACCAGGCCUGGAGGCCUGGUGGGUCUCCAUCAACAAGCUAAUCUCCUGGCGGUCUUUUCUCUUGCCCUGCACUGUACAAGGGUUCUCUGGGGACACAUCCCAGACUGAAUUGGACAAUUGGGCUUUUCUCCAUCUGCUCCAUAUGAUUAUAUAGGUCCCAGGCCAACUCUCCAAACACUUGUCAUACCAGUUUCCUGGCUAAGAGAUGCACAUGAUCAUGCUGGAGUGACAUAGGCUAACCCUUCCCAGUGACAGCACCCAGGUUCAUCUCUGAGUACUGGCACUACUGAACCUCGCCCAAGGGGGUGGCGAAGCCUCUGAGAUCUGUGAGCAGGCCGCGUGUCCUUCCUCCGAGCACCCCAGACUGCUGAGGUUUGGACUGCUUGUGUCUAAUUAUAUUGUUUUCCUGUCUCUACCCUUGCUGGUUCACCUGUCACCUGUCACUUCUAAUGUCAGUUUGCCUGGCUCUAGAAGUCUCUCUCCCCCUUUUCAUUCUGCUGGGGGCUGGGAAACCAAGCCACUGAGCUCUUUGGAACUGUGUGCAAAUGGUUGGACCCCCUAGAGCUGGUGCCCAGACGGACUCUAGGGACAGGCUUUGUGCCCACCUUGGCUACUCACAGCCAGAUUGUCGGGGCUGAGAUUGCCUGAUGGCACAUUUCAGCAUGGCGGGACAUCACGAUGUUUACUGUUUAUGUGAGGGCUGGAUGCUGGCUUAGGGGAGCCUGGUGGGACCAUGAGCUGUGAAUAUGUGACUUGGCCAAGGUGCUCCUGCCAUCAUGAUGCUGUCCUCAAAGGGAAGAAAUUCCUUCCGAGACAGCUCUAGGCUGAGACCUGCUGAGGUGGGAGCACAGGACAGGGAGGAUCUGUGUACUUUGUGCAUCUUGGAUUCAUUAUGAUCUCUCCUCUGAGACUGUGAGUGGGCCCCUGGGGCACAGAUGGUGUCUGGUUCCUAAGAAGAAGUUAAUUUUAAGUCAAAAAGUUAAUUUCAAAUAAAAAGUCAUAUGUGCACAUGGUUAAAUAUUCAAACCACACAAAAAAAUAUAAAAUGAAAACUAAAUCUCCUUCCUCCAACCUCAGUCCUCGCAUCCAUAGCCCCUCACCCCAAAGUUAAGUGUCUUGUGUAUACUUCAGUAGCAUUUUUAUGCAUCUAUCAGCAUAUAACUUUUAUCUGUUUUCUACUAGCGCAUGUGGAAUCAUCCUUUACACAGAUUUCUUCUGUACUUUGUUUUAUUCACACAGUCAUGUGUCUUGGAGGUCUUUCCACACAUUCAGAUCUACCUCAUUUUUCAAAACUCUGUAACAUUCCACCAUAGGGAAACAUCGUAAUUUAUCGAACCCAGCCAUUAUGGUAGUCCCCCCUCCCCAACUCCCCCCCCCCAUCUCUUUUCCUUCCACUGCAUGUAAAUCUUGGUGUACCUUUCUGUGCAUUUCCAGCGGUAAGGUUCCAGAAGUAGAAUUGCUGGUCAAAGGAGAGGUGUGUUUUGUAUUUUGCAGUUCACCUCUUAAAGCAGAAUAGUGUGGGGAGGGGGUGGGAGAGGUCCAAGACUCUAGCAUCAGACGGCCUCAGUUUACAUCCAGCCCUACCUCUUUCCAGCUAGGUGUCUUACUUGCCAGUUGGGGAUUUUAAAGGUUUCUAUCUCCCAGGGUGUCUGUAAUGCUUAAAUGAGAUAAUGCAUACAAGCACUUAGAAUGGUGCCUGACACAUGGUAAGAGCUGGAUAAAUGAUAAAGUACAGUUGUUUUAUGGAUAUUAUUAUUACUAUUAUCGUGCUCUCCAGGGUCCUCUGGAGCACUCAGGAACAUGCUUAGAACUUAGGAGGUAUCAGAUAACGCACGAAUGAAUGCGUGGACAAAUGAAUAAAUGAAGACAUGAGCUGGCCUGCAGUUGCCCUCACCAUCCUCCUGCUGUAAAUACUGGCCUCCGUUUGUCCCUGGAGCCGUGCCUAUCCUGGCAGGGAGGCCGCGAGCCACGAGCACGGCAGAGCCGUUUUGCAGCCUUGCCUCAUUAGAACCCCACCUUCAUAGGAUUAUUACGUUGGAUCAACAGUUGCUAGUUCGGGGCCGAUCGUGUCGUAAACGACAUGGAAAUAUUGAUCGAGCCCCAGUGCCUGCUCUAAAAUGCCCAGGCAGAUACUAUUCAAACACCCUCUCAAAACUGAAACACAGUGGUGGAGUCUAGAAAUUCAUGGGGAUUCCAGGAAGGAGAUGGGGUUGGUUCAAACGAAGGAAUGGGGAGGAUUGAGACUGCAAAGUAAGCAGCGCCCUGGCUAGUGAAUUCUCCAACUUGUCUUCCCUGCUCUACAAAGCCAGAUUAGAUCUCCAGCCAGGGCAGUUAGAGGAAGGCCCGUCGGGAAUAGUGAAAAGUAGGGAUCAAGCAAUUUUUGGGAAAAGAAAUGUAGGGUUAGUAAAUAACACCACCUGGGGAGCCUGGGCGGCUCAGUGGGUUAAUCGGCCAACUUCGGCUCAGGUCAUGAUCUCGCAGUCCGGGAGUUUGAGCCCCGCGUCCGGCUCUGUGCUCACAGCCCGGAGCCUGGAGCCUGCUUCAGAUUCUCCGUCUCCCUCUCUCUCUGCCCCUCCCUUGCUCGCGCUCUGUCUCUCUCUCUCUCUCAAAAAUAAAUAAACAUUAAAAAAAUUUAAGUAAAUAACAGCACCUAAUCCAAUGGCUAAUGAGCCUGUUACUCGGAGAGGCCAGAAUGACUGGACGUGGCUCCUCUGUGAUGUGCAGCAUGUCCAUUCCUGCCGGCCGGGUUGGGCUGUUACAGCCCUGGGACGGCCUGUCCCCUCCAGGUGAAACACCCCCCUUCUGCACUCCCCGGCUCAGCGCACCCCGUACUCAUGGCAGGUCCAAACAAAGGGAGACCUCCGAGCAGCCCUGUUCAAACUGUCACAUAUUUCAAACGCCAGCUGGAGCAAGCAGGCCCGGUGGCGAACGCGCCGCGUGUUCAUACGCAGGGGUGUGUGGAGCGGGACGCACCCCCUCCCGUACCCCGCAUCCGCGGUGUUGGGCUGAUCCCUCCCCCUCCCCUUAGGUGGCAGUUGUGUACUGUCAUCUGCUUUGAUGUUGUUUGAAGAUCUUCAGCUCAUGUCACUCCGGCGCAGUUGACUUUUUCCUUUAAAAAGUUAAGACGAUGCCUCAUGUACAAAUACAGAAUGACUAUGUGAAGGUUUUAUUCAGCUCGUAAAUUAACAAGGGAACCUGUAAAAAGUGGUUUCAAGAGCAUUUGAGGAUCAGGGGUUUAUAUCUUCUAUCAAGAGCAGCAUUUUAAAAAAAAUGCUGGAAUAAAAUUGCUAGAUUAGACACAAAAUUGGUUAAUGUCCUACGGGACAAAAAAACCCCAAACCUUUAGGUUUAUCUUUUCUACUCCAUAGAAAUCUACACAUAAACAUACACAUGUAGCUUCCCUUGUCUGAGCUCUGUUCAAAUAGUAAAGAAUUGUCAAACACGGGCAUAUUCUCUUAGGGGUAUGAUCCUUGGGUGUGCCUGUUAAAAAGUGCCCGUGACAUUGAAAGGCUCUACUUCCCAUCUUUAUGACCAUUUUUUAGAGUUUUAAAUAAUGUUUCUUAAUACACAAAAAGGUUUCUUACGGUUCUGUGACUCUGAGGAAGGGUAUUCUGGGAAAAUGUUGGAGAAGUAGAAGUGUCUGCAAGAUUUGGUUUAAUGGUUUGAACUGAGACAGAAUCAGAAGCGUUGGCUUCGGAGCCCUCACUGCCUGAGUUCCUCGGUGAUUCCAAGUGUCCUUCAGAGUGAGCUAAGUGGCUCUGUGGCUGGACGUGGGGCACUGGCAGAGGAGCCUUGACAGGAGCAGGGCUGAGGCGGGAGGCCUGGGGGGAGGUUGCCAGGAAACAGGGAAAAGGGAAGAACAGGGCAGGUUGGGGCCAUGGAGGAGAGGGGACUGAGGGGAUAGAGAGUCAGGAGGGGCUUGGGGCCUGACUGGACAUGAGGGAGCAGGGGGGUGGGGGUCUUUGAAGCCGGCAUGGCUGGGAGGUCGGGACUAUCACCAGAGAAAUAAGGCAGAUGGCAUGGGGUUUAGGCAGCCCACGGGCUCAUGUCCCAGUUUCCCAGAAAUCACUUUUGCAAUGCUUUUACUCUGUGCUCUGGCCUGUUCAACCCUGCAAGAUGGUUACCUCUUUGGCAGUUACCUGGACACCCAGGAAGGGCUUAAGUCCUUGAAAGGCCUGGCAGCCAGUGAUGCUGGUGGGAAUGGUGACGGUGGGGGGUUCAGACAGGACUCGAGGGCUGGAGGUUGGGUAAGCAUUGAAAAGUGGCAGUCUGAGGGCUAAACAUGACCCUUGGGCAGGUUUUCUUUGGCCCUCGGUGUGUAUUUUGAUUGAUGUCAACAUCCACAAAGGCAGGAGAUUUCCAGAUGAAGAGAAUACUAGAGUUCCAACUUCUUUUGAAAAUUAGCCAGAGCCCCAAGAGGAGGUGGAGCUGACCUGUGGUCACACAUCAAGUUACCGUUGCCCCUGUCUGGAGUGUGCAGGUUUCCUGGGCAUUCAGUGUCCCAGGUGAAUGGCACGGCCAGUUUGGGACUUUGCCUUUCUUGACCAGCUGCACCAUAUUCCUCAUAGCUUGUGUAUGGAGAUCCCUCUCCUCUGGUAGGACCCCUGGCCCAGGGCUGUCAAGGCUGGUGGACCCUCUCUGGCCAUCGAGUCAUUAUCAGCAUCCUGCUCUCACCUGCCAUCUUGUCCCCAAUAAUUCACGCUUCUCAGUGGCUUUCCUUCUCUCACUCACACAGUCAGGUAGAUAGAGGGGGAGUUUGGUUGGUGCCCUGUGGUAUUCAAAGUGAAGGGUUUUCAUACUGUCAGGGUAAUGAAUUCUGGAAGGGUUUGAAGCAAGGGGCUGGGAGGAUCUCCGUGUCAUGUGUCUGGGAGUGACAACCCCCAGUGGUUAAUUACUGCCACACGAUGAGAACCGAGCUGGUAGCAAAAUGAGAUAAGUUCAUUACGAGCUAAAUUUGAAGUUAAUUGGAUUCACAUUUCCCCCCAUUAGUGUACAUAGAGCCUACCUAGAAAUGGGCUGUAUAAAAAAGAAAAAGUUGUAUCCAAGCAAAAAAAAAAAAAGGAUACAUUAGGCCUGGUUAUUCUGUGGAGUUCAUGAUGAAAGGCUUUCUGAGAUGUUGGUGAGAUAUCCAAAGUUUCUUUCAGAUGGUAAAACCCAUGUCAUUUGACUAAUUUCGCCUUGCCAGACAUUUUCUGAGCACCUGUUAUGUGCUGGGCCAGGAUAGCGGAAGGAGGGACUCAAGCAACUCUUGCUUUCGGGGACCUCCAGUCUGGAGGCAGGAAAAGCACAAGUGCCCCGUAUUUUGGAGCAAUGUGAGGGAAUCUGGUGCCAGAAUGCCUAGGCGUGGAUAUGGCUCCAUUUCUUACUAGCUGUGGGACCUUGGACAGGUAACUAAUCUCUCUGUUUUAAUUUCCACAUCCAUAAAAUGGGCAUAAUAAUAGAAUUUAUCUUACAGAAUUUUUGAGGAUUAAAGGAGUUGAUAUCUAAAAAGCACAGUGAACAGUGUUUAGAACACCACCUAGUGUUAGAACAGGGCCUGGUUUAUAGUAAGUGCUACAAAAAUGUUAGCUUUCAUGACUAUCAGCUGUGGGAACUUAGGGCCCAUCAACUGUUUGGAGGCUUUGUUUCCUCAUCUAUAAAAUGAGGAUAAUAACAGCACCCACCUCUGGGAUCGUUGUGAGUGCUGACUGACAUAAGGCACAUACAGGUGCCCAGGGCCUGACUCCUAGGAACCUCUAGGGAAGCUGUUGUUCUCUUGGUUGACCAGUCACCAAGGUGGCCCAGAUUCAAGGCAAGGGGAUGUAGACCCCACUGUCCCAUGAGAAGGGUGGCAAAGUAUUUUCAGACAUGUUUAACACUUUCACAGCAAGGACCACUGUUUCACUCCCAAUAGAUACUCUCUUUCUCUAAUUAUAAAAGGAAGACCGAGGUUCGAAUGAUUGUAUUAUUACUUGCCAAAGUUCACACAGCUAGUAAUUGGUGGUGCUAAGAUUUUUUUUUAAUUCGUUUUUUAAUGUUUAUUCAUUUCUGAGAGAGAGAGAGAGAGAGAGCAGGGAAGGGGCAGGGAGAGAGAGACACACACACAAUCUGAAGCAGGCUCCAGGCUCUGAGCCAGAGCACAGAGCCUGAUGAGGGGCUCAAACCCACAAACCGUGAGAUCAUGACCUGAGCCGAAGUCGAAUUCUUAACCGACCGAGCCACCCAGGUGCCUCGGUGGUGCUAAGAUUUGAACCUAGGCCUGUGUGACUCCAAAUUCCAACCCCCUUCCUCCCCCGCCCCCCUCUGCUGCCAAUCAGGAGUCUAGAUGCAGCUCUGGAGGCACCUGGGGGGCCUGUGUGAAAGGCAGAGGAGAUACAGGUGGCUUUAUGGCCCAUUCGAGCCGACACCCUCAGUGCUGGCUUGAGCAUCUCCUCCCUGGGGAUGGGUCUGCCCUCUGGAGGUCACUUCCUCCACAGUGUCGGCCAGGCCUGCCUUAGUCUCACCCUCUCCCCAGAUGCAGAUGCAUCCUGAGAAUUCACACCUUCCCUUCACUUCUUUGUAUUUUGAGCAUUCCAAACUCAUGCACCUCCAGGAUUAGUAAUCUACUCUUCUCUCUUCCCUACCAUUGUCCCUCCAAGGCUUUCCAUUGGCCAUUUAGAACCUGAACUUGAACUUCCAUAAGGACUUUGACUGGGGGAGGCCAGUGUUUCGCUCCUGGGCUUCAGCUGUGCCUGGCACAGGUCCACCUCAUCUUUUGUACAGUUGCACAGUACUCCAUUGUGUAUAUGCACCACAGUUUAUUCACUCAUUUCUCUAUGUCCGGGCCUUUAGAUAUAGUUUCUGGUAUUUUGUAAUUACAGAUAAUGUUGCAGUGACUAACCUGUGCAUAUGCAUUUGUGCAUUGCUGAAGGUGUGUGUAUGUGUAAGGUAGAUCCUUAGAAGUAGGAUUCCAUGUUGGAAGGGUAAAUGCACAUACGGGUAUAUAUAUAUUCUGGUGAAUUUUCUGUUCAUGAAUUUUGCCCAAUUUUCCAUGGGAUUUUUGGCUUUUUCCCUUUAAUUCUUACAGGUUCUUGAUACAUAGGCAUAGUACCUAUCGAUUCCACUUUUUGGCUAUUAUGAAUAAUACAGCUUUGCACAUUCAUGUACACAUUUUUGUAGAGACACAGUUUUUUAUAUCUCGUGGGUAUAUACCUAGGAGUGGAAUUGCUGGGUCACAUGGUAACUCUACAUUUAACGUUUUGAAGAACUGCCAGGCUUUUCCAAAUGGUUGCACAGUUUUACAUUCUCACCAGAGGUGUAUAAGGUUCAAAUUUUCCACAUCUUUGGUCAAUGCUUGUCAUAACCUUUUUGAUUAUGGCCAUCCUAAUGAGUAUGAAGUGGUGUCUCGUUGUAGUUUUGAUAUGCAUUUCGUUGAUAGCUAAUGAUGUUGAAUGUCUCUUCGUGUAUUUAUUGGCCAUUUGUAUAUCUUAUUUUAUUCAGAUCCUUUGCCCAUUUUUAAAUUGGGUUGUCUUUAUUAUUGAGCCGUAAGAAUGCUUUGUAUUUUCUAGGAACAAGUCCUUUAUCAGAUAUAGGACNNNNNNNNNNNNNNNNNNNNNNNNNNNNNNNNNNNNNNNNNNNNNNNNNNNNNCCAGAGGUGUAUAAGGUUCAAAUUUUCCACAUCUUUGGUCAAUGCUUGUCAUAACCUUUUUGAUUAUGGCCAUCCUAAUGAGUAUGAAGUGGUGUCUCGUUGUAGUUUUGAUAUGCAUUUCGUUGAUAGCUAAUGAUGUUGAAUGUCUCUUCGUGUAUUUAUUGGCCAUUUGUAUAUCUUAUUUUAUUCAGAUCCUUUGCCCAUUUUUAAAUUGGGUUGUCUUUAUUAUUGAGCCGUAAGAAUGCUUUGUAUUUUCUAGGAACAAGUCCUUUAUCAGAUAUAGGACUUGCGAAUAUUCUUCUCCCAUUCUCUGGGUCUUUUUACUUUCUUGAUGAUGUCCUUUGAAGCGCAUAAGUUUGUAAUUUUUAUAAAGUUCAGUGGAGCUAAUUUUUAUUUUGUUGUCUUUGUCAUGUCUAAGAAACUAUUGCCUAAUCCACGGCUAUAAGGAUGUAUGCCUCUGUUUUCUUCUGUGAGUGCUAUGGUUUUAGCUCUUACAUUUUGGUCUUUGACCCUUUUUGAGUUAAUUUUUGUAGCUGGUGUGUGCAUCUGGUUUUGAGUCAUGGUUAGAAAGCCUUUCCCUACAAACAGGAGGGGAAUUCACCGAUAUUUUCUUUUAGUAUUUGCAUAGUUUUAGUUUUUGCAUUUAGAUCUCAGAAUCAUAUGGAGUCUAUUCUGGUAUAUAGUAUGAAGAGUCUAUUUUAUCUUUUUCUUUUUUAAUGGCUCUCCAGUCAUCCUAACGCCACUUAAUAAAAAGCCCAUAUUUUUCCAAGUGAUUUGAGACCUUGCCUUUGCCAUAUGUUAGAUUUCCAUACAUAAUAGUUGUGUCUGUUUCUAGACUUUCUAUUCUGUUCCAUUGGUUUUCUGUCUAUUCAUGUGCUGGUAUCACACUUUUAAUUACGAAGACUUUGUAGACUGUUUUAACCUCCAGGAAGGCUUGUCUCCUUGAGGGGGUACAUUCUGAGUAAUCCUUCAGAAAUAGCAUUUAACUAGAAGUCAUGUGUCAUGAGCUGUUCUACCCCUUACUCUGUGACUAUAGGUCAGUCAGACUCAUCUUUGAGCCUCAGUUUCCUCGUUCAUAUAACAGGGGUAGGUUCCUUCCCUCAGGGUUGAAAAAGACGAGUUAUUUUAAAUUAAUUCAGAGAGCAUCCUUUGUCAUGAUGAAAGAUCCAUAUGGACUCCUUGGUGAUAGUGAACAAGGCCAAGUCUUGAUUAUUCUGUCUGGGAAGAGGAAGCAACACAUGAAUUGUCCAGGAUGUACUUAUGUGCCAUUAAUAGGAACAGUUAUGUUAAGAACCCAGAUCAAUUAUUUGCAAAUAUAUUAUAUGCUAUCAAUAAUAUUCAGUGCUAUUGCAAAUGAUAGAAAGCAUUUCUUCCUUGGCAAAAAAAAUGAUAUAACUGUGUUUUGAAGUUUUAUAUUGAAUUCAGAAGCAUUAAUUCUGGUCCAUUGAGUCUAGAGGCUUGAAUUAGAGCUAAAGAGCAGUAGCCUCUUAGCUGUCUUGUGUUGACUGGUCUUGUGGUGACAUGCCCAGCUCAGUGCCAGGAGAGUCCUCUUGGGCAUCAAAGCAAAUGUGAGGGUUAAAUUUACUCUGUGGGUUCCCACCAGAUGGUGUCCAUCCUCUGCUCAGAUUUAGACAGAUGUCCUUAGAAAGUCCCAGGCAGAGUAUUCUCAAGCAGAGAAUAAUGAUGAAAACAAGAACAGUUAACAUUUACGAAGUCUUGUAUCAAUCAACUAUUGCCACAAUACUGCUGCUUAGCAAACUCCACCCCAAUGUUCAGGGCUUAAAACAACAGUCGUUUCCUCUUGCUCAUGUUCCUGGAGGUUGGCUGGGGGUUGGCUGAUCAAGGCUGGGCUUGGCUCCAGUGGUAGACUGGGUCCAGGUCUGCCCACACGUUCCCUUCCUAUUUGUGGUAGGCUAGCCCGAGCCUAUUCUCAUGGCGAUGGCAGAAGUGCACAGGCGCACAUGCAGCCACACAAGCAUAUAAUAAGCUUCUGCUUGCUGAGUGUCUACUAACAUGUCAUUGGCCAAGGCGAGGCACGUGACUGAGCCCAAACUGAAAAGGCAAAGAAGCACUCAGUGCCUCUAGUAGGAAGAACUUCAAAGGGUUUCUUUUCUGUUUUUCAUAAAACUAAAUUUACCUGGUCUAAAAUAGUUUCGUAUUAUGUUUUCCCUACAUUUUGGUGUGAGAUUACCAUUCAUUCAAGAUGAUGUAUGUGUAGGGAUAGGAGCCAGGACCACAUCAGAGAGAGGCCAAAUCUGCCCCUUGAAAGACAGAGGGCGCUGGGGCGCCUGGGUGGCUCAGUCGGUUAAGUGUCCGAUUCUAGACAUCCAUUACCCAGCUGCCUUGCCAAACCUUUUCACUGGUUCAGAUGAGCUGACUUUCCAGGCUCACGGUAUACCCAGCUACUGAAAUUUUGGUGUUUCCCCUACUCCCAGUGCUUAUCCUUGUGUCUCUAUCUUGUCUUCUUGUACUGGCUAAAACUUUCAGAAGUGAUAGCAGGUUUCCUUGACAUGUUUUUUUAUUUUAAUAAAGAAUGUUUCAAGUAUUUCACCAAUUAAGUAUGAUGUUGACUCAAGAUUUAAGAUCAAUACCAGAUCAAAGAAGUAUACUUACCGAGAGGUAUUGGAAGGAAUUAGUAUUGAAUUUAUUAGCCAAUGCCUUUUCCACAUAAGAAAAGCUUUCCAUCAGCUUUGAUAUAAUCAUAUGUUUUUCAACUUUUGAUGUGUUACUAUGAUUUCCCAACCAAUGCUUUAAUACUGAAUCAUCCUUGCAUACCUGAAAUAAACCUUAUUUGUUCAUGGUAUAUUAUUCUUUCUAACCUCAUUUGAUUAUCGAGACAGUAGAUUUUUUGCAUGUAUAUUAAUAAAUUGUGACAUUACCCUUUAAUUUUCAUUUUUGUACACCUUUGUUAAGUUUUCAUAGCAGGAUUAUGCUAGCUGGGAAAAUGAAUUGGGAAGAUUUCCUUUAGUUUUAUACAUCCUGGAACAGUUUAAUAACAAAAGUAUGUGUCCUUUGAAGGUUUCAAAGAACUGCCCCAAAACAAAACAAACAAGAAACUUGCCUGAAAGCUAAGUGAAUAAGUCAUCUUAUAUUAAAAAAUAAUUUAAAAAAACACAACUUUUUCUGUUUCUGCCAAGGCAGUUGGGUGUUCAUGUUUUCUACUUCUUGAGUUAAUUUUGGUAAUUCAUGUUUUCCUAGAAAAAUAUACUUUUUGUUGAGAUUUCCACAUUUAUUAAUGUAGAGCAUCUUUUGCAUUUAAAAAAUAUUUUUAAAUAUCAUCUCUUCCACGUCUGUGGUUGUAUCUUCUCAUUCCUUAUCUCGAUGUUUGUGUCUUCCUUUUUGGAUCUUGCCCUGGGUUUGUCUAUCUUAUUGGUCUUUUCAAAUAACAAUUCUUGGUUGCAUUUAUUAUUGUGUCUGCUUUUUUCACUUUCCUAAUUCAUUAUUUUCUGCUUUUUCUUUAUCGAUUCCUUCCUCCUUCUUUCCUUCAGUUCAUUUUAUUACUUUUUUAUCUGGCUUCUUGAGUUAAGUGCUUUGGUGAGGCACUGCAUUUUCUGCUUUAGGGAUCAAGGUUUUAAAGCAUGUGUAAGAGUGGCAGAAACUGUUGGGGUUCUGACUAAAGGCACAGCCUCUGUUCAAGAAAGAACCUAAUCGCAGGAGGCAGGAGAGCUGCGAUCCAGUCCCAGCCUUUUCUGAAAUCAGCUGAGUGUUCUUGGGCAAGUCCAUUCUCAGCCCAGGACCCUCUUUCCCAAAUUUCAGGCAACCAGGUGGGAUGUGGACCUCAUGAGGCUUGGCCCCCAUGCACUACCUGCACAGGAGGCCUCCUGUCAGGAUAAUGCCCUCUUUUUUUUUUUUUAUGUUUAUUUAUUUUUGAGAGAAGGAGCACGAGCAGGAGAGGUGCAGAGAGAGAGGGGGGACAGAAGGUCCAAAGUGGGCUCUGUGCUGACAGCAGAGAAUCUGAUGUGGGACUUGAACUCAUGAACCGUGAGGUCAUGACCUGAGCUGAAGUCGGACGCUUAACUGGCUGAGCCACACAGGCGCCCCAGCGCCCACUGUCUUUCAAGAGGCAGAUUUGGCCUCCCUCUGAUGUGGUCUUGGCUCCUAUCCCUACACAUAUAUCCACAAAAUCUGUGUAGCUGAAUUUUCUUUUGCAUGAUAGAGCCAAUAAGCAAUGGUGACAGUGUGCCGAAGGCGAGGCUCAGCCUGGGUGUCCCAGCUGAGAGAUACCUGGAGCCUCUGGACUCGUGGUCAGAAGCAUAGCAGGUGUAUGUGCAUGGCAGUGAAGUGGAGUGGCUAAACGUGUGACCUCUGACAUUGGGCCGCUUGGCUUCAAAUCCUGGCCCUUACUGUGCAACCUUGAACAAAGUACUUGCCCUUUCUCUGUCUCAUUAUCCAGUGAAAUGGGGGAAGUAUCAGCACCUUACCUUUAAGGGUUGCUGAGGGUUAAAUGAGCUAAUGAUUUCAGAGACUGAGAACAAAGACUGGUAUGUAUGUAUGUAUUUUUUUUUAAUGUUUAUUUACUAUUGAGAGAGAGAGAGCACAAUUGGGAGAGGGGCAGAGAGAGAGACACACACAGAAUCCGAAGCAGGCUCCAGGCUCUGAGCUGUCAGCACAGAGCCUGAUGUGGGGCUCGAACCCACAGACUGCGAGAUCAUGACCUGAGUCAAAGUCAGACGCUUAACCGACUGAGCCACCCAGGCGCCCCCAGAGACUGGCAUUCAUAAUUUCAAUGUAAAUGUUUAUGGUUUGUUGACAUCAUCGGGGGCAGGGGGCAUGACCCUGGGGGUGGUGCUGGGGACCAGAGCUCCACACCCAUCGGAACAGCCCAGCCAUGGCUGCUUUCUCUACGCGUCUCACUGUCUGGCCCCUGGCAUUUUGAUCUUGUACCAACUAGUCUGACACUUAUGGUCACUCCUCUUCCUUUGCGGCAGCCCUCGGGUCACCAAGUCUCCGUGACAGUGUGGAGAGGGCUCUGUGUUGGGUGUGAGUGCUCUUCCCACCCCCACCAUGAUGUUGCCUAAGGUAGAGGAGGGUCCUGGGUUGAUGUUAGGAAAUGUGGGCUGAGGUCCCUGCUCUGCCAUCUGCUCCCUGUGGAACCUGAGCCAUUUGCUCCCCACCCACCGUGGGUCUCAGCUUUUCCAUCUGCAGAAUGGCAACAGGGGUUGGUCAAGAAGAGCUUCAAGGGCCCUCCCUUCACUGAUUCUUGACCACAAAUGGAGGGACUUUUCUAGGCUCCAGAGAGCUCUGCUGCUCCAACAGGACCUCUUCCUUCAUUCACUUAACAUAUGUUUCUUUCUAACCUCGUUUGAUUAAUGAGACAGUAGAUUUUUGCAGGCCUAUGCCAUCCGACCUUAGCGCACAAAGACCUUAGCGACUUGACCCUGGAGCUUACACUCUAGAGAGGGGAGCUGCCAUAGAGGGCUGUGGGUGCUGGGUUUGAGGAGGAUGAGAUGGGAAGGUAUAAGAGGGCAGGUGGGGGGACCUCCUUAAAUCACUUUGCAGACGGUCAGUUCUGCCAAUUCCAGUUUUCUGUUUAAUGUCAGCUUUUGUGGGGAGUCAUGUGUGCAGUUCAUUUGCUCCCCUUACAAUGCCUCAUACAACGAGACAUGAGCAGUGCUUGUCACAAGCUAGGAUGCCCAGUCCAAAGCCAGGGUGGUGGCGAGCAGAGGAAAGGGGCAGCCACAUGCCUCGUGUUCCAUAAGGUUCUGGAAGGUAAGCAGAACCCUGUGAAAUGAGGCAGCCUCUGGCUGCUGGCCGGACAGUCUCUGAAUGACUGGCACUAGAAAGGCUGUUGGUUUAUCUGGGGAACAUUCAUGGCUCAUACCAUGUGCUGGCUUGGCUUCUUUGGGGAGUGUUUGGAGUGAUUCUUUGGUCCCUCCCCUUGGGCCACCUGCUAAUGGGGCUGAACUCAGAGCCAUCUACUUGUGGUAGAGCCUGCACCACCCUGCUGGGCCCCAGGGGAGGGUCCUGGUACCUGGUCUGGCUCUUCAUGGUCAGGAGCCCCCACCCAGUCUUCAGUGUCCACAUUCAGAGGAGGUCAAGGGUCCACUUUCCCUCCCUUGUCCCAAGGCUACCUCGUUUCCCACCUGCUUCCCGGGAUGGCUAAGGCCAGUGCAUCUCCUUCUUUCCAGGAGCAACCUACUUCCACCCACUAGGGUGGGGUUUUGUCCUCAGGGCCCAACACAUAUAACCACAGAACAGUCUGAUCACCCAAGAUCCGGGGUACUGCCUUACCCAUGAACACCUUGUCACGUUCACGUAACUGGCAAUGCCUGAAAGGGCUGUGGCUCUUUUUCCCUAAGUGGCAGGCGCACCUCAGUGGCACCUCCCUCGCCGAGUUCUGCUGCCUGCGGUUUCUUCUGCAUCGUGUGAAAUCCAGCACAUUUGCACACCAUUCAUUCUGCAUUUACUCAGGGCCCACCAGGCUCCAACCUCUGUGGUGCAUGAAUGCCCUGCCACCUGGGAGCUGGUAGCCUGCAAAGAGAGAGGAGCACAGAGGGUCUGCCUGCAACAGCCGAGGCCUGAAUCUCCACGUCCCAGGCCCGGAACAGUGUCUGGUGUGAGGAAGUACAUUUCCUGCACCUUUGUUGAGUGACUGACUAGCUGGAGGCCGAAGGAGGAAUUCAGUCAGAGGUCUGAGGAGGAGCAGGAGGAGGAGGGAGGUGUUUGAGCUGGGCUUUGAAGGUGGGCGGUGUUGGGUUGCCCGCGGUUGGAGGAGAGGGUGCUUCGUGCUGAGGCACAGCAGAAGCAAAGGUGUGGAGGGGGAGAAGUCCAAGUGCUACUCUAGCUCUUGCAAAGUGAGCUGGCCUGAGCUCCAUUUUCCCAGGGAAGCAGCAGAGCUGGCCCGGGUUCCUGCUGAGUGGAGCCAGGGUGGCUGGAGGGGUGUGCGCGUGUGCGUGUGUGGGUGCGUGUGUGCGUGUGUGCAUGUGUGUGUGUGCAUGGCAUGAGUGAUGGGGGGGGGGUGCCGCACACUGGCGUUCAGCGCCCAGACGUGACAAAUGUGCAGAUGUCCCAGGAGCUGUGGACAUGAGCGGCUGGCCACGGAGACACUCACCCCGUGAUUUGUUGCUUUGAUUCCUCAGGCCGUGACUUGGCGAGCACGACCCUCCCCGGG